rnacentral:lncRNA from 1 species
CAAAAGAUACCUCAUAAGAUAAAUUUUCAAGCUUUUCUGUCAUAUAGUUUCCGUCAACAUGUAGGACUAAGCUACCAAUUAAUUCAGCACUGUCAGGACUGUACAAAAUGAUAGUAGAAUUAAAGUCAGAAACUUUUGAUAUAAGGAGCUUAAAUUCAUUAGGUGAUUUUAUUGAUUUAUUUAUUUUUUGCUGGAAUAUUUUUAAUGCGAGUCCUUCUAUCUAACUAGACUUCAAUAAAAUUUCUAUAGUCCUUCUAUCACUUUAAUUUAAUGACAAAGUUGCUUAUAUAUCCCUAUUUUUAACUGAAUAAAAUUCAGGUGUUUAAACACAAAUCUUGACCUUUGACGUCAAUUAAGUUAACUAAAUCUUAUUUCUACUUACGUAAACUUCCAGCCUGAAGGGUUGGCAUAAUUGAGUUUACUGGCAGGUACAUAAGCGCCAGAACUCUGAAUAAGACGAGAAAAAAAAAUUCAUAUCAUCCAUUACAAAAAAAUUUCACUUGCAAAAUUUACAAAUAUUAAGGAUUAUUUUUGUUCUAUAGCCAACUUUAGCUAUAUAUAUGAUGUUUGUUUACAAUUUCAGUAGACUUACCUUCUGGCCUAUUCCGCCGUUUUGGAGCAACUCCAUUUCCUUGGCUUGGGACAACAAUGCCUUGAGGUCAACCUCAUUAUGCCUCACUACUUGUGCCAUCUCCUCGAUCGAUCGAUAACUAUCCUUUAAUUCUGCUAUAUAUAUAUAUAUAUAUGUAUUUUCUGUUUCUAUUCUUGAUGUCUAUAUAUCUCUCUUCCAAAGGCUAGCUCUAUUUAUACUGGCACAAACAGAGGGUACUGCGAUUAUUAUAUCCCAUAAUAUCCUAUCUUCAAAUAUUCCUUCCCUUUUCAAAGUAGGGAUCCGAUCCUGAUAAGUUUAACAUCAUCAUCAUCAUCAUCAUCAUCAUCGCCAAGGAUAUAGAGCAGCAGAUUCUGUUUAAUAAUUUUGUUGGAAUAAUUCUUUUCCAUUUCCCAGUUCAAUAGUUCUUUCUUUAGCUUGUUGCGCAGGCAAAAUUCCAUGAAGGCGAAAGGCACGUAGGCAUACUAGUUGUGGGCAAGGAAAUUGUACCUUGCUAGGGUUAGGAUUUCGUGUUGGCUGAGGAGGAGAGAAAUUCACGAAGAGCACGGAAUUGAUUGGUUGAUUGAAGAGGGGAGAACGACAGGUGGGCGAUUACUCCAACGACGUGUGGCAGAACCCCUAGAAUCCAGGAACCGUGUUAGGGUAGUAGGGAUUCCAAGAGCCUUCUUGAGUCCUUCGUUCUUGAGAGAAUGUCUAAACCCCUUUUAGUGCUUUUAGGUGGAAUCUCCGAGCCUUUAAGUCACCAAAAAGGGUUCUUUGAUCUUCCGAGAGUCCAAGUCUUGAGUCUAAAGAGAAGUCUCUUUCCCAAUGGAAUGGAAGGGUAUUUAUAGGGUUUUCUGGAAAGUAGUCAUGUGCGAGGCACAUGCUUUCAGGGAAAUUCCAGAAAUGCCCUUUAGUCAUUAGAAUAAUGCCCAUGUUGCCCUGUCCUUCUAGCCACCAAUCCAAUCCCUCAAUUAAUUCCCACAUCGAGCCGCCUCCACGAGUCUUCUGCCUCGGGACACGUGGAGGCUUCUCCCGGGUCUAGCACAUUUAUUUAUGACUUUUUCAUCUUCAUUCCAUUCGGUUAUGCGAACACUAAUUUGCACAUUUAAUGAGGCCGUGGAACCCUAAUUGCGCAUUUAAUUCAAUUAGGUCAUGUGAACUCUAAUUUUACACUUUGGCCCACAUUUGCCCCCUGCGCGAGAGUCGCAUUUUCAAAUAGACGAUCGUGCAAGAAAACUGCAAGCCUUUGAAUGAUUUUGCGGGACUUCACUUUACAUGUCUUGAAGACAAUAGUCCUAGAAGAGGGAACUCCUAGGGAGCCAAACCCUUAGAGUUAAACCCUAGGAAGGCAAGACCUAGCGAGGCUCUUCCUUGGACAUAUUGAAAAAUCUUCUGAAAUCUUUCUGUAUUUUGCCCAAUAUUUAUUUCCAAUUCCGCAAGCAGAUCAACUGUCCGAGCAGCCUCAAUACGAACAGAAACAGAUUCCGAUAACUUGGAAUGGAAAAUAGAAUUAAGACCAGGCAAAACAUUGAAUAGAGCGAUGUAGAGAUCUAAAAUUUCAAACAACUUGAGAAACGAUGGACGGGUACUACUAACGCCUUCUGCAAAGUUAAUCAAGUGCAAGGCGGAUUCUUUAACUAUACCCAUAAAACACACAUCAAAUGUGGAGUUACCAAGUCCACUAAAGAUUUGUUCACAGAGUUUCUUCUCCUUUAUGAAGAGAUCUUCAAAACAAACACGAGAUGCUCGUAUCCACAAUUUGAUCUUUGGUGCCAACAUAUCCCACUCCAAACUCCGGAACUCACCGAUGCUAUAUUUACCGACGCCGAGGUGUCGAAAUUCUGCAUCCACAAUCAACUUCCUUGAAGUCCUGUAGAAUUCAACGCAGUCGCCAACAUUACCGGCUGAGUUCAAUCGUUCAAUGAUACUCCUAAAACCAUAAACUUCGUCAAUAUGUCCAUCAUCCUGUAAUUCAUAGCUAAAAGUAUCGGUUAUUGUACUUGAAAAAAUGGUAGAACUCCUAUCGGCCAAGAAAGCAUUGUGGACUCUGUUGGUUUGUCGGGUCAAUAUGACCCGAAACUCUAACGGAAGGGUUUCCAUGCCCGUUUAGAUCAUGUUUUGAUGCUUUCAGUUUGGGGAUCUGAGAUUAUUCUCGAUCGUCUGAAGCUCGUCAAAAGUACUGAUCAAUCUCAUGGCGGUCUCCGUCGAAGUCGAAGAUGAUGAAUUUAAUAAUUCCGCCCGAAUAUUUUGUGUUCUACCAAUUCCAUUCAGACAAUACAAAAGAGAUAUAUAUAUCUGCCUAAAAAUUGAAAACCGAAAAUCAUCUCUGAACAGCAGGCUUUGAAAAUUACUCCUACUAGUAGUUUAUAAAUAUAAAUACUUUGAAGAUUGUAAGAAGUUCAUAGCCAUCCACUAGUAAAAGUACUUACCAUUACUAAUUGAUGUCACGUUACCGCAAUUAGGACGGAGAGAGAAAGUCGGACCAACUCUUUUUUUUUUUCAAAUCAAACAUUAAUUUUUUAUUUCCAAAAUCAAAUCUUAAUUUUUAUUUUCAAAAUAAAAUCAAAUCUUAAUUUUUUAUUUCCAAAAUAAAAUCAAAUCUUAAUUUUUUAUUUCCAAAAUAAAAUCAAAUCUUUCUUAAUUUGAAAAGAGAUUUUUUUUUUUUGAAAAUGAAAUAAAAUAAAAUCUCUCUUUUUUUUUUUUGGCAAAUCAAAUCAAAUCAUUUUUUUUUAUCAUUCACGCAAAAGAUUUAAGUGCAUGAAUAAAAUAAAAUAAAAAUGCAUGAAUUUAAGAGUCAUAUAAUCUCACAGAUCUAAUGAAGGGGAAUUGCCACAUGCCUACGACAUUCUCUAUGAAAAAAAUGAUGAAUUAAGGCAAAACGAGAUCCAAUCAUGUAUUAUUUUUUUUUUGAAAAUAAAAUAAAUCUUAUUUUAUUAUCUUUCAAAAAAAUAAAAUAAAAUCUUAUUUUAUUAUUAUUAUUUUUUAAAAUAAAUAAAUAAAUAAAUAAAACAUUUACUUAUCUUAUUUUUAAGAAGUAAGGAGUCGAUGAGAAUGUCUUGUAUCCAUAUUGAAGCCUUUGAUAAUUCUUUGAGCAAAGAUGAUUAUAGCUUUUUGAUGAUUCUGACAUCUUUUAUAUGAGACAAGUCUUCACAUGCUUCCGAUUUUUAUUUGCCAUAAAGAAAGAAUCCAUUAAAGCUUCACAUGCCAGUUGCCACUCCUCUGUUAGCCAACAAAAAAAAAAAACAUUGUUUUGCUGCUUUAUUUGGGUGUUAUAGCCACAGGCAAGCCUCUUUCUAUCCACGCCGAACCCUACUGAUUCAAUUUUUUAUUAUUUUUUUUUUAUUAAAAAAAAUCAAGAACUUUUGGAACACUUAUAUUUAGAAGAAGCUUGUACGUAUGGGAAUUGAUGAUCCAAAAACCCACAACCCAAUUCUUAAUCUCAGUUUCUUUCUUGCUAAUCUUUCUCAGUUGAUGAACCCUUUGGAUAAUAUUAACGAUCCUCUUAGGAGGUUGCAAUAUUCAGAUCCCACUCAACUACUAGCCAAAAUCCAAAUUUUACAUAACCUAUUGCAGGCCAUAAAUGUGAGUCCUUCUUUCCCAAAUAUUAAAGUAGUAAACGUGAAUAAUCUCUUGGGAUCAUAUAAUUAUCUUAGCCAAUUUGAUGGAGUGAUCACGAGUGAAGCUAUCAACCCCAUGAUUAAUCCUAUCCCCAACAACCGGCCUUUAAUAUAUAUACUCCAAUCCCAAACUCAUUUGGAUUCUUUAGCCCACAAAUAUUUAACAAUGUUAAUAGCUUAAGUGGUGUUGCAUGCAAUAUUACUCAUCAAACUGAAAAUCAGCUUCCGGAAAGUUCCAAUACCAAGGAAAUGGACAGUAUGAAGCCUACAAACAUCCCCUCCGGUUCAACCAACUCUGACAAUAUCUUUGAGGUUUUGGAGAAAUUUGUUGAUUGUGAUCAAGCCAAUAGUACUUCCUUCUUGCUUCUUUUUUUUUUUUAUUCAGGUAACUCUAGUCUUUCUUUUGUCUUCCGAGCCCCAUUACCUUGAUCAUAUCUUGGUUUUUUCCCUCGGAUCAUAAAGAAAGAUUGGUAUUUUUUUUUUCUUGCAGGCCCUCCCUGUUGAACAUUCUGCAGACUUGGGAACAACCAAGGAGGCCCCGUUUCUCAAUAAUUGGGGAAGGGAUCCCCUCUUUUGGUCUUUCCGACGUCUUUUGAGAGCGAGUCUAGACUUAUAAUCGUACAACACUUCCUCCGCCAGAGAAGAAAGGCGUGUUUCUUUAUGUCGCGGCUUGCGGAGGUUUGGGUGACUUCCUCCCUUCCGAUCGCAUUCUCCGCAUGUGCAUAGAGAAACAAGAAUAGCCUUUCAGUCCCUUUCGCUUCCUGUCUGACUCAUCUGACCGCCUUCAAGGAUGGCAACAUUGGACCGACUUCCCGUUGUGUGCUCUUCUUCAUACACAUUCAUUACUACUUGGGGGGGAAUUCACCCCUAUUCUAGAGGAUGUCUCUGCCCUCCACCAGUAGGUCGUACUUCGGUUUGCCCCCUGCACGUGAGUCACACCUUUGGUGGGACAACCGUGCAUAAUUUCUCCAGCAUUGAAAUCUUGCUACAAAUUUCUUAAUGAUUCGCGGAGCACGAUGGUGCAAGCCUUGAACAUAAAAUCCCUAGGAGGGGAGACCUGUAGGGGGCGAGCCCUAGAGAAGCUCUCCCUGGCUAUCUUGGAAAAAAUCUUCUAUCUUAUCCUUCCGAAUAUUACUUUCUUUUGGAAGUUCUCUCAUUUUCAAAAUUAAGAAGUCAACGAGAAGGCACCGAGUGAACAUACUUCAAAUUGGGGUGAACAAGCGAUGAAGGAGAUCUUUCCUCUAGGUACCCGAAUCCUGAGCGGCUUCAUUCUGGAACAUUGAUUAACGAGCUAGGAGAAGUAAAAGGUAAGAGGGGAGAGCCUCUGUAGGUGUUUGAACCCCAGGGGCCGAACCCUAGAAGACUGCCUAUUCCUUCACUCUUUUUUUCCUUCUUCCUUUCACUUGAAUCUUGGUCGUGUCCUAGCUUGGUUCCCCAAUAUAGUUGAUCGGAUACAUCUUCAUAGGACCCUUCUCCAGAUUUUCUUGCUCGAUUGUCUUCUGAGACUUAUUCUCGAAAUGCACAUUCUCUCUCUAUUAUCUGUGAGCAGAAGACUUAGAGGUGUUUUAGUUGUGAAGUUGAUGACUUCUCGAUCCUUCUUGGGCCUUGACAUGUCUCCCUUCCGUGCUAAGCUGGAUCUCUUCACUUUCAGUUAUCAUGUCAUUGCACUUUGUUCGGAGGUCACUUCACGUCCUCAUGAGAAUGACUUUCUUUAUGUAAGGGCCUCAGGAGCUUCAGGACGUCAUGGAUAGAUUGAAGGCCAAGCUUCGGGAAAUUGAUUCAUCUGCCCAAGACCUUAAGGAACUGUUAGCCUGAAGUUCGAAAGGCUCGAGAUACUGCCAUUGUCGACUUGGAGGCUUUAGCUAUGCCCCCAGUUCAGUUUGAUGUAUCAUGACCUUUGGAUCAUGACUUCAUGUAGCUUUUAUUUCUUCCAUCACUUUUGAAGAUAAAGUGUAUUAUCGAGGAUUUCAGGGUCAAGUGUCUCAAUCACUUUUGAAGUUGAAAGUAUAACUCUUUUUUUUUUCUGGAUCGAGGGCUGAUUAAUCAGGUGCCUCAUUACUUUUGAAGUUGAAAGUAUAACUUUUUUGGGUCGAGGGCUGAUUAAUCAGGUGCCUCAUUACUUUUGAAGUAGAAAGUAUAACUUUUUCGAGUCGAGGGCUGAUUAAUCAGGUGCCUCAUUACUUUUGAAGUUGAAAGUAUUUUUUUUUUGGGUCGAGGGCUGAUUAAUCAGGUGCCUCAUUACUUUUGAAGUAGAAAGUAUAACUUUUUCGGGUCGAGGGCUGAUUAAUCAGGUGCCUCAUUACUUUUGAAGUUGAAAGUAUAACUUUUUUGGGUCGAGGGCUAAUUAAUCAGGUGCCUCAUUACUUUUGAAGUAGAAAGUAUAACUUUUUCGGGUCGAGGGCUGAUUAAUCAGGUGCCUCAUUACUUUUGAAGUUGAAACUAUAACUUUUAAGAAAUUUGCUCUGAUCAAAAUUUGAUGUAUUUAUUUAACGAUCAAGAUAUAAUACAUUUUUUUUUCAUUUUCUAGUCUGCUAGGGCAGUAGCUUAUUCAGCAUUAUGCUUCUUAUUAUAGUUCGAUUUCACCUGCCGCUAAUUUUUCAUGAUAAAUUCUCCUCAAAUUACGACAAUUCAUGAUGGAAUGUCCUGGGUAUUGAUGAUACACGCAAAAGUCUGAUCUCUUCUUCAUCUCCUCGGUCACAACAAAUCUGGGUUUUGGAGGCUUCACCAUUCCAUUUUCUACCCAUUUCUCAUACAAAUCUUUAAAUAUCUCCUCACCACAAGUGAUAGCUUCGGGCUCUAGCGAAUUUAUAUUCUUUUUGAUUCUUUCCCUCUUGCCCCCCUGUGGCUCUGACUGAGAGUCUGUCAAAGCCGUAGUAGCUGUCCUCUUACUCUUCCAGGUAGCAAUCGGAUGGUUCACAGAUACUGCCAUAAUUUCUCCAUGGUCCUGUGCAAAGGUGGAAAGUGUCGCAAAGGAAUCACAAGACUUAGUGAUCAAGUGGGGCUUGAAGGCGUCGAGGGCGCCGUUGUUGCAAAUACUCACUAAAUUCUUCUCUUCGAUUGGCUCCACACACUUCCGCGCCUGGGCCCGAAAGGUGGAAAGUGUCGCAAAGGAAUCACAAGACUUAGUGAUCAAGUGGGGCUUGAAGGCGUCGAGGGCGCCGUUAUUGCAAAUACUCACUAAAUUCUUCUCUUCGAUUGGCUCCACACACUUCCGCGCCUGGGCCCGAAAUCUGUCAACAUAAUCAGAUAACUCCUCAUUCGAAUUUUGUUGAAUUCUCAUAAGCUCUAUAAUUGACACUUCCUUCUGAACAUAAAAGAAUUUUUUGAAAAACUGGUGUUUCAUAUCAUCCCAAUCUCGAAUCGAACCCUUCUCCAAAUUGUAGUACCAGCUGAAGGCACCGUUAGUGAGCGUCUUGUUAAACUCCCUCAAUAGAAUAUUGUGGUUGCUCACUUCAUCUAUUCCCAACCACGAGGACAUCGACUCCACAAAUCUUGCAAUAUGCUCUCUCGCAUUCCCUUUCUCUCCACUAUACUUAGGGAACUGAAGUGGAUGUUCAAUGUACCCAGCAGGGUAUGGCUGUCUUCUCACAUGCGCCGGGUAUGGUGGGGUGAAAUCCAGUUCCGCAGGCCUGACUGUCUGUCUACGCAUCUGAUUGAUUACAUCCAUCAUGUCUUCCCUUGUCGCAUAUUGACUGGUUUCUGGAGCCUUUUGGGACGUCAUCGCAUACUGGUUUAUCUGAGGUGUAUGUGGAACACAUGUUGAUGCACACUUGCCUCAUGUAAGAUUGGUUGUACUUGCUGGAUUAUUGGUUGUAUAUGGCUUGGGAUGGUUGGUAUCUGCACUUGUGAAAAUGCUGGGAGUGUAAUCGGGAUGAUGUUUAGCUGAGGCUGGCUAGCUUCCAAUCUAAGUGGUGGUACAUCACCACUGUUCUGGGGCUCCAAGUUGAUGACUGGAAUCGGCUGACUCUCCAUUGCUGGAGGUAUAAUCUGAUUCUCUUUGUUGUUGUUGUUGUUGUCCUCCACUUCUCCUGCUCGUCCCCCUUGCGAACUUCCUGGGAACAUGGUCUUGAAAGUGGGGAUUUGCAUCAACUGCUGGCAAAAAUUCUCCAUUUCUUCUUGCUUUCUCUGCAUCUCUAGCAUCAUGGCCAUCAUCAUCCCUUGCCCUUCUCGUGCUUCUUUCAAUGCUUUAAGCAUCUCCAGUUGCACAGCAUUCGUCUGGUCUCCCCCUGCAUCUUCGCCUUGCCUUCUUGCAUUGGUUUGUUGUUGAUUGGCCAUAUGUGGUGAUGUCGAACUCCCUUCCAAAGCGUCUUCAAUAAUUGGUUGGUCAAAAUCCAGGUUUGCGCCUUGGAAAACUUGAGUUACUUGUCUUGGAACUGGAUCCGGUGACGUAAUGCUAUUUGUUGGUGAAGCAGCUCUUCCUGUAAUUCUCCCACUUCGAGUCGUGGGCAUACCCUUCACGAAUUAUACACCUCCCCAGCAGAGUCGCCAAAGAAAUGUGGGCAAGGAAAUUGUACCUUAGUAGGGUUAGGGUUUCGUGUUGGCUGAGGAGGAGAGAAAUCCACGAAGAGCACGGAAUUGAUUGGUUGAUUGAAGAGGGGAGAACGACAGGUGGGCGAUUACUCCAACGACGUGUGGCAGAACCCCUAGAAUACAGGAACCGUGUUAGGGUAGUAGGGUUUCCAAGAUCCUUCUUGAGUCCUUUGUUCUUGAGAGAAUGUCUAAACCCCUUUUAGUGCUUUUAGGUGGAAUCUCCGAGCCUUUAAGUCACCAAAAAGGGUCCUUUGAUCUUCCGAGAGUCCAAGUCUUGAGUCUAAAGAGAAGUCCCUUUCCCAAUGGAAUGGAAGGGGUAUUUAUAGGGUUUUCUGGAAAGUAGUCAUGUGCGAGGCACAUGCUUUCAGGGAAAUUCCAGAAAUGCCCUUUAGUCAUUAGAAUAAUGCCCAUGUUGCCCUGUCCUUCUAGCCACCAAUCCAAUCCCUCAAUCAAUUCCCACAUCGAGCCGCCUCCACGAGUCUUCUGCCUCGGGACACGUGGAGGCUUCUCCCAGGUCUAGCACAUUUAUUUAUGACUUUUUUGUCUUCAUUCCAUUCGGUUAUGCGAACCCUAAUUUGCACAUUUAAUGAGGUCGUGGAACCCUAAUUGCGCAUUUAAUUCAAUUAGGUCAUGUGAACUCUAAUUUUACACUUGGGCCCACACUAGUAAAUGAUGAUUUUCUUCUAACCAGAAGUAUGAGCAGGUUAAAAGUAGAAGAAUAAGCAUCUCGCAGGCCAAAAAUCAAUAAAAAAACGAAAAGAAGAAAAAGAAAAGAAGAAGACAGCAAUAGCAAGACCAUAUUUUUCUUCUUCUUUCUUUUUAUCUUUUCUUUCUUUCUUUUUUGUUUCUUUUUAGACGGAGGGUUUUAUUUCAUCUUUGAAAAUAAACCUAAGAAUUUAUCAAAGGAAAUAAAGGAUAAACGACAAUACAAAUAUAUAUUUUUAUUUUAUUUUCAAAUAUAUACGCAUGCAUGAUAAAGAUUCACAAUUAUACACACAUAUAUAAUAGGCUACAACCAACAAUCUACUAAACAAUUUGUAAACCAUCGAGGUGUUUUAGUGACAACCUACCGUCUACCAAAUCGUUAUUAGUUAACGAGUUAGUGUAAAUUUUCAUUUUGGAAGCUAGUAUAAACUAUCAUCUCUCAAAUUGUUAUUAGUAGAGGAGCUACGAAUGUAAACUAUCGUCUAACAAACUAUAUUAGCUGAUGAACUAGUGUAAACUAUCAUUUACUAGAUGUAUGAGCAUGUUAAGAGUAGAAGAAUAAGCAUCUCGCAGGUAAAAAAAUAGGAAAAGAAGAAGACAACAAUAACAAGGCCACAUUUUUCUUUUUCUUCCUUUUUAUCUUUUUUUUUCUUUUUUGUUUGUUUUUAGACGGAGGACUUCAUUUCAUCUUUGAAAAUGUGGGUAAAGAAAUUGUACCUUAGGUUUUCAUGUUGGCUGAGGAGGAGAGAAAUCCACGAAGAGUACGGGAUUGAUUGAUGAAUUAAAGAGGGCAGAAGAACAUGUGAUCAAUUACUCUAAUGACAUGUGACAAAACUUUUAGGAUCCGAGAACCUUCUUAGGGUGCCAAAGAUCCAGGGAGUCUUCUAGGGUGUGCUUCGGGUUGAGAGAGAAUCUCCAAGUCUUCAAUCUUUCGAAAAGCCCUCUUCUUCAUAGAAUAGAAGGAGUAUUUAUAGAGUUUCCUGGAAAGUGGUCACAUGACAGACAUAUGACCUCGAGCAAAUUCCAAAAAUACCCUUAGUCACCAGAGUAAUGCCCAGAUCGUCCUGUCUUUCUAGCCACCAAUCCAAUUCCUCAAUCAAUUCUCAAAAUGAGUUGCCUCCAUAAGCCUUUUACCAUGGAGGCUCUUCCUUGAUCUCAUGAUACAAAGCUCUUAUUGCUCAAACCAUGCUUACUUGCUCUUCCUUCUUUAUUUAAGAAUCUCGUCGCCAGAAAUCAUCGGAAGAACUCUGCGCAAGACCCGGGAAGCCGCGUGUUACAAACCAGUCCCACAUCGAAAGAUAUGGAAAAAAAUUAGUCUAUAUAUAAGGAAUUAUGUUACUACCAAUAAUAUACUUUUAAGUCAUGACCUUUUGGGUGAGCCUGUGGUGGGAUAAGAUGACCCAAUAAUAUACUAUUGGGUCAGUGGUUUAAGGCCUUGGGAUUCGGACUUGGGAUUUGACCCAAGAUUUGUUUUGGGCAAUUUUACUCAGGUUGUUACAUAUGGUAUUAGAGCCGACUCUCGAAAGCUCGGGUCGGAUCAUCCGAUCGGGUUGCCGGAAGUGGGGACACGAAACCAGCCGAUAUUAUCCCACAAUGGCUAAAGAGGCAAAGAUCUGUGGAACGUAUAUGUGAUCGAUUUUGAUGGAGAUGUCAAAAAUUUAAGUGGGGUAGUUUAUAACACCUCAGUCCCACAUUGAAAGAUAUGGGAAAUACUAUUGUGCAAUGAUUUAAGCUAUCCAGCUAUAUUGUUAUAGUUUGGAUAUAUUCCAGUAUGAGAAUUAACAAACCCUGAAAUGGGAUAUUUUUAUUGCACUCUGGGAGUGGUGACGUUGAACAUGGAAGUUGUUCUGGAUAAGAUAGUAUUGAUUAAUAAAGGGCAUAUAUAAAGGGCUGAUCAUCCAUCGUGCUCAUAAGAUAAGAUGGUUCACAAAUAAAUUUUUAAGAAAACCUUUUCAAGAAAAGAAAAAGCUUGUUCACGGUCUUAUGACCUCUCAGAUGUUCAAUAUUGAUAUGAUAUUCCAGGAAUAUGAAUGAUUCAAGAUUUAAUUGCUUUACAGUUUUGUUUCACUGUUAAAGCAUGUCUCAAAGAAAACAUUUAAUUAUUGUUAAGAUAUUAAAGAAUGCUAUUACUUAUUGAGCAAUUGAAUGCUCAUUCUUGUUUUGUUAUAAAUGUUUUCAGCUAAUCAGGCUCCAACGGAGGGGUCUAAUAGAGACAAAGGAAAAGGAAAAGCUACUGAGUAGUAGGUAUAUGUUGUAAUAAAUAGUUUAUAUGUUUGUAGAUAUUUAACUAUCAUGUAAUAAGCACUUAAUGGUUACGUACCUGGUAUUAGAAGAACUCUGAUAUAAUAAAUCUAUCAAGUUUGAUAUUAUAUUAUGUUGAAUGCUUGAUAUCUUGAAGCACUGAAUAAGGGUUUAAAAUACCCGAAUUUGGGGGCGUCACACGCCCGAUUCGCCUCCUUUGCGUAUGUUUAACAUGCUCAUACAACUUGUCUAAUACUCCAUUGAUUAAUUCUAAGUAUCAUUAUAUUUCAUAACUUUCAUGUUUAAUAACUUAGAAUAACAUAUUUUAUCGUCAAAAGCAUCCACGUAGUACGAGCAUGCCCGACGCCCUCCGAUCGCCUCCGAUCGAAUGCACAAUAGUCCUAAAAAUAGCCAUUUUAGCCCCUUCUCCCGACCUCAAAUCUCAAAACUUAUAAAAUAAAAGUUUUAGGUCAACUUCUAAUAUUUUCGAAUCAUCUUGAAUCACCUCAAUCAGAGUUCGUAUAAAAAGGUUAUGCAUGUUUUACUAAAGAACGUCAAAGCUGACUUUCUGCACUUUUGGUUCAGCGCCCAUCCUAGGCCUAUUUCCAACGCCCCGGGGCUGGACGGCAGUACGUUCUCAGCCAAAAACUUCAAUUUUCAAAAAUCUUCAGUUUUGAAUGAUUUCAACAUGUCUACUUUGAAAUAUCAUAAAUUUCUCCUCCGAUAUCGAAAUGAGCUCGUUCUUAAUGGGUUGAAAAGCUUGCAACACCCUCUACAAAUUUCUCAGGACAAAAUAAUUUUCUGGAUUCUCUAACAAUCCUUUAAACUUUCUCAAAAGUCCAUCGAGACUAAGAUUUUUAUCAUUCAACAUACUUUACCAAAAUUUUCUGCCAUGACUUCGUUUUAACAUAUUUUUACUCCGUUCCAAUUAGAAUAUCUUCAUAAAUUCCUUAUCUAUAAAUCCUUAUUCCCGAAUUUUAUUUAUUACAACCCUAUCAACAAUAUUAAAAUCCAAUUUAAGUACUCUAAAUAAAUAAUGUCUAUCCUUUAAGCUUUGGCCUACGAUUCCAUUCUUGUUACCACUUCUUAUGCAAUUUAACAAGUUAUUUAUCAUGAUCAAAGCACACAUAACUUUAUUUACUCAAGGUCCUUCAUACUCUUUCAUUAAACAACCAUCGCCAACAACUAAUGAUUCAAGAAAGACUUCACAGAAAUGAAAAGAUGGAUGGUUCUUACCUUCUUAGUUAUUCUUCUUCUUCCUAGCUUAUGCUUUGUUAGCAUGAUAUACAUUGUUGGGCCCUCCAUCUACCAACUUAAGCUUUUAAGAUAAGUUGGUUACUUAACAUGGUAUCAAAGCUUUGGGUGUGCAAGGUCUUGGGUUCGAAUUUUUCCAGCUGCACAAUUAUCUUUCUAUUAAUUUAACAGUGCAAAUGCACUUUAAUUUCUCCCUUCUCUAUAAAAAAAAGUUGCGUUUGAGAGGGAGUGUUAGCAUGAUAUACAUUGUUGGGCCCACCAUGCAUCUAACAGCUUAAGCUUUUAGAUGAGUUGGUUACUUUGCUCUUCUUUCUCUUCUUAUUGGUAUUCGGCCUCUCUAUUUCUCUCUCUCUCUCACUCUCUUGUUUUCUUUCUCUUCUCUCUAGUUUGCCCUCUCUUCCUUUUUUUUUCUUGCAAAUGAAAUGAAUUGGCUAAGUGAAAAAUCCUCUAGAUCAAUUGAAUUCUCCACUAACUAACUCAACCAUACUUCUAAGGUUAGGUUAACUCGUGUAGGGUUAGGGAAUGAUAGGAUGACACUUGUAAGCUUAAUGUUUAAGGAUGACAAGAAGAUAUAAGCUAGCAUUAAAUUAAAUUUUCACCUUGCUAGAUGAGUCACACAUACUCUCCCUUUUGCUUCUUUAAUUGGUUGGAUCACCCCUCCCUUUCUUAGCUCAUAUUUUAAUUAUCCCAUGUGGGAUAAACAUCAAUCCUCUCCCUUAUCUUACUUUUUCACCCAACUUAUCUUUUAUGAGAUAACUACUAAGUCUCAUUCCUUAUCUUUUCUUCGAUAAGCCUUGUCAUUAAUCCUUAUCUCUUCCUUGUUUUCCUUCAACCCAAACUUACCAUAAAUAGAAAGUUUCCAUCUCACCUUCUCUCUUCUCCUUGUCCAUAUUCAAAUCCCCACAUGUUUAAUUCUAGCAAAUGACACUUGCCCUCUUAUAACUUUGGCUCCUAGUUUGGCUCACUUUUUGGCUCAAAGACCAAGCCAUGGCUCCUAUCCUUUGACUCUAAGCUUAAGCCACUCAAACCUUAGGCUCAACCCUUAGCUAAGCCCCUUUAAAUUCCUAACCAAGUCAUUUAAACCUUAGGUUUGGUUAGACUAGAAUUAAUUUAAUUUCUCUUUUUCUUUUAAAUUAGUUAGAUUUCCUAAUUUUUUAGUUACAUUUUUCGUAAUAUGCUUGGUUAGCUGACAAUCCGACUUUUGAUUUUCAAAAAUCCAAUUUCGCCACCAUUCCUUCUUUCCCGAAUAAACGCUAUGUAGUUCUUCGAAAUUUUAAAAAAAACGAAGUUGGGUUUUUAGCGUGAAUAGUUUUUUUUCAUACGACUUUUUCUAGAAAAAUAUUUUAUUAGAGAUUUCAUCUCGCCUUCUCAAAUAAACACUAUGAUGUAAUUCAAAAUUCUCGAAAAAGUAUGUUUAUUAGCGUUUUUCUGUGAUUUUAAAAAUAGUAACUUUUUCGUCUUUUUCUCGAAAAAAUUAUAUUCUCCCAAAACUCCCAACACUUAUACAUAAUCACGUAACACGUAAACUAGGUCAUUAAUCGACCUAAAUCAUGUAACACAUAAUAAUAUCUAUAAAAUUUUAUUUUAUUAGAUAUUCACAAAUAAAACCUAUUUUCAAGCCUAUCUGAAUUCUCGGGUCGUCACAUAGUAUUUAUAGAGUUUCAUGGAAAGUGUUCACAUGCCAGGAACAUGACCUCAUGGAAAUUCAAGAAAUACCCUUAGUCACCAGAGUUAUGCCUAGAUCAUCUUGUCCUUCUAACCACCAUGCAAUCCAAUCCCUCAAUCAAUUUCAAAAAUGAGUUGCCUCCAUAAGCCUUCUGCCUUGGGACCCAUGGAGGCUCCUCCUCGAUCUCAUGCUUCAAAGCAAUUGUUGCUCAAACCAUACUUUCUUACUAUUCCUUCUUUAUUUGAGAAUCUCGUCGAUGGAAAUCCUCGGAAGAACUCUGCGCAAGAACCAGGAGGCCGCGCCUUAGGGGGGCAAUCCUUAGGGGGCGGAACCCUAGGGAGCUGAACCCUAGGGGGGCCUCCUUCAGUUCUUUUCGUUCGUUUCAACCUUUCUUGGUCAGUUUUCAUCAUUUUCUCAUGAUUCUUGGUCCUGUAAGAAGCCUUUCUUGUCAUAGAGAUUAUAAGGCUAAUCAUUAUUUGGAGUUUCACAAGAUUUUAGUUUAUUUUUGUAGUCCAGGCUUAUUUCUUUGUCAUUGCAUCGAUGAAACCCCUUCUAGCAUGCCAAUCGAGAAAAUGAGGUAGCAUAUGCCCUAGGGUGCCGAACCCUAAGAGGUAAUUUAGAUUUCUUUUGUCCAUCUUUUGUCUGUUUUCCUUUUUUCAUUACGAUAGUUCCAACCAAAUCCAGUCGGAGAAGAAAUUGGUUUUAUCUUUUCUUUAAGGAGAAGUCAUCUUGGAGUGGUUGAACCAUAGGGUGGCCGAACCCUAAGGGGCCAAAAUCCUAGGAUUUUUCCCUUUUUGCUGAUUUAAUGCUUCGUUCAUUAAUUGAAGUCUUGUUCAUUUACUUUCGUCUUUUCAUUUAAUUCAAUUAAAUCAUAUGUAAACCCUAAUUUGUACUUGGGCUCACAGAAAAUAAACCUAAGAAUUCAUCAAAGGAAAUAAAAGAUAAAUGACAAUACAAAUAUUGCGUUUUGUUUUGUCUUAUUUUUUUAAUUUUAUUUUCAAAUAUAUACGCAUGCAUGAUAAAGAUUCACAAUUAUGUAUAUAUAUAUAUACAUAUAGAUACAUAAUAUGGUAAAUAAUAGGUGGUAGUUGUUUUAUUUAUAAUAUGGUAAAUAAUAGGUGGUAGUUGAUUUAUUUAUUACAUGCUAAUAACAGCCAUGAGUUGAUAGUUGAUUUAUUUAUUAUAUGCUAAUAACAGCUAUCAGUUAUUGGUUGAUUUAUUUAUAUAUCGUGCUAAUAACAACCAUCAACUUGUAUAUAGUUUCUUGAUUUACUGCUGAUCGGAAGAUUACUGAUCGUUCAUUUAGGCGUUGGUGGGACUAAUGUUAACACCAUAGAUAACUAAACCCGUCUUCAUAGUCACGCUUUCAGUCCCGUCAAGAGCAAAUUUGAUAUCUCCAUAGUCAAACUUAUUGAAGAAUUCCCCAGCUUUGAGCGAAAAUGGUGUGUUUCUCGGAUAAUUCAUCAAUCCAUAUCCGUUCACUUGCGAGGAUCCAUUCGGAAGAGUAAGUGUAAGACUCACCGGACUUGCUAUGUUAAAGUUGUCUUUCAGCAGCACCACAAAAGAUACCUCAUAAGAUAAAUUUUCAAGCUUUUCUGUCAUAUAGUUUCCGUCAACAUGUAGGACUAAGCUACCAAUUAAUUCAGCACUGUCAGGACUGUAAAAAAUGAUAGUAGAAUUAAAGUCAGAAACUUUUGAUAUAAGGAGCUUAAAUUCAUUAAUAUAGUACAAUUAAUGCGAGUCCUUCUAUCUAACUAGACUUCAAUAAAAUUUCUUUAGUCCUUCUAUCACUUUAAUUUAAUGACAAAGUUGCUUAUAUCCCUAUUUUUAACUGAAUAAAAUUCAGGUGUUUAAGCACAAAUCUUGACCUUUGACGUCAAUUAAGUUAACUAAAUCUUAUUUCUACUUACGUAAACUUCCAGCCCGAAGGGUUGAAAUAAUUGAGUUUCUCAGCAGGUAUAUAAGCGCCAGAACUUUGAAUAAGACAAGAAAAAAAAAUUCAUAUCAUCCAUUACAAAAAAAUCUCACUUGCAAAAUUUACAAAUAUUAAGGAUUAUUUUUGUUCUAUAACCAACUUUAGCUAUAUAUAUGAUGUUUGUUUACAAUUUCAGUAGACUUACCUUCUGCCCUAUUCCGUUGUUUUGGAGCAACUCCAUUUCCUUGGCUUGGGACAACAAUGCCUUGAGGUCAACCUCAUUAUGCCUCACUACUUGUGCCAUCUCCUCGAUCGAUCGAUAACUAUCCUUUAAUUCUGCUAUAUAUAUAUAUAUAUAUAUAUUUUCUGUUUCUAUUCUUGAUGUCUAUAUAUCUCUCUUCCAAAGGCUAGCUCUAUUUAUACUGGCACAAACAGAGGGUACUGCGAUUAUUAUAUUCCAUAAUAUCCUAUCUUCAAAUAUUCCUUCCCUUUUCACAGUAGGGAUCCGAUCCCGAUAAGUUUAACAUCAGCAUCAUCAUCAUCACCAAGGAUAUAGAGCAGCCGAUUCUGUUUGAUAAUUUUGUUGGAAUAAUUCUUUUCCAUUUCUCAGUUCAAUAAUUCUUUCUUUAGCUUGUUGCGCAGGCAAAAUUCCAUGAAGGCGAAAGGUACGUAGGCAUCCUAGUAAAUGAUGAUUUUCUUCUAACCAGAAGUAUGAGCAGGUUAAAAGUAGAAGAAUAAGCAUCUCGCAGGCCAAAAAUAAAAAAAAAAUCGAAAAGAAGAAAAAGAAAAGAAGCCACCAAUAGCAAGACCACAUUUUUCUUUUUCUUUCCUUUUUAUCUAUUCUUUCUUUGAUUCUUUUUUAUAAUUUUUUUUAGAUGGAGUCUUUGAAAAUAAGCAUAAGAAUUCAUUAAAGGAAAUAAAAGUGUUGAAAGUUGUCUUGCAUUAGUCUUCUCCAAAUUCUGUUCCCCUUAGACUUUAGAAUUUAGCCUUUCCCAAAAUUCUGUUCCCCUCAGAUUUCGGAAUUUUGCUUUCCUCAUUUCUUGUUCUCCUCUCCAGAUUUCUCCUAUAAAAGGGAGCUUUGGUGUAAGACCCCAACUUUUAUGAAUAAAGACGAAUUUUUCUAUAAAUAUAAUUUUUGAUUAUUAAGAUGUGAAUUUGAAAAAAUAUUAUAGUUGUGAGUAAUAUUUAAAAAUUUUACAAAGUAAACAAGGUGUUAUAAAAUAUUCGGUUGGUCGAGGAAUAUUCGUUUUAACAGGGAAUAUUCAUACGACGACACAAUCAUUGGUGGACCCCACAACGAAAGUAUUGUCGGAGUUAGAAAACGACAGAAAUAUCUUAUUAUGAAAAUAAUGGCGAAAAUUUUACCGUUAACUGUUGAAAUACCCGUUAGUAAAAGUACAGUAAUACGUAUGGUUGCAUAGUAGUACACGGUAUUAAUUAUUGAUGCUUACGUGAGAAGUCACUCAGUUAUACUCAAUUAUUGUUACAGUAAUUGUUGUAUCAUAUCUCUUAUAUUAUUGAUUCAAUUAUUGUCAGUAUCAUCUGCAUAAUAUUUUAUAUUAUUAAAUCAAUAAUUGAGACGAUAAAGUUAUUCAUAUUAUUAUUUACAAUAUUGACGAUGUCUAGAAGUUCUGUCAAGGAGAGGUUAGGUCAUUUAAUUGCGCGCCAAUAGGGAGAAAUCCUUAUCGGAAAGCCCCUCUUUCCUGAAAACGAUCUGGUUGUUAAUAUUGCGAGUUAUAAUAAUGAUGAAUAAAUUGAAGGAAUUUUAUGAAAUAUUUGUUGUAAGUUUUGCUUAUUAUAUGGACCCCCAUUUAACCAUUUUUCAAAAUAAUCGGUAAAAAAUUAUUCAGUAUUUUUUUUAAUAAAAAAGGUGGGGCCACAUGUGGGGCCCACUGAAAGAAAAAUGGGGGGGGGGAGAUGUUUAUGUUUGUCAUGGGUGAAGGUUUGAUUAUAUAUAUAUAUAUAUAUAUAUAUAUAUAUAUAUAUUAUAAUAAGUCUUUUUUUUAUGAAAAAUAGAAUAUAUUAAAUUUUAUUUGCAUAGUAUUUUACUAUGCAGUGCACAGUAAAGUUUUGUGAAUUAGAAAUUCGGCGCCCGUGAAAUUUUCGAUUGUUUUGUCCGUGAGAAUUUCAAACAGUACCCCUUCCAUCAUCCUAUAAAUAUGACGCUUAUUUUGAAUUGAAAAUCACACAAGAAUCAGAGAAUUUUUUUCUAUAAUAUUGAGUAUAUUUCUUUCGAGUUUUAGAAAGUUUUGAGUGUAGAAAACAGUGAAAGUUUUUUUCAAGAAUAUCCCCGCUAUACCAGUCGAAAUACUCUUCUUAGGAUGUUUUUUUGUUCAAUAUUCGUAUGAAAUAAUAUUUUCUUCCAUACUCUGUAGUAUGUAAAUAAUAUUAUUUCGUUUUAGAUUUCGAAUUCUAUAUCCAUUUUGUUAAAGUUUUGGCUCCUAUACUCCAUGAAAUUAGUAGAAUAUCCUUAAAAUUUGCGUUUCAUCCAGUAUCUUUUCAUGGAAAUAUUAUUCUGAGCAUUCUUGAUAAGUUUUAAUUUUUUCAUGCCAGAGUACUAUAUACGGGGUACUAUUCUCAAAUUACUAUUCACGGGGUACUAUUCACUCGGUUACUAUUCAUCCGAGGCACUAUUCAUGACAAAAAUUAAUUUUUUUUCGGUCCAAAUCAUUUUUGUUACAAUAUUAUUCGUGAAUUUUACUCCAUAAUGCAGUAUCAUAUUGACAAUUUGGACAUUAUUAAAUUAUGGAUAAAUUAAAUUAUAAAUCUUUAAAAAUUUAUCUUUUGCUUUCAUUUAAUUGAAUUCUUAUAUCAUUGUCAUCAUCCUGAUGCUUAUAUUAUAAUGAAAGUCAUUUGUGGCCCGUAGUGCAUAGAUGGACUUGGUAUGAUUAUGACCAGGGAUUAUUUGGUAUAAUCAUGACUGUAAUAUUACAAAUGAUGUGGUAAAAGUCCUCAUUGGCCCGUAGUGCAUUGAUGAACAGUUGUUUUCAUGAUCAUGACCAUUGAUGAAAACACGAAUAUCUUUGGCCCGUAGUGCAUGAAUAAUUUGUGGUUGUGAUACUAAAGAAUAUCCUUGGCCCGUAGUGUAUGGAUAAUUCAGUGAUGUGUAUUAUUUAUUAAGCUGAGUCUCAGCGAUACAAUUGAUGAUAAACCUUUUAAAUAAUAGAAGAUAGUAGAUUUUAUGCUCUACUUAACUCUUCUAAUAGAUUGCUUGUUCCUCUGCAAUUAAACUUGAUGUUUAUUAUAUUUUAUCAGUUUAACAUUGUUGAAGGCUAAUGAUAAUUUAUUCUGUGUUAUCUUAGUCAUAAUAUUUCUUACUGGCUAGUUGAGCUCACCCUUUACUUUCAUUGUUCUCUUCAGGAAAUGAGAAUAUAGCUGGGAUCGACUAGUCGGGGAACGGAGUGACGGUCCAAAUGAUAACAUUAGUAGUCCUCACUAUUCUGUGAAAUAGUGUGAUAAUAAAUGUAAUGAGGACUUAUUUUGAGUUUGAAUACUGUCUAGAAGACAAUAUUUGUAUUAAAACUCACAACUCAUGUUAUAUAUUUAAGUUUAUAUUUGUAUUCUGUACCAUGUAUUUAACGAUUCAAAAUGGGUGAUGUAUACCUAUUCUGGGGGCGUCACAGUUGGUAUCAAAGCUUGGGGAUAUGAUCCCUGGCUGAGAUGAGAGACUAGAACUAGGAGGGGAGAGUCAGGUAAUUCCUUUGCUAGUAUGACCUACCUAAGUUUAUUUGUUAUUUAAUUAGUCGGUCAGAAUAUAGGGAUAAUAUGUUGCAUGUCAAUUAACCCUUGUUUUGUGGCAGUAUUUGAAAAUGACAUCCGAGAAUGUUGAGAAUAGCAAUGGAGUACAUGAGACCGUUGAAUCACCAACGAUCAAUAACCAGGAUAAUGUGCAUCAGGAAGGCAAUAAUCCUCAUGCAAACAAUAACUCCAACAAAAUAAUGAACGACAAAAUGUUUAUGAGCUUUCUUCAAUUCAUGCAACAUCAGGCAAGAGAGACUCCUGUUCAAAAUGUAGGUGGAAAUACCGGCAACUCUCGAACGGUCACCGCUAAGCAAUUCAAGGAGCUGGGACCACCGAAGUUUUUGGGAAAGCCAAAACCACUUAAGGCGGAGACAUGGUUAAAGCAGAUCACUAAGAUAUUUGAUGUCUUUGGAUGCUCCGAGGAGCAAAAGGUUCCCUUUGCCACCUUCAUGUUGCGAGGAGAGGCAGAUCAUUGGUGGAAAUCUGUAAAAUGUACCCAGCUUGCCACAUUAAAGAUGUCUUGGGAGAAGUUUCAAGAACUGUUCAACGACAAGUACUUUUUCGAAAGUAUUCGUUAGAUGAAGGAGGUGGAGUUCAUCAGGUUGGAAUAAAACAAUAUGACCAAGACGCAGUACGAGGCUAAGUUUGCGGAGUUAUCCCGGUUUGCAUCUCAUUUGGUUGUUAAUGAGGAGAGAAUGACGCGGAUAUUUUUAAGAGGUUUGAAACCUGAGAUAUGUCAAUAUCUCAUUCUCACAAACUUUGCUUGUAUUCAGAUGUUGUGAAUAUUGUAAUAACUCGAUAUUUUCUAUAUAAUUAAAUCAGAAAUUUUACGUAUGAAUUUUUUUAUUUAAUUAUUAAAGUUGGAAAUAUGUGCCAGGUAAUGUGUAUAUGUAUAUAUGUGAUAAAUAAAAUAUAUUUAUUACAUGAAUAAUUACCAAUAGUUUUAUUUUAGAAUUAUUGCUCAUUAUAAAUUAUAUUAUAAUAAUAAUUAGUUUUAUACUAAAAAUGUUUUCAUUAAUUCUAUUCUAUGAAAAUAUGUUUAUAUAUUAUUUAAAAAUUAUAUGAAAUGAUUAUAUAAUUAUUAUAAUGAUUAUUCUAUUUUAUUAUAUGAAUUUAGUUCAGAUUAUUUAAGUUAAUUAUUUUAACUUAAUUAUUAUUGUUAUGUAUGCAAGAUAAAUCAGAUAUGGAAUCCAAACCCUAAUUUUGGAUUUUGAACAAGGAAUGAGAAUAUUAAUAUAAUAUUAAUUAUAUUUUUAUUUUUCAGUGCUAUAAAUAUAUAUGUUAUGUUUGUAAGGUUAAUCUGGGGAGCAAUUUUCUUAUGACCUGAUAAAACCCUAAUUUGAAAGUCAAUUACGACUGUAAAAUUUGUUAAGUCAUUGUGAUAUGUGGUCUAUGAUUUGUAUUAUAAGUAUUAAUGUUAAUUCUAUAAAACCCUAAUUAGUAAUUUAAAACUCUAUUUUUCUUAAAUUAGGAACCCUAAACAGUACUUAGCUAUCCGCUAAGUGAAAACCCUAAUUUAAAACUCAGCUAUGAGUCGAGACUGUUAUGUAACUGUAUUAUUAUGUUUAAGGUUAAGUAUUAUAGAAUUUUAUAUUAAUUAAAGAAACCCUAAUUAACAUUUAGAAAUUCUAAUUUCUAGAAACCCUAAUUUCUAAAUUAGUAACCCUAAUUUGCUAAAACAAAACUCUAAUUGUUAAUUUGGCACGCUUAAUGAUAAUUAGUAAAAUUUAAACCUAAUUUUCAAGUCUAUGUAAUGAGGAAACCAAAUUAAUUAUGAAACCUUAAUUUGUAUUUUUAGAAACUAAAAAUUUCAAUUUUUUUAAAAUUAGAAAUCCUAUAACACUUUGUGCUAACCCUAAGGGUCAAACCCUAAGGGUUUGAUAAGUUACUAGUUUGCCCUUAAAUUGAUUAGCCAAAUGACAAAAAUACCCCUCUUGCAUUAUUGGACAUAACUUGUAAGACUAGCCAAUUUUGAGUUGCUCAACAACUCUUACCAGCCCCAUGUGACUAAAAUGCCAGCAAUCAAGCUCUAGAUAUCAGCCAACUUGAUUUCAUGUUUUAUAUAUAUAGACAUCAAGAGAGAGAAAUUUCAUUUAUUAGCCACAUUUGUACACAAACUCCUUACCAACUCUCUCUCCCAAAACCCAUGAAAUGUUGUAGUAGAUCAGUCCCGUAUUGAAGCCCCACUAACACACUUAAGCAAAUCAGCAGCCAGAAUCAAGAAUUGAUGCUUAAAGGUAUAAAAUCCUAAGUCAAAUUUUGAUCUUGUAUGCUAUAUUGGAUUUGUGGUUUUAAUGUUUAAUCAUGUUGAAUAAGGUGUUAAUAGGUGAUCUGGGUUGGCACAUGUUAGAUCCAUAACAUCAAAGUGCUCGAAAUCUAAGUUUUUCAAAAUAUGGAAAUUUUUGUUUUUGUUGUCUGACAGCGAAUGUCAGGCCUUGUAGAUCUGUGCUUAUUUAUUAUUUUGAUGAUUUAAAUGUUUGAAGUGGUAGUCUGGUAUGAGGUCUUUCAUAUGAAAAUGGAAUCACUGUUAUUGGAUGUCUAGAUCGAAAAUUAUUGAUGGUCAAAGGUCGUUGACUGACCAUGACCGAGUAUGAAUCUGGGCAACCUUGAAAGCUUUUUCAGCGUCUGAAAAUGUUUUGGAAGGCUUAGAUCUGUCAGUGUGUAAAUGAUUUGAUGAUGUUAUAAUAUCCAGUUUAUAGCUUGUCAUAUGUAAUUUAUAUUUGUGGCUUUAUAUCCUUUAAACAAACAAUUGAUCGAACUUAGUGGAUGGUCAAACCUGGCCCCUCGGUCACGAUUUCAUUUCUGGGAAUUUCCAGAAAAUCGAAAGAACAGCCCUCUGACAGGGUUUGACCGAGUAAUAUCUUGUAGAUCUGUUGAUGUUAAACUGAUUUGUUGUUAUAUUAUUGUUCCUGGACAUAAGGACUACAUCUUUGAGGCAUUAGAUCACUUGAAUCAUGAACGGAACCUAGAUUAAAUCGAGGAUGAAAGUGACUGGUCGACCACCUGGGUUUCUGGAAAACCCAGGAAUGCUCUGACAACAUAUUUGCAAGCCUAGAUCUCCUUGUGUGUUUGUUGUAUGACCUAGAUAUUGAUUGCUAGUUAUAGUGUUGUAUAAUGACUUCAAUAUUGAUGCUUAAGUUUGCCCAAAAACGAAUUAGACAGAGAAUUAUUAGUGGUCAAAGUUGACCCCUCAAACACGAAGCUGUCAGUGUUCUUGAGCUCAAGAACACCAACAGCGACGCUUAGUGUCACUAAAGGCCAAUAGCGAUGGUUUCUAAUAUUUUUAAUUUCUGAUUUUCUAGAAAAUACUUAAAAAUAGAAAAUAAAUUAUAAAAAUUACAAAAAUGGUUUUAAAAAUUAUUUUAAAUUAUGAAAAUUAACUUUUAAUUAUUUGGGAUAUUUUUUAUUAAUAUUUAUAAUUAUUUGAAUAUUAUUAAUAUUUAAUUUAUUUAAUUAGUGUAUUAAAUAAAUUAGAGAAAAAUGAUUUUAAUGUUAUAAAAAUCAAUUUAAAUAAGAAUAAAGUGUUUAAAAAUAUUUUUGAGUUAUAUAUGUAACUUUUAAUAUUUUUGUGAUGAAUUUCAUUAAUUAAUUAAUAUUAAUGAUAAUUAAGUUAUUUAAUAAAUGUAUUAAAUAAAUUAUGAAAAAUAGAAAUUAUGAUUUAAAAAUCAUAUAAAAGUGAUUUAAAGAUUAUAAAAAAAUAUUUUAAGUUAUAAAAUAUAACUUUUGAUAUUUUGUCAUGAAAAAUAUUAAUAAUUUUAUAUUAAUAAUAUUAGAUUUAUUUAAUGAUUAUAUUAAAUAAUUUAGUUUAAAAUGAUUUUAUUAUUAUAAAAUUAUUUUAAAUGAAAAUAAAGUGUUUAAAGAUAUUUUAAGUUAUAAAAUAUAACUUUUAAUAUUUAAAGGAUAAUUUCAUUAAUAAUUUAAUAUUAAUGAUAUUAAUUUAAGAUUUAUUGAUAUUAAAUUUAUUCAAUAAUUAUAUUAAAUAAAUAGUUUUAAAAUGGUUUUAUUAGUUUAAAAAUUAUUUAAAAAGGAUAUAAAUGAAUUAAAAAUAUUUUAAGUUAGAAUUAAUAACGUUUAAUAUUUGGAUAAAUAGUAGAUUAAUAUUUUAAUAUUAAUGGUAAUUAUUUAAAAAUGAUUUUAAAUGUUUAAAAAAUUAUUUAAGGGUAAUAUUAGCACUUUAAAAAUAUUUUGAGUUAUUAUUAAUAACUUUAAUAUUUUGGCAAUGGUUUCAUUAAUAGUUUAAUAUUAAUUAAAUAUUAAUGAUAAUAUGAUUAUUUACUAUUUAAAUCAUUUAAUUAUGAUUCUAGUGUUUGAAAAUUCAUAAUAAAUUAUAAUAAAUGUUUAAAAAUUAUUAUAAGUCAUUUAAAAAUAAUAUGACUGAUAUUUGUAGAUAUUGAGAUACAGGAUAGAGUCUUAGACUCGAUAUUUACCUGAUAAAGCCGUCGGUAGACCGACAUGUUUCAAAAAUUGAUCUAGACUUAGAUAUUUUGACUGUAUUAAUAUUUGUUUGUGAUUCAAUGACUGUUGAAUAUGUGUGACAAUGUGAUUAGGUUAUAUGCUGACUGCAAUAAGCAGUGCUAUGUUAUUCUAAUCGAACGAAUGAUCUUAUUAAUGAUAGAUUUUGGUAUUAAAGAUAAAACUAAGUUGCGUAUUGUAAGCAGCAGACCAGGCAAGUAUCAUAUAUUUGCAUUUUGUUUAUGUGACGCCCCCAAAUCCGGGUUAUCUUUAACUCGGGUUUGGUGCUUACGAUUCUAGAAUACCCAUUCAUACUAAAAAUAAAACUGUCUUAUAUUACAUAAACAUUGAACUUAAAUCCCAGGUUCUAGAGACCUUUACAUACAAGCCAAAUAUUAUUACAUCAUAGUGCUACAGUAUUUAUUACAUGCACUACUUAGGUUCAUUUAAGCACAUGCGCUUAAUAAUUGACUACUCAACAACCUUGCCCUUUCCUUUGUCUUUUCCAGAUGGACCGGCAACCUCAAUUUUAACUGAAAACAUUAUAUUUAACGCAAGGGUGGGCAACAAGUUUGCCCAGCAAGGAAAUAAGCAGCUAAAUAUAAGAGAACAAAAAUAUUACAGUAAUGGGGAUAUCAUACAGAAGGUAUAGAACAAAGUAAUUCUUAAGAGUGUUGAGUCAAAAGUCAGGAUUUAUCAUGCUGUAAGGUCAAAUGACCAGUGAACACUAUACUAGAAUUUACAGUAAUAAUACUGCAAUCUAUGAAUACAAACAGUUAUAAAGCUGUUUUAUAUCCUAGACUCGUACUUCAGGGGAUCAGCCUAAGUACCCUAUAUUGUGCACAACAUAACAGUCUAAUAAAACUUUACAUGUCCUUCAGAAUCAUAUAUACGGUACAAUACGCCCCUAAAAAAGGGUUGUUCGUUCACAGCAUUAUAUAAGAAUCCAUACCACAAUAACAAAAUGGUUUGGAAAGAAUUAACUGAUAAAUUCAUAAACAAUAUCAAUAUAUCUCAACCUUUGUCCAAGCGAAGUAAUGGUAUUGACAUACUUUCAAUAUAACUUUUAUUCAAGAUAGAAAAGUUGAUAUACUAUUCUUUUGAAGCUGAUUGGAAUAAAAAGGCUAUUUAACCUUAUAUUAUUCAUAAAUAAGGACAAACAGUUCAGAAAUUAAAGAACCUGUCCACUGCAGAAUAUUUGCUCAAUAAAGAGUAAGGAUUAGAAACUUGCCUUGUUUGUAGUCUAUCGUUUAGGAUUUCAGCUUAAUUGAAGUAUUUCUCAAAGUCCUACACAGUUAUUUGUAUUAACAAGCAUGUUAAUCACAUAGCUAUGUUAUAUAGUUUGUAAGCUCACAUAUCACAUAAUUUCAGUGAUUAUGGUUGUAGUUAAAUUAUUAUUUUUGAUACAUUUUUCAAAUAUCUCAUCCAUGCUUUCAAGAGACAUUUUUCACUUUGAUGGGUUUCAACAAGCUUUCAACAAGUAAUAGAAAUCAUAUUACAGUCAUCAUUUGCAUUAACCAAGUAUGUUAGCCACAUAGCUAAGUCAUAUAUCAUGUAGUUUUAAUGGUCAUGGUUAGAUUUCCUAUAUUUGAUACAUUUUUCAAAUACCUCAUCCAUGCUUUCAAGAGACAUUUUUCACUUUAUUAGUGUUCAAUAUGCAAUACUUUACAACUACCAUCUCCAUUUCCUUAGUAACAUAGUAUAUAAUCAUUUUAUGUUUCCUUUACUUAAUUUCUAGCAUAUAAGGUGUUUUCAUAGCUUAUUGUCGGUUUUGAAGGUAUUUCUUAUAUGUAUGGUUAACCUAUAGUCUUCCUCAUAGUUUAUAGAUUCAUUUUGACACACCAGUGUAUCAAUUAUCACUGUUUUCACCUAUGAUGCUAAAACAGCCCUUUGAGGCUUUAAUUUUUUUAAACAUGACUUAAUGAUCCCAAUUUAGGUUUACUGUUUAUAUUAGAUUUCAUUUAGAAUUUUUCUCCUACACUUGCUUGCAUCAUAACUCUACUCAUUUAGAGAAACAUAAUCUAUCCUUUAUAGAUAAUCUGGUUACUAAAACUAAAUUUGGAUUCAAACAUGAAUUUUACAAAACAGUCAUUAUUGUAGCUGCUAUACCACAACUGUUGUUUCCCAUUCUACUUGUUGUGGCUAUUGGUAUCAGCUAUAUGCUGCCACUAUUAGGCAGUAAGUCACAUCACUCAUGCCCAAAAAUGCUUCUAAAUUAACCUUUUCAGCUGGCUUUGCAGGCUUUGCAGCCCUUAAUUGAGCCUUACAGCUCAAUAAUCUCUGUAACACAUUUCAGUUAUUAGUCUUAUCUUAUAACUUGCUAUUCCAUUAACAUUUUCUAUGUAUGAAUGCACUGCCAACUGCUACUGCUGGUGUUGCUGUUGCUGCCAAUGGGCAGCGACUAUUAUUUUCUUACCAUAAGCUGUUUGGUCUGUUUCAAGUGCUGCAGUCACAUGUCAUCAUGCUCCAUCAACUAGAGUAAACAAAAAUGCAUGAACUUAACUUACUAACUGCAGCCCAAGAAAAACAAACUCAGCUGUCAAAAUGACAGUGCAGUCAUCUACUUGAAGUUGCCAAGGACAACAGCUAUCCGAAGCUUUUUGCUACUGUCAUUAGCAGCCUCCCUUGCUCCUUAACCCAUUCCCAACAAUCCUCUAACCUCAGUUUUGCUAUAUUUCUAGGAAUAGGCCUCAUGGCUAUAAUCUUUUAGAGUUAUAAGGUUAUCCCAGUUGGCCUAUUAAGCUUUGGCUCCUUGGUUUAGUGACUGUUUCAACAGAGUAGGCAAAGGAGUUUGUCAAGCUAGAAUUACUUAGCCUAAAAACUGAACUAUGCUAAAAAUUUCUAUGCCAAAACAUUACAGUCAUCACAUAUGUUGGGUAAAUCAGGUAAAUAGUGUACUAGUUCUACUAUUCAGUUUCUUUUUACUAAAACAGUCCUCUUAGGUCUUUUAUCAAACAGUUGGUGGGCAUGGUUAUAAGCUACUAGUUCCAUAGCCAUUUGUUUAUAUUCCAACUCAUAUUUUCCCCUUAUUACUCCACAGCCCACUUAUCUCCUUGUGCUUAAAUUAUAACAAUAUCAUAAUGGCAUAACAAUCAAUGAAAUGUUACAACAGUUUAUAUAUAGCAGCUUAACACCCACAUAGCAGUCCUCAAAUCCAUACUAGGCCUUUUAGGCUAAAUGAUCAAAACAGUCCUUAAGUUUUUAACACAAGGAUUAAUAUAACAUGUACAUACUAUGUUUUAUGGUUUAAAGACCCCAAUACCAACCAUCCUGUCUUGACACUAUAACAGCUUUAGACUAGCAAUUUGGUCAUGGUUUAUCACACCAAACCAAUAGCAAGCACUGAUAUGUAUGCCUUUCUAACACUAAAACAUUUUACCUACCAUAUUUUCAUGGUUUAAAGCAUCUAGAGGCAAGGUCCUUAAGUUUAAAAUCAAAACAGCCUCUCAUAGGCUUUUAAAGUAAUAUAAGAUAGCAUGCUUGGGCAACAUGAAAACAAGGACUGCCUACUAUGAAUAUAUUAGAAGUAAGGCAUGAUCAUCAUAAUAAACUUCUAAUAACAGUCCACAUAAUGCAAUAACAGUUCAUAUAAGGCAAUAAUAAUUUAUAUAGCAACUAAAGUCCUUCUAACAGUCAUUUAUGCUUAUUCUAGUCACCACAACAAGUAUACUGUCUUAGUCCAUUCUGUAUACUAGUUCUGGGCAUGGUAAUAUAUUUUACAAUCAUAAAUAACCAACCAUCUUGGACUCCUUUCCAGCCACACUGUUUUGCCAUUAUAGCAGUUUUAGACUAGCACCUUAGGCACAGUUCAUCACAGCAAAACAGUAGCAACAUAGCAUAGCGUAUCAGUCCAGUUAUUACAAUAACAGUUGGUAUAUCACAAGGAUGAUGCUACAGCUAUUCAAGUCUCUUUUAGGCCAUUUUGGCAAGGUUUUAGUAAUAAGUUAUCAAAGCGGUCAUUAGUGUGCAAUACAAAGAUUAUUACCUCAUGUACAUGCUAUAGAAUAUAUGUUCAUGUUUUAAGAGCCUAUAUACAAGGUUUCUUGCUGUUAGUUCAUAACAAUCCCUUAUAGGCUUCAAUUUAAUACACGGAAGCAUGAUCUGAAAAAUUUAGUUAUCAAAAUAACAUGUUUAAACAUAAACAUAUACUCGAGGUAUUCUUUUUCUUUCUAUAUAAUCAAGUAGACAUGCUAUUAGGCUCUAUUUACAGCUAGCAUACCUUGAUACCAUAACAGUCCAAUUAGAGCAAUAUUUUAGGCAUGGUCUAUUACAACAAAAUGGUAGCAAGCACUGACAUGUUUUCCUUUCUAACACAGGCACCUUUUAUUUAUCAUAUAUUCAUGAUUUAAAACAUCUAAAGGCAAAAUCUCUUUGCUUUAAGCCAACACAGCCCUCUUUAGGACCCACUUUCCAAAAAUAACCAUGGUUUACCCUUAUGUUUACAAGGAUAACAUGGAUGUGCAACAUAGAAGUUUAGACUAUCUUCUUUAUAUGGUAUUUAAGAUGCAAAAAUAUAUUUGGAUGUCAUAGAAUGCCUUACCCCAUAUAUAUCAGUCCUUAUUAAGCCUCAAAUCUAGCAUACCAGUUUCUCAGAAUAGUGGCCAAGUCUUGGUUAAUUGCUUAGAUUACAUAUAUGCUAGUAUACAAUAGUUAUACCCAAUACAUCAUGCCACAUAUAACAUAUAAGCAGUCCUUUAUUAAUAAUCAUAGCAUAACAGUCCAUUUAACAUCAUAGCAAUUCAUAUGGUAACACAGAUCAUGCUAACCGAAAUCAUAAUAUCAUUAACUUUUUAGCAGCUCCUUAGCUUGACAAAUUAUCAAACACCUAGAGUGCAGUCUAUAUACUUGCACUUAAUACAUAAUUUCUAGCCCUCUGCCCCCAGCCGUAUGGCUUAAACAAUAUCAAGCAUAAGACCACACUUAUCAGUACCAAACCCAGCAGUUCAAAUAACAUGAAAGCAGUCAGUUAUCAUAACAGCCAUACACGUUUUUGGUCAUUGACAAUUCAUUUUACUAAUUAAUUUAAUAGCCAUCCUAAUCAUUUAUCAAUUCAGUUGUUACCCGGAAUGAAUGGAAAGAUUAGAAAGGCCAGAAUUGGCUUACCUUGCUGAUUCGAAGGUAUCAAGUGGUUGAGCUGCUUAAUUCCUUUUCCCCUCUAGCCGAACUCUUCACUCUUACUCUAUAUGACCGUUGCUGCUAAUUCUUUUGGACUCAGUUAAGUGAUGAGGCUAAUUGAUUUUGGGUAAUAACCUGGCCUUUUUAUGGCUGAGCUUAGCUUCCUUACAGUUGAUCGCAUCACCUUCUACUUGCCCCCUAACAUAUAAUCUAUUACCUCUAGCAGUUAGACUGCUCUGCAGCCACCCUACAAGACCCUAGUCUCUCUGCCAUGCCUUAUCUGUUGCUAACCUGUCUACUAACUAAUAACUGACUAACUUAUAGACUAACUACUGCUAACAACAGAACAGCCUCAGCUCCUAAGUUUACCCCUGUGGGCUGUUGGAAAAAAUCCUAAGGCAAGGCUGGGCAGUGGUUUCAUUUUGGGCCUAGUCCCUUUAACCCAAAGUUUUACUUGUUAAUUUGCUAUACUCCAAUGGGUUUACAGGAUUGGGUUUUGGACAUCCAUUUCACUCUUUAACACUUGGAGCUGCCGAAUUGGGCUAGCAAAUAGACUACAUGCAACGAUCAUGGCAAAAUUAUUAAGGCCCAAUAUUUUAAUAUGGACUCUUGUUACAUUAAAACACAUGGACUAUUAUUUUCUCUAGCAACAAUAGUUAUAACAUAUAUCAUUAAAAUGACUAUUCUAUGUAAUCUUAAAUAAUUCAUGAUGGCACAUAAUUUCUUUGCCCUUUAUAACUCAAGAUGCUAAACGAACUAUUAAAUAAAUAAUAUUUUUAUCACAAUGAGAAUUAACAUAUCAUAAAAAAAAAUUUAUACUCAAAAAUUGACAUUACAAUAAUUAAAUAUUACAUAGGAUGAACUACAGGCCAAUGAGGACUUUUACCACAUCAUUCGUCACAUUACGGUCAUUAUUAUACCGAAUCAUCCCUGGUCAUAAUCAUACCAAGUCCAUCUAUGCACGUAAGCCAAAGAUGACUUUCAUCACAAUAUAAGCAUGAGGAUGAUGACAAUAAUAUAAGCAUUAAUCAAACGAAAAUAAUGAUAAAUUUUAAAGACUUUAAAUUUAUCCAAAUGUUUAUCAAUCACUUAAUAAACUCAUAAUCUAAUAUUAUUAAUAUUAUAACAAUAUUUUAAUCACUUCUUGAACUUAUAAACAAUUUAUUCUAAUUGUUUACACUUUCCCAAAUAAUACAUUUUAAUCAUUCAAAAAUACCAUACUCAUAAGAUUUCAUCACCAAUGAUCAAAUCCCUUAUCAAAAAUCUGCAUAUACCUUAUAUAGGAUUUCCAAGCCAUAAAAUCCAUUUUACCAAUUUUUCAACUUCACAUAACAUAUUUAAUUCAUAUGUUCGUAACUAAACUAUUUUCAUGAAAAAUACCAAAUCAGUCCAAAAAAUUAUUCUUUUUUGGGAUUUAGCAGAAUAUAGUCCCAUAUUGAACAUAUAUUUUUCUCAUAAUUUUUAAAAUUCAUUUACUAUUUUUCAUAUGGCCAAAACUGCCGAAUAUUUAGACAUUUAUCAUAAAUUGUACUUUUGUCCAAAAAUUCCGAAAUUUACAAGGUAUACUCCUAUUAUAUAUGUGUACUCCCAAUAAAAAUUUAACCAAUUUUGGAGUUAACCACAAGGAGUUAUAAGGGUUUACUUUUAAAAUAGUUUUUUCCCAUAAAAUUCAUAACUCCUAAUCUAUACAUCCAAAAAUUGCCAUUUUUGGACACAAUCUAGAAAUCUCAACAAACUAUCAUUUCAAAUGUUUCCAAAAUUUUUGAGGGUCAGAAAAAUUACGAAACUGCAAAUAGAUUUUCACCCGUCAUUCGGUAAUCCAGGUAGACAGAUCAUUUCCACAAUUUAAUAAGGAAUGAAUACAAAGGAUCAUUCACCAUGCAUGCGGUAAUCCACAUAGACAGGUUAUUCCAACAGAAUAAUAAAAAAUAGAAUAACAACAGAAUUCACCAGGCAUACGGUAAUCCGCGUAUACAGGUUAUUCCAAUAGAAUAAUAAAUAAUGGAACCAGGUCAUGCGUAAUCCGCAUAGACAGGAUAUUCCAACAGAAUAAUAAAGAAUGGAAUAACAACAGAAAUUCACCAAGCAUACGGUAAUCCGCGUAUACAGGUAAUUCUAACAGAAUAAUAAAGAAUGGAAUAACAAUAGAAUUCACCAGGCAUACGAUAAUCCGCGUAUACAGGUUAUUCCAACAGAAUAAUAAAGAAUGGAAUAAUAGAAAAUUUUCACCACGUAUGCGGUACUUCGCAUAGACAGGUUACUCCAAUAUAAUAAUAAAGAAUGAAAUAACAAAAGAAUUUCACCAUGUAUGCGAUACUUCGCAUAAACAGGUUAUUCCAACAUAAUAAUAAAGAAUGGAAUAACAACAGCUCUCUUCAUGAAUACGAAAGAAAUAAUAAUACCCCUUACCUUAGAAGAAACUGGAUACUGGAAUAGUGAGGUAGCAGGCUUCUCUUCUUCUUUCUCUCUAUAAUUUCUCUCUAUAAUAAUUGCUCUAUAGCUUUAGUGAAUUGGUGAGAAAUGAAGGAAGAAUGAGCUUCUGUUUAUAGGAAAACAUAGUUUCAAUAAUUGCACAUUUUGGGGCUCGAAAUAUUACAUUAUAAUACCUUCCUCUUUUUCUUUAUUUUUAAUUUAGCCCUGCAAGUAUUAUCAAACUUGCACCACCUCCUCUAAUAGUAAAUCAUGUGAAUUAAUAGUAAAUCAUGUGAAUCAAUAGUUCUAGACAUGUGAAAAUACGAAUUACAGUAUAGUACCUCCAUCUAUACCUCUAUUUUUAACUUAGUCAUGCAAGUAUUAUCAAUCUUGCACCAACUCCCCUAAUAGUACCAUAAUGUGAAUCAAUAGUACACACAUGUGAACAAAUAGUUAUAAUCAUAUGAAUUAAUAGCAAUUAAAAGCUCAUUUAUCCGGAUAAUUACCCGAUUGGUCAAUAUAACCUCCAGACAUCAAUUAUCAUCGAAAUAAAUGUCGAUUCCCACUAACACUAAUAAUUCCAACACAAUGGAACUAUCAAUUUCAUCUUUAAUCAACACAAAUUUAUUCAUCAUUAAUAUUAUAACUCAUAAUAUUUAACAACAAGAUCGUUCCCAGGAAAGAGGGGGCCUUCCGGUAAGGAUUUCUCCUCACUGGUGCGCAAUUACCUAACCUCUCCUUGACAGAACUUCUAGACAUUGUCAAUAUUGCAAUUUAAUAAUAUUAAUAAGUUUACCAUCUUAAUUAUUUAUUUAAUAAUAUAACAUAUUAUGCAGAUGAUACUGUGACAAUAAUUGAAUCAAUAAUAUGAGAGAUAUGAUGUAAUAAUUACUGUAGCAAUAAUUGAGUAUAACUGAGUGACUUCUUACGUAAGCAUUAAUAAUCAAUACCGUGUGCUACUCAAUUCGUCAGCUACCACGUUCGCUCUUUCAUGAUGAUAUUGAAUGGUACGAUCGUAAUCUUCUACAGCUCAAGCCAACGUCUUUGGCACAUUAUACGAUUAUUUUAGGUAAAGAAAUAUUUGAGGGUUUUAGAAAUGAGUUUUGUACUUGGGUCAAUACAAAAUAUGAUUUCACGCUCUGGGGUAGGCAAGGAAGUUCUUCGAGAAUACGUCAGAAUAUUUAUUAACAAUAGAAAUAUCAUUUAAAAACUGUGACUCUCAUCCAAGACUUGGACAACACAUGAAAUGAAGGUUUCUACUAACGAAGUUUCAACCAAUAAGUCAAAGUCUAACUUCUCUGGGGUCAAAUUUAAAUGUUGAGCGCAAGCAAGAGAGAUAAAAGAAUGGGUAGAACCGGUAUCUAAUAAGGUAUAGACUUCGCAAAAAUUUAUAAUUAACUAACCCGUGCUAACUUCGUUCGGGUUACUCGCUUUUUGAGAAGUCAUGAAAAACGCUCUUCCUGAAACCACCGACUUUGUUUUGUCCAUAUCCGCCUUUGGUGCCACCGUCCCAGCUGGACUUGACUUUGGUGCACGACAAAAUCGGGCUAAGUGUCCUUUUCCAUAAUUAUAACAUGUUUUGGACUGCAUCACGCAGUUUGGACUGAUAUGUCCCUCCCCUCCGCAUUUGAAGCAUACAAUUGGUGGUCGUUCUCCUUCCUUGAAAACGGGUGUUGGUGCUGCUGUCUUUGCAUCUUUGUUGAACCUUCUCUUCUUGAAAUUUCCACUCCUAUUAUCUUGGUCAUGAUUACCACCGAAGUGGUUACCAUUCUUGGUGUAAGACCCCAACUUUUAUGAAUAAAAAAUGAAUUUUCUAUAAAUAUCAUUUUUGAAUAUUAUGGAGUAAAUUUGAUAUAAUGUUAUAGUUGUGGGUAAUAUUUAUAAAUUUUGAAAAGUACGCAAGUUGUUAUAUAAUAUUCGUUUGGUCGGAAAAUAUUCUUUUUGUCGGGAAUAUCCGUACGACGACACAAUCAUUGGUGGACCCCCACAACGGAAGUAUUGUCGUAGUAAGAAAACGACAGAAUUAUCUUUUUAUAAAAAUAACGGCUAAAGUUUUACCGUUAAAACUGUUGAACUACUCGGUAGUAAAAGUACAGUAAUACGUGUGGUUGCAUAGUAGCACACGAUAUUGAUUAUUAAUACUUACGUGAGAAGUCACUCAGUUAUACUCAAUUAUUGCUAUAGUAAUUGUUGCAUCAUAUCUCUCAUAUUAUUGAUUCAUUUAUUGUCACAGUAUUAUCUGCAUAAUAUGUUAUAUUAUUAAAUCAAUAAUUGAGACGACAAAGUUAUUAAUAUUAUUAAAUUGCAAUAUUGACAAUGUCUAGAAGUUCUGUCAAGGAGAGGUUAGGUAAUUGCGCGCCAAUGAGGAGAAAUCCUUACCGGAAGGCCCCCUCUUUCCUGGGAACGAUCUUGUUGUUAAAUAUUAUGAGUUAUAAUAUUAAUGAUGAAUAAGUUUUGUUGAUUAAAGAUGAAAUUGAUAGUUCCAUUGUGUUGGGAUUAUUAGCGUUAGUGGAAAUCGACAUUUAUUUUGAUGAUAGUUGAUGUCUGGGGGUUAUAUUGAUAAAUCGGGUAAUUUAUCGGAUAAAUGAGCAAUUAAUUGCUACUAAUUCACAUGUUUAUAUAACUAUUUGUUCACAUGUGUGUACUAUUGAUUCACAUUCUGGUACUAUUAGGGGAGUUGGUGCAAGAUUGAUAAUACUUGCAUGACUAAGUUAAAAAUUGAGGUAUAGAUGGAUGUACUAUACUGUAAUUCGUAUUUUCACAUAUCUAGAACUAUUGAGUCACAUGAUUUACUAUUAAUUCACAUGAUUUACUAUUAGGGGAGUUGGUGCAAGAUUGAUAAUACUUGCAGGACUAAAUUAAAGAUAAAGAAAAAGAGGAAGGUAUUAUACUGUAAUAUUUUGAGCCCCAAAACGUGCAAUUAUCAAAACUAUAUUUUCCUAUAAAUAGAAGCUCAUUCCUUCAUUAUUUUUCACUAAUUCACUAAAGCUAUAGAGCAUUUAUUAUAGAGAGAAAUUAUAGAGAGAAAGAAGAAGAAAAGUCUACACUUCACUACUCCAGUAUCCAAUCUUCUUUGAGGUAAGGGGUAUUAUUCUUUCGUAUUCAUGAAGAGAGUUAUUUUUUUUCAAUACUCGUUAUUCCAUUCCUUAUUAUUAUGUUGGAAUAACAUGUCUAUGCGAAGUACCGCAUACAUGGUGAAAUUCUUCUAUUAUUCCAUUCUUUAAUAUUCUGUUGAAAUAUCUUGUUUGUGCGUUUUACGCAAGACCUGGUUCCAUUAUAUAUUAUUCUGUCAGAAUAUCUUGUCUGUGCUUUACGCAUGACCUGGUUCCAUUAUUUAUUAUUCAGUUUGAAUAACAUGUAUACGCGGAUUACCGUAUACCUGGUGAAUUUUGUUGUUAUUACAUUCUUUAUUAUACUCAGUUGGUUAAAGUUUUGGCUUUUAUACUCUAUGAAAUUAGUGGAAUAUCCUUGAUAUUUGCGCUUCAUCCAAUAUCUUUUCAUGGAAAUAUUCUUCUGAGCAUUCUUGAAUUUUACAUCACAAAGCAGUAUCAUGUUGACAUUUUGGACGUUAUUGGUUCCUGGAUAAAUUAAUUCUUGAACUUGUUUUAUUGAAUUCUUAUAUCAUUAUCAUCAUCCUCAUGUUUAUAUUCUGUUGAGAGUCAUCUGUGGCCUGUAGUGCAUAGAUGGACUUGGUAUGAUUAUGACCAGGGAUUAUUCGGUAUAAUCAUGACUGUAAUAUUACAAAUAAUAUGGUAAAAGUCCUCAUUGGCCGUAGUGCAUUGUUGGACAAUUGUUGGUAUGAUCAUGACCAUUGAUGAAUACACGAAUAUCCUUGGUCGUAGUGCAGGGAUGAUGUUGAUUAUUUAUUAACCUGAGUCUCAGCGAUGAAAAUGAUGAAAAACCUUUUUAAAUCAUAGAAGAUAAUAGAUUUUAUGCUCUAUUUGACUCUUUUAAUGGAUUGCUUAUUUUCGCUGCAGUUUUUGAUCUAAAACUUGUUGUUUAUUAUAUUCUAUCAGUUGUUAUACUGUUGAAGGCUAAGGAUAAUUUAUUCUGCAUUAACUUAGUCAUAAUAUUUCUUACUGGGCUUGUUGAGCUCACCCUUUUCUUUCAUGGUUCUCUUCAGGAAAUGAGAACGUAGCUGAGACUAGUCAGGGAACAGAGUGACGGCCCAGAUGUUUGCAUUAAUUGUCCUCACUAUUCUGUGAAAUAGUGUGAUAAUAAAUGUAAUGAGGACUCCAUUGAGUGUGGAUAUUGUCUAGAUGACAAUAUUCUUCUUAAAACUCUUAGAUUAUGUUUUGUCGUAUUUUACACGACUGUUGUAUAAUUAAGUUGUAUUUGAAUUUUGUACCAUAUAUCCGGCGACUCAAGAUGGGUGAUGUAUACCUAUUUUGAGGGCAUCAUAGUUGGUAUCAAAGCUUAGGGAUAUGAUCCCUGGUUGAGAUGUGAGAUAAGAACUAGGAGGGGAGAGACGGGGAAUUCCUUUGUUAGUAUAACCUACCUAAGUUUAUUUGGUAUUUAAUUGGUCGGUCACAAUAUAUGGAUAAUAUGUGACAUGUCAAUUAACCCUUGUUUUGUGACAGUAUUUGAAAAUGGCAUCCGAAAAUGUUGAGAAUAGCAAUGGAGCACAGGAGACCGUUGAGUCACCAUAGAUUAAUACCCAGGAUAAUGUGUAACAGGAAGAAAAUAAUCCUCAGGUAAACAAUAACACCGAUGAAAUGGGGAACGAUGGGAUGUUCAGAGGCUUUAUGCAAUUCAUGCAACAUCAGGCGAGGGCGGCUCCUGUCCAAAAUGCAGGUGGAAACACUGACAACUCUCGGACGGUCACCGCUAAGCAGUUCAAGGAGCUGGGACCACCGGAGUUUUUUGGAGAGCCAAAACCACUUAAGACAGAGACGUGGAUAAAGAAGAUCAACAGGAUAUUUGAUGUCUUGGGAUGCUCCGAGGAACAAAAGGUUCCUUUUGUCACCUUCAUGUUGCGAGCAGAGGCAGAUUACUGGUGGGAAUCCGUAAAGCGUACUCAACUUGCCGCACUGAAAAUGUCUUGGGAGAAGUUCCAAGAACUGUUCAACGAAAAGUACUUUCCCGAAAGUAUUCGUCAAAUGAAAGAGGUAGAGUUCAUCAAGCUUGAGCAAAAAAAUAUGACUGUGGCGCAGUACAAAGCUAAGUUUGUCGAGUUAUCUCGGUUUGCGUCCCACUUGAUUGAUAAUAAGGAGAGAAUGACGCGGAUGUUUUCAAAGAGGUUUGAAACCCGAGAUACGUCAAUACCUAAUUUCUCACAAACCGUGUUUGUAUUCAGAUGUUGUGAAUAGGGCUCAGUUAUUGGAGCGCGAUAAUGAAUCAACCCAACCAAGAGAGAGCAGCCGACAAGUCGAUAAUACCAGUGGUAGCAGUCAUCGAAGCGGUGACAACAAGCGUGGAGGGAAUCAACAUGCCAAAAAUGGUAAUCACUUCGGUGGUAAUCAUGGCCAUGACAAUAAGAGUGGACAUUUCAAGAAGACGAGAUUCAACAAUGAUGGAAAGACGUCAGCACCAGCACCUGUUGUUAAGGAAGGAGAACAAUCGCCGGUCGUAUAUUAUAAAUGCGGAGGGGAGGGACAUAUCAGUCCAAACUGCGUGAUGCAGUCCAAAGCAUGUUACAAUUGUGGAAGAGAAGGUCACCUAGGCUGAUUUUUUCGUGCACCAAAGUCAAGUCCAGCUGGGAUGGAGGCAUCAAAGGCCGUCCCAGACAAGACAAAACCGGUAGUUCAACGGAGAGCGUUUGUCGUAACCUCCCAAAAAGUGAGGAAUCCGAAUGAGGUGAUCACGGGUAAGCUAAUCAUAAACUCUAGCAAAGUCUAUACCUUAUUUGAUACCGGCUCUACCCAUUCUUUUAUUUCUCCUAUUUGCGCUCAACGUUUAAAUUUGACUCCGAAGAAGUUAGACUUUGACUUAUCGGUUAAAACUCCAUUGGGAGAAACCUUCAUUACAUCCACUAUUUAUAAGUCUUGUUUGAUUCAAAUCGGUAACCGUACAUUACCUGUCGAUCUUUUUUCUUUGAAAAUACUUGCAUUUGAUGUGAUUUUAGAGAUUAAUUGGUUAACUACUCAUCAUGCUAAAAUCGAUUGUUUUCGUAAGGUUGUUAGCUUUCAUAUUCCUAACCAACCUAUUAUGCGAAUUCAAGCAACCAAACAACUAAAAUCAAUCACUAUCAUAUCAAGCCAUAAAGCUAUUCAUUUAUUAAAAAAUGGAUGUCAAGCUUUCUUAGCCCAUGUCACGGAUUUAAAUAAAAAUACGUCAGAUUUGAAUGAUAUUUCUAUUGUUCAUAAAUUUCCUGACGUAUUCCUUGAAGAAAUUCCUGGCCUACCCCUAGAGUGUGAAAUUGAAUUUUGUAUCGACCUUGAAUGUGGUACAAAACCCAUUUCCAAAGCCCCAUAUCGAAUGGCUCCUAUUGAACUUCAGGAGUUAAAAACCUAACUACAGGAAUUAUUAGACAUCAGUUUCAUUCGUCCUAGUACAUCUCCUUGGGGUGCUCCUGUUCUAUUCGUGAAGAAGAAAGAUGGAAGUAUGCAACUUUGUAUUGAUUAUCGGGAGUUGAAUCAUGUCACCAUCAAAAAUAGGUACCCGUUGCCUCGCAUUAAUGACCUGUUUGACCAGUUGCAAGGAGCUAAAUUCUUUUCAAAGAUUGAUCUUCGUUCCGGAUAUCAUCAGUUGAAGAUUAAAACUGAUGACAUUCCAAAGACUGAUUUCAGAACUCGGUAAGGGCAUUAUGAAUUUCUAGUCAUGUCUUUUGGAUUGACUAAUGCUCCUGCUGCCUUCAUGGACAUGAUGAACCGAGUAUUCAAGGAAUAUUUGGAUCACUUUGUGGUCGUCUUUAUUGAUGACAUCCUCAUAUACUCCAAAAGCCGUGAAGACCAUGAUCAACACUUGAGGCUGAUACUUCAAAAACUUCGUGAGAACAAGCUUUAUGCCUAGUUAAAGAAAUGUGAGUUCUGGCUUGAGGAAGUUGCAUUCCUUGGGCACGUGAUAUCAAAUCAUGGAAUAUCUGUUGAACCAGCAAAGAUUGAAGGAAUCCAAAGCUAGGAGCAACCAAAGUCAGUGACUGAAAUACGUAGCUUUCUUGGCUUAGUUGGUUAUUAUCGGAGAUUCGUGGAAGGAUUUUCUCGAAUCGCUACUCCAUUAACUCAGCUGACUCGAAAAGAUACAAAGUUCAGUUGGAGCGAGAAAUGUGAGAAGAGUUUUCAAGAACUCAAGAGAAGACUCAUUUCAGCACAUGUUCUGACAAUACCAUCUGGCUCGGAGGGAUUUGUCAUCUACAGUGAUGCUUCAGGCAAAGGGGUUAGGAUGUGUUCUCAUGCAACAUGGAAAAGUCAUAGCCUAUGCCUCACGACAACUCAAAGAAUAUGAGAGGAAUUAUCCUACUCAUGAUCUAAAGUUGGCAGCAGUCGUUUUUGCGCUUAAGAUUUGGAGGCAUUACCUGUAUGGAGAGAAGGUGGAGAUCUAUACGGAUCAUAAAAGCCUCAAAUAUUUCUUCACUCAAAAGGAACUCAACAUGCGGCAAUGACGAUGGCUUGAGCUGUUAAAAGAUUAUGAUCAUACCAUCCAAUACCAUCCUGGAAAAGCGAACGUAGUAGCUGACGCAUUGAGUAGAAGAUCAUAUGCGGGUACGAGUGCAAUAUUGUCAACGCUAAGACCCAUUUUGUAUGACUAACGAAGGAUGGAGAUAGAGUUAAAAACUCCAGGGACCCAUGUGAUAAUGACGGAUAUACGAGUAGAACCGACUUUAAUCAAUAAAGUUAAAGCUGCUCAAGCUACAGACCUGGAGCUGAUGCAUAUGAGGAAGAAAGUGCAAGAAGGUGCUAUUCCAGAAGCAAGAAUCGAUGAAGAAAGAAUACUUCGAGUCAACUCCAGACUUUGUGUUCCUAACGAUUUUGACUUGAAGUAUAAAAUCAUGAUGGAGGCAAACAACACACCGUUUGCAAUCCAUCACGGGAGUACCAAAAUGUAUCGUGAUCUUCGACAUACAUUUUGGUGGAGCAAUAUGAAGAGAGAGAUAGCGGGGUUUAUCUCAAGGUGUCUAACUUUUCAACGAGUCAAGGCGGAGCAUCAAGUGCCAAAAGGUCCAUUGCAACCACUUGAAAUUCCAGAAUGGAAGUGGGAGCACAUUACCAUGGAUUUCGUUACUGGUCUUCCCAAGGUUUCCCAAGGCGUAGAUGCGAUUUCGGUCAUUGUUGAUAGAUUGACCAAGUCUACUCAUUUCUUACCGAUACGAGAAACUUAUACACUUGAACGUCUUGCUAGUAUGUACAUAAAUGAGAUUGUAAGAUUGCAUGGCAUGCCAGUAUCCAUAGUUUCUGAUCGAGACCCAAGAUUCACUUCAAGAUUUUGGGUUAGUGUGACGCCCCCAAAAUAGGUCCACACGAACCAUUCUGAGUCGCCAGAUAUCACACUAUAAAAAUCAAAUACAAACUUUAUUUAUACAACUGUUGAACUGUCGUGCAGAGUACGACAACAGUUAACUGUGAGUUUUAAUACAAAUAUUGUCAUCGUAGACAGUAUCCAAACUCAAAUUGUUACAAUGCCAUAUAAAAUACAGCAGCAAAUAUUUUAAGACCCCAAAGAAGAACGAGAAGAUUACUAUCAUAUUCAUUCUAAUGAGGUGCACUUUUGACGCUUUCAAAGUCGGGUUCUCAUCACCCUUAUUGUUGUUCACCAACAUCAAUUAUUAAGUGACGUAUAAAAUACAACACACACAUCUUAGGUCUUUAAUACAAUUAUCGGUUGCAUAUCAUGCCGUUUUAUAAUGUAUUGAGAAAUUUCGACAGUCUCGGACCAUCACACUAUUUUCCUGUUAUCCCCGCUCGACCCAGCUACACUCUUAUUACCUAAAAGGAAUUGUGAAGCAAAAGGGUGAGCACAAUUAGCCCAGUAAGGAAUAUCAUGGCUAAGAUAAUUAAUUUAUCAACAGCCUUUAUCAGAAUAAAUCAGAGAUUUAGAACAUAUGGUAGAUAAUAAAACGUUUCAACCAUAGUUGCAGCGGAACGAGUAAUCCAUUAGAUGAGUCAAGUAGAACAUAAUGUCUACUAUCUCCUCUAGAUUAAAAGUCCAUCGUUGAUAUUUUAUUCCUGUAAUACUCAUCAACAGUUCUUUGUUAUACUUAAGACAAAUAAAACUUUCAACACUUGUCUUCACCUGAACCACCAAAGAUGUUAGUUAAAUUCACAAUUCAUAUUUAUAAUAAUGUGAAUUAACAGUUCCUUCUUUCCACCAAGACUUAAUAGAAUGUUUACUCAAUAUCUUUACCCCAAAGGCUGAAGGUAUUCAAAUGUAAUAACAAUGAUCAUACCAAUCAGUUGUCUAUCUUUGCAUUACGGGCCAAAGAUAUUCAACUAUAGAACCAAUGGUCAUGAUCAUACCAAUCACAUCAUUGAAUUAUCCAUGCACUACGGCCAAGGAUAUUCGUUAGUAUCACUAGUGGUCAUGAUCAUGUCAUACACCUGUCCAUCUUCACACUACGGGUCAAAGCUAUCAAAUAACAGAUCAUCUUUGCACUACAGGCCAAAAAUAUUCAACAACAUAUCGUCUUUGCACUACAGGUCAAAGACAUACUACUGUAAAACCAAUAACCAACAAUAUAAUAAAGAAUGGAAUAAUAAAAGAAUUUCACCAUGCGUGCGUAAUCCGCACAGAAAGGUUAUUCCAACAUAAUAAUAAAGAAUGGAACCAGGUCAUGCGUAAAUGCACAGACAGGAUAUUCCAACAGAAUAAUAAAGAAUUGAAUAACAACAGACUUCACCAAGUAUACGGUAAUCCGCGUAUACAGGUUAUUCCAACAGAAUAAUAAAGAAUUGAAUAACAACAGACUUCACCAGGUAUACGGUAAUCCACGUAUACAGGUUAUUCCAACAGAAUAAUAAAGAAUUGAAUAACAACAGACUUCACCAGGUAUAUGGUAAUCCGCGUAUACAGGUUAUUCCAACAGAAUAAUCAAGAAUGGAAUAACAACAGACAUCACCAGGUAUACGGUAAUUCGCGUAUACAGGUUAUUCCAACAGAAUAAUAAAUGGAACCAGGUCAGGAGAAAUUCGCACCGACAGGAUAUUCCGACAGAAUAAUAAAGAAUAAAAUAAUAGAAGAAUUUCACCAUGUAUGCGGUACUUCGCAUAAACAGGUUAUUCCAACAUAAUAAUAAAUAAUGUAAUACAUAAGGAUUUCACCAAGUAAAGGGUAUGACGCUUAUACAGUUUAUGUAUAGGGUAUGCCUCAUAUACAGGUUAUUCCAACAGAAUAAUAAAGAAUGGAAUAACAGAAGUUCUCUUCAUGAAUAAGAAAGAAUAACACCCCUUACUAUAAUAAUAUUAUCCCUUACCGUAAAAAAACUGAAAAUAGAGGUAGUGAAGUAGCAGAAUAGUCUUCUUCUUUCUUUCUAUAAUUUCUCUCUCUAGAGUUUCAGUGAAUUCGUAAGAAAAUAAUGAAGGAAUGAGCUUCUAUUUAUAGAAGAAUGGAUUGCAUAGUAACUAACUCAUGAACGGUCCAAAUUGAUUUACUUUAAUCUGACGGUCCAUAUUUAAAGCAAAAUCUUUUAAAUAAAAUAUAAUAUAUUCUAUUUAUAAUCUAAUAAAAUAAAUAACUUUAUGUAAAUACUAUGCAGGCACUAUGCAAAUACUAUGCAUAAUAAAAUAUAAUAUAAUCUAAUUAUUGUCUAAUAAAACGAAUAACUUUAGAAAAGUAUUAUGUUUUAUAUAAAAAGAUUUUACUAUUAGUCUAAUAAAAUGAAUAACUUUAUAAAAGUAUUCUGUUUUAUAUAAAAAGUUUUUCUGUUUUAUUACGUUAAUAAUACGAAUAAAACAAAACUUCAUCAUCGCUUACUUUGAAAAUUUUUCAAAUGUCACCCUUAACUUUAAACUUUUAUCAAUUUAAUCAUUUACCAAAAUAGAAAAAUUGAAUACUUUUAUUUCAUAAAAUUCGGGGUCUCACAGUUAGUUUGCAAAAAGCUAUGGGCACGGAUUUACGAUUUAGUUCGGCAUAUCAUCCUCAAACGGAUGGGCAGUCGGAAAGGACUAUUCAAACUCUUGAGGAUUUAUUAAGAUUAUGUGUCCUUGACUUCAAGGGAAGUUGGGACAAGUUCUUACCAUUGGUGGAGUUUUCCUACAACAAUAGUUAUCAAGCAAGUAUUGGCAUGACUCCAUUUGAAGCGUUGUAUGGAAGAAAGUGUCGUUCUCCAGUAUGCUGGGAUGAGGUGGGUGAAGCAACGUUGUUGGGACUGGAGUUGGUACGUAUGACUACGAAAAAGAUUCAAACGAUCCGACAACGUAUAAAAACCUCACAAGAUNNNNNNNNNNNNNNNNNNNNNNNNNNNNNNNNNNNNNNNNNNNNNNNNNNNNNNNNNNNNNNNNNNNNNNNNNNNNNNNNNNNNNNNNNNNNNNNNNNNNUAUAUAUAUAUAUAUAUAUAUAUAUAUAUAUAUAUAUAUAUAUAUAUAUAUAUUGUCCAAAAUUAAUUUUUAGUUUUUGAGAUGGCAUGUAACCAUCACAUAUAUAUUUCUCCUUAAUGUGAUUGCAUUUAAGCCAUAACAAAGAAAAAAGUUUAAAAUAAUCUUUGGUGACAGCCAAGACCAUCACGAAAAGAAAACCACAUGUGAUGGACCUUUAUGAUUACAUUUAAAGUAAUCUCAACAAAUGGUAUUAUAUGAUGGACUUUUUCAACAAUCACAAAAUAAUAAUAUACAUGACGGCUCCUAGUAGUGGUUAUUUUUUCCAUCACCAUAAACUAUUUGUGACGGACAAGACAAUCACUAAAAAACAAGCAUAUAUGAACAACAAAUAUAUUAGGCGAGGAAUUUACUAGCAAUCACAAAAUAGUAGUAUAUAUGGUAGAUGUUACUCAAUGUCUAAUUGUGCCAUUAUUAUUAAAUAUUUAAGACAAUCAUUACAAUCACUAAAUUUUUCGCGUAAAUUGUACAUCUCUUUUUUAAGUCCCCAUUAAUCUUUAUUUUGCUUUGUUCUCUUUGUAAACUCAUUGUUUUUAUUGUGAAUUCAAAGGAUUUAGAGUUUAUCUCGUUUUUAUAUAACUAACUAUUUACGUUUGUUCUCUUUGUCUCGGUUGGUAUAUAUCUACUUCUUUCUAUGCAAGAAGUCUAGAGUCCAAAUCUCCACCCAAAAAAGAAACAGUGCAAAUGAUGGAGCAAAAUUCUUGCUGUUGGGGAAGAGCAGAUGGACUAAUUGAUGUAACCUUCAAAUUGGUGGGAAGAAAUCUGAAAUGGAAGGAGCAGUAAGCAGGAUUUUUUUUUUUACUAAAUUUAAAUUGUAUUAAAGGAGAAAGAAUGUACAAAAAUCAUGGGAAAACCCAAUCAGAAUAUAGUAUAUACAUCACCUCAAUCAGAAUAUAACAUAGACAUCAUAGGACAUGCCAUAUGAUGUCAUGACUAAAAAAGAAAAUAAGGCCAGAUGCCCAAACAAAAGAGAAACAAUCUCAACAUUCAUGAGAAUACAAUGCAUAGAAAUCAGACACAAAACCAAGAAAAACCUCAUCCAAAGUAGCAGCAGCCCACAAUAGCAGCAAAAGAAAAAUCAGUCCAAAGACCAAAAGGCAUCAUCCAUAACAGAACCGAAAGAGCCUACUGCAGACUAGCAGCACAAUAGAGCACAAGGCCCAACAAGAGAAGCCAACAACAGUUUAGCAAAGCAAAACAGCAGACAGGACAUGGAAAGCAAGAGCAACAAACCCCAAGAGCCCAAUGGCAGCCAUAGAAGUGCAGCAGCUGCAGCCGACAUCAAAUAAAACAGCAGUAAACGAUAGCAGCCAUAAGUACAGCACCACCCCCCAAAUCUGCAGCAUCAAGACAUAGAAAUAGUCACAAUACUGCAGACCAAAACACGCAAACAAUGCAGCAUAAGCAACAAACAGAGCAGCAAAUAGGUCUAUUUUCCUGCUUGUUUUCAAGGUUGUGUAGUAUUUAUUGUCAUUUUAGUAUUUUACAUAUAUGUCCAUUAUGGGUAAAAUAAGUUGUUUGGCAUGGGCAAUGAUGCCAGUGAAGGUUUUCUUUCUUCAGUGCUUGAUGGAAGCUCUCGAGCUGUAGUCACUACAAAGAUGAGGAGAUGCUGAAACCAUUUUCGAGCACAGUGAGAUAUAAUAGUUACAUAUAUGAAUAUGCCAUCUCAGAUGAUCAUGUUGGUGUAACACAGAAGCAUGUCUUCCAUGUGCUGGUACCAUUUCUCCUUCCUUUUCUGACAGUAGGCCUAUGAUUUCUUCUGGGAGUGCUGAGAAAGAGACUGCUAGACUAGAAUAUUGUAUACGGCACUAGAAAUAGGGCAGUCUUUCUGUAAACUGCAGAGCUAUGGUUCCUUGGAAUGAUCAUUGCUUUACAACGCAUUGAGUUUUUUUUUUCUACAUUUCUUUUUCCUGGAAAAGCCUAUUUGAGGGAGGAAAUAGGAGAAGUAGAAAUUUGUUGUGGGUAGAGAUGUUUUGGAUUUGUCCUUGGUUUCAGUAAUUAAACAUCUGCCAUUUUUAUUUGCGAUUAUAUCCGGAGGAAGCUUUUAUAUACUAGAUUCAUAAAUCAAGAAGUUCAAUAUAGGGAGCACCAGCUGCAACAGCAGCAGAGCAUGAGCAGCAACAUUAAUGUAGGUGGAAGCAUUGAAAGGACGUUCUAUUUGUUCAUGCCAUUUAAUCAUGGCAAUCAUUCUAUUUAUUCAUGGUAAUCAUUUUAUUUGUAUAUGCUUGUUCUUAUAUAGCUUAUAUUGACAGAAAAUUUAAAUGGAAGCUAUGAGAACCACAUUUUAUCAAGUCUUUCAGGUGGGUUAGCCUCUGCAUAGCUCUUACUAUUUCUUGCAGCUCGAGGAGCUAAAGCUUCCUAAAGUAUAGAAAUCACAAAACCAAGCAAAUAAGUUUAAAAAAAAAAAAGAACUAAAGAUAGAGUCGCAUGUCUUUCAAAUAUGUUUCAAAAAAAAAACACAUUCUCUAAAACACUGGUAACAGAGCUUCUCUAAAACUGAAUUUCAUGUCCAAGUUCAUGUUAUCAACUUAUAGUCUUAUAUGUAAUCAACAUAACUCAAACGACUUCCUCUUUUUCUAAUAAUUAAUAACAGGGAAAAAAUUUAAAAAUAUGGGUGAAUUGGAGAAAUAUAUCUUACAAUAACAAAGAAAAAGGGAAUCCUAGUCCAGAAACUUGUGCGCGCUCUCACGAAAGAUGUCUCAUGAGUAAGCCUGAAUCUUGACGGAUCUGCAUGUUCAUUGUAGGAGAAAUUUAACAUAAAGAGAUAGCCUCAUGUACACAAAUAUUAAAAUGAAUACUAAAUUCAAACUACAGAAUGAUAAAUAGUCAUUUCUUGAUCGUGCAGCGACAUAACAAUGGAAAACUCGGUCCUGAGAGGCAGUUUCCUGCUCCCAGACCUUCCAGCCACGAAUCUGUACAAGUUAAAAACUUAUUAGCAUUAUAUGUAGAAUCAAUCAGGUGAUAAUAUGAAGAGUGAUAGUGUUUUAUAGAAAAUGAAAAUAUUCGAAAAUUGUUUCGAACAUAUAUUAAAAUAAAUUAUUGUCCUUUUAUUUUAUUAAAUAAAAUAUUAAAAAAAUCAUUGUCUUCUUUAAUGCAGUUUAUAAAGAAACACGGGAAAAUGAAUAUAGGCCAAGUUAGUGAUAAAAGAAAGUGAAUGACAGACUUGGCAGGAACUCUAUUACUGUAGAAAAAUAAAGCAACAAUUGAAAGGAUUCUUAUUUCGAUAAUGAAAGGAAAUAAUAAUCGACUGAUAAUUAUCUGGAACAUGCCAACUACUAUAUAUAUAGGAAAACAUAACUAAAAAACUCAGCUACGUAGGCCUAAAUAUCAUCAUCUUCUUCUUCUUCUUCGAAAUAUUCAUCAUCAUUAAAAUAUUCAUUAUCAUCUUCAUCUUCAUCACUACAUUCUCUAUCUUCAUUUUCUGCUUCCGCUAAUGAUGGAUCCACUUCCGCCCACAUUAGGAUUACUCGUCAAUGGUUGAUCAAAUUUGAUAGAUUCGCCUUCUGAAACAAGAAGUUCUGGCCCUGGAGGGAUAAUAUCAACCACUUGACGUCCAUCCGAUGCAUCCGUUAUGGUUAUUUCGUAACCCCCCUUUUCUUUUCGUAUUAUUUUGCCUACUAUACCUGCUGCUGUAGCAUUAUAAACCGUAUUGUUACUCUUGCUCCCGUCGGGAUAAAUCUGACCCCUUCCCCUGUUUCCGCCUACGUAUAUAGGAUAUUUUAAGAAGUGAACAUCUUUCUUAGUAGCGGGGUCCGGGGAAAGAAUAGGAAAGGUGAUUUCACUAUAUUUUUGACCAGGAACAGGGCCUAUCACAAGAAUAUUUUUUUUAGUGGGGCGAUAGCUCUGAAAAGAAAGAUUGCCUAUCCUUUCUUUCAUCUCGGGAGAAAUCCGAUCAACAGGAGCUAAUUCAAAACCCUCCGGUAAAAUAAGAACAGCCCCUACAUUCAAAGCCCCCUUUUUACCAUUAGCAAGAACUUGUUUUAGUUGCAUAUCAUAAGGGAUUCGAACAACUGCUUCAAAUACAGUAUCAGGAAGUACGGCUUGUGGAACUUCAAUAUCCACGGGCUUAUUAGCUAAAUGGCAAUUGGCACAUACAAUACGCCCAGUCGCUUCUCGUGGAUUUUCAUAACCCUGCUGUGCAAAAAUGGGAUAUGCACUUGAAAUGGAUGUCCGAGUUAUGAUAUAUAUCAUGAGCGAUGCGGAAAUGGAUCGAGUAAUCUGUUCCUUUAUCCAAGAAAAAGUCUUUCUAGUUUGCAUGGUCCAACCAUUGAUCCCGAAAAUUUCUACAAUAAAUUGGGUAGGUCGCUAAUAUAGUUCCCUAUCCGCGAUUCUGCUAUUUACUGGAAUAAUAUAUNNNNNNNNNNNNNNNNNNNNNNNNNNNNNNNNNNNNNNNNNNNNNNNNNNNNNNNNNNNNNNNNNNNNNNNNNNNNNNNNNNNNNNNNNNNNNNNNNNNNGAGAAUCAUCAAGCAAUAUCAAAUUCUGAGUUUGCUCCUCAAUAUUAUAUAAGUCAAAAUCAUGAAACUCUUCCUCUUGAUAUGUCUCUUCAUUACUAUUUUCGGCAACAUCAUAUGUGUUUCUUGCUUUUGUUGUGAUUACAGUAGACCAACCUUUAGCUUUAGUCGACACUGGAUUAGCAUAGAACACUUGUACAACUUGUGAUGCAAUAACAAAUGGCUCAUACGGCUUGUGCCUUGAAUUUGUAUCAAUUGUAGUUAUCCCGUACUUGUUAAUAACUACCCUUUUUUCAGAAUCAUACCAUUCACAUUGGAACAAAAAUACUGAAUUCUCUUCUCCAUAGUAUUCUAGUUCAACUACUUUAAUUAAUUGUCCAUAAUAGUCUCGUUCUUGGCCUUCAAAAGUACAUCCCUAGACUAAAACACCACUAUUUUGAGUUACCUUUCUUGACUCCAAUUCUUUUGUAUGGAACCUAAAGCCAUUGACAAUGAAUCCAUCAUAACAUGUUACCUCUCUAGACGGACCCAUAGCGAGCGCUUUUAGACGCGUAUCAACGACAUCAUCAUUCUUGACUCUCUUUUCAAACCAUUUUAUAAAUGUCGAAUUAUGUUCCUUUUAUAGCACUUUAUCCGACAUGUUUGGACGUAAUUCUUUCAAUAAAUGCUUGUGCUCCCUAGAAGUAAUGAAAUAAAUUAGUAGAUAUAGAGUAAUGAUUUACAUAUCUAAAAGUAAUAAACUUUAUAAGAAUUAAAAUGUCAUACUCGAUGAAAUCAAAGACUUCCUCAUAAUUAGACAAGAUGUAUAAGGUUGCUGCCUCGAGUUCUUUAUCAGAUAGAUCUUCACGUUUUCGUUUUCCUCCAAUUGGACGACCAGGCCUAGGGUGGCUAAAUAUUGAUAACUUUCCAUUAGUUUCAGCUUGACCGCCAUCGUCAUUUCGAUCAGCUCGGUUGAACUUGGUUUGCACCCUAAGAUCAAAAUAUCGAGAAGAAAAGUAAACUAGUUCGUCUAUUAUGUAUGCCUCAGCUAUUGAACCCUCGGGGCAAGCCUUGUUACGCACCCUUUUCUUCAAAGAACACAUGCACCUAUAAUUAUAUUGAAGUUAGGUAAUCACUUUAACUAUAAAAAAGCCUUGGCAAGAAAAGAGAUAUAAUUUAUUAAAACAUCACCUCUCGAAAGGGUACAUCCAACGAUAUUGUACUGGCCCUCCGACCUUGGCUUUAUAUGCCAAAUGAACAAGUAGAUGCUCCAUUGAAUCAAAGAAAGAUGGUGGAAAAAUCAUCUCAAGAUUGCAUAAUAUUUCAGCAAUAAAUAGCUCAAGCUUCUCUAACUCAGCUAACUUAUACACCUUAGAGCAUAUGUCUCGAAAGAAUUUGCACAAAGCAUUUAUUGGUUCCCAUAUAGAGUUUGGUAAGAAAUCACGAAAGGCCAAUGGCAAGAAUCUCUGCAUGAGAACAUGGCAAUCAUGGCUCUUUAGCCCAAUUAUUUUGCAAUUGUCAAGGUUAAUACAAUGAGAGAUAUUUGAAGCAUAACCGUCUGGAACUUUCAACGAUUUAAGCCACUUGCAAACUUGCUUGACUUCUUCGCUUUUUAAAGAAUAUUUAGCUUUUGGCAAUUUAAAUUUCCCAUUACCACUCUCUUCAGGAUGUAAUUCAAAUCUUAUACCAAGCUCUUGCAAAUCUAAACGAGCUUUAAGGUGGUCUUUUGAUUUUCUAGUAAUGUUCAUCACAGUGUAAAAUAAAUUAUCAAAAAUAUUUUUCUCAAUAUGCAUCACGUCUAAGAAAUGUCUUAUUAGAAGCAAACUCCAAUAAGGCAAUUCAAAGAAGAUACUUUUCUUUGUCUAGUUAUGCUCGAUUCCAAACCCAGGAGUCUUAUCGGUACUAUUGUUUUUAUCCUUUCCAAAGAUGACCGAACUAAAUUGAGAUACAAAAUUUAACUCCUCAACACCUGUUAGUCGAGGCGGGGGAUUUCUCCGUUCGGUUUUAUUAUUGAACUUACUCUUCUCAGCUCGAUAUUUAUGAUUACGCUUCAACCAACGACGAUGGCAUCCAAAAUAACUCGGCUUCCUCCCAUGUUUAAGGUUAAAAGCUACACUUGGAUCCAUACAAGGACAUGACAAGGCCCCAUGUGUACUCCAACCCUUCAAUAUGCCUAGCGCAGGAAAGUCACUGAUUGUCCAUAUUACAGCUGCUUUCAUAUAAAAAUUUUGCUUUGAGAAAGCAUCAUAUGUAUCAACUCCAACAUCCCACAAAGUCUUUAGUUCUUCUAUAAGAGGUCGCAAAUACACAUCAAUCUCUCUUCCAGGUCCAUGUGGACCUGGAAUAAGCAGUGACAUAAACAUGUACUCCUCUUUCAUACACAUCCAAGGGGGGAGAUUGUAUGGAACAAGGAAAACUGGCCAUGUCGAAUGAGGUUUGCUAGAAUGCCCAAAAGGAUUAAAUCCAUCAGUAGCUAAGCCAAGUCUUAUACUACGAGCAUCUUCAGCAAAAGAUGGGUAAUUGAGGUCAAAAUAUUUCCAAGCCUCACUAUCAGCAGGGUGCCUUAGCUCACCUGGAAUAUCACAUCAUUUUUCUUUGUGCCACCUCAUAGGCUCGGCCGUUUUUGAUGACAAAUAAAGCCUUUGAAGCCUUGGUAUAAUUGGUAAAAAAACUUAAGACCUUCCUUGCUAUUGGUUUAUUCUUUUUCCCUUUAACACUGCCAUGGUUUUUAUACCUAGAUUCGUUACAAAUUGGGCAAGCAUCUAAAUCUGCAUAUUCUCCUCGAAACAAGAUACAAUCAUUAUUACAUGCAUGUAUUUUUUGUAGAGGUUGCCCAAGGUCCUUCAUUAAGGCCUUGCAGUGAUAAAAUGACUCGGGUAAUUUAUUCUUUUUAGGCAACAUUUCCUUGAAAGCUGAAAGAAAAGCAUCAAAUCCAGCAUUAGACAAACAAUACUUGGAUUUUAGGUGCAACAACAAAGUUACGGCUAAUAACUUGGUGUGAUUUUGACAACCAUCCCACAAGGGCUCGUCUGCAGCCUUUAGAAGGUCAUAGAACUUCUUUGAUUCGCUAUUAGGAUCCUCAUCAAAUUUAGGGCUAAUGCAGCUUGUAAUAUCCCUUAACAUGUCUUUAGGCCAAUUUGCAAUUCCCUCAUCAAUAUCGUCAUCUUAAUUCCCUACUUUCUUAAGUGACUCCCCAUGCUCCGUCCAUGUAGUGUAGUUUGGUACAAAUCCAUGCUUAUAAAGACACAUUUCUACAUCUUCACGUGAUUUAUAGUUUAUGAAAUCACACUUGGCACAAGGACACCGAAUCAUGCCAUCAUCUACGCACUCAGGAUUAGAAAAUGCAAAAUCAAGAAAUGUAUUGACCCCACUCAUAAAUUCAUGUAUAUGUUUAGACUUUUUCCCAACAUGCCUAUACAUCCAACUUCGAUCAUCCAUCUACCAUUUGUAAUUCAAAUAAUUGAAAAAUGUUCAUUUAUGGUGAUAAUUAACCCUUUUAUGAAAUAGAAAAGAAAAAAAAAACUGUACUGACUUUACAACUUAUUUUCUAGCACACUGUUCUUAACAUGGUCACAACUUAUAAUUAAAGAAAACAACAUAUACUACCUGAAUUCAAGAUAAUAUUGGUUAUGAGGUAGUAAAUCAAACAGAGAAAGCGUAAUCAGAGAAAGCAUAUUAGAUUUUCUAAUUAAUGUUCCUAAUUAGUUUUAUAUUAGAUUUUUUACAUGCUACACAGGAAUUGGGGCCAAAUUCGAACAGAGAAAGCAUAAUCAAAAUUCUAAAAUAAUUGGGGCCAAAUUGGAACAGAGAAAGUAAAGAGGGAGACAAUAAACACCCAAGGAAGAGAGGAUUUACCUUCAAAAUCACAAAGCUUAACUUGGAUCACAACUUUGGUACGUAGAAGAAAGGGAGAUGGUUUUAGUUACCGUCUAUGGAGAAGAUGGGAAGAGUUGUUUAGAGCCGCAGAGAGCACUGGGCAGAGGCCGUCGACUGAGAGGGAGUAGUCGACUGUCGACUUUGUCAAGAAAGAGGCAAGCAAGUAGCAACUGAAGCAAUCAAACAAAGAGUGAAGAAGGAGAACUGAAGAUAAGGGCUAGGGCAAAUGUCAAAUGUGAAAGUGAAAUCAGAAAUGGACCGCCGACUCGGUCACUUAGGAUUAUAGAUAGGAGUGAGAUAUAAUAAUAUUAUAAAAUUGUUUUUUUUAAGAAUUACGGUUCGGUUAUUCGGGUAUCCAAAUAACCAGUUUUUGAACACCGAAUCUGUAAUCGAAUACUAAAUAAUAAUUCGGAUAUAACUGAAAUUGUAAAAAAACCGAAAAACCGAAAUAAUUCGGUUAAAAAAUUUCGAUUCGGUUCGGUAAUUCGGUUUUAUUCGUUUUUUGCUCACUCCUAGUCACUGGACAUUUAAUUUUUGUUGGCUUGUUGUUGCUGACUUGCUGUAUUUUGGACAGUUAAUUAGGCUUGCAUUAUUAAGUCAUAAAUUUCAUGUUGGCUUGUUGUUGCUGCUGGACAAGUAAGUUAACAGUUGCUGCCUGCUGGGCAGUUAAUUUGCUAAAUAGUUAACAGGGAAUUUAUGUUGUAUGAUAUUUCGGUUAUUACCCGAAUAUCCGAAAUUACAAUUCGGUAUUCGGUAAUUCGGUUAUUUUCACAUUUCGAUUAGAAUUUUGGAUAGUGGAAUUGUCAUUAAUUCGGUUUUCGGUUAUAACCGAAUAGCUUAUUCGGUUCGGUUAUAACCGAAUGAUCACUCCUACUAAUAACUUGGUAUUUUGAAUCAAAUAUCGGCAUCGACACAUAAGGCUGUAAAAUGAGCAAACAGUUCGGGGUCGAUUCGUACUCGCUCGACUAAAAGUUCAAUUCGAGCUCGACUCUAAAUAUAAAUGAGUCAAAUAUGAGCAAAUUUUAAAGUUCUAUAAAUUACUCGAACCUCCUCAAAUUAUAAUUUUCUAUUGAUACUCGGAUCAUAUUCGUUCGAAAAGUUCAAACUGUUCAGGCUCGAUUCGGAAUCGUACUCGACUCGAUAGCUAAAUGAUCCUCAAUCAAACCUUAUAAUAUACUUGAUAAAAUUUGUGAACCAAAUCUGAUAGAAAUACAUUACGAAAAUUUAAAAAGAUUAUAAAAUGAGUUUUAGUUUUAGUUGGACCAGAUUAAGUAAUCUCAAGUACAUGAAAUUAAAAAUAAAAUAAAAUUAACAAAUUGAAAAAAACAACAACUAGUAGACUCGGGCGUAAAUUAACUUUUAAGGGUUUAAUACACUAUUUGUACGUUCCAAAUUUUAUAUUUGACUUUGUACCAUUGACAUUUAUUUUUUCGUGGGCAUAUAUUUUUAUUAUUAUUAGUUAUUGUCAAUUUUGGUGGAUAAAUUAUUUAAUGUUUGAAGACUAUUUGGGGGAUAUUAAAUAUAUCAUUACUCAUAAUGAUAUUAAAUAUAGUGGGUGCAGAUGAUAGUAAUGUUAUAAAAAAAUUUCAGGCUUCACAAAGAAGAAUAUAAGUUAUUGUAUUAAGCUUCAAUACUUUUUGUAAGAGUAAUAAUUGAUAUUAAAACAUCAUUUUUAUUAAUAAUAUUAUUUUAAAAUAAUAAAAGAGAGGAGACUUAAUUUGUAGCUUAAUCUAAAGAAAGUAUAUAAAUUUUUAAUAUUAUUUUAAUUUAUUUUACUUUUUUGAAUAACAAAUUUGUACUUAAUUACUAGUGGAUCAAUUAAUUCAUAUCUCACAAAUUUACUAAAAAUAAUAAUUAAAUGAUACUCUUUUUUUUGUAGAACAAAGGGUAUAUCAAAAGAUAAUUAAAUCAAAAGAAAUUUAAGCUAAUUAAAUUUAAUUAAAAGAUAAUUAAAAUUUAAACAAACAAAAAUAGACUAAUUUAGUGGCAUAUUCCACUCAUUUUGAAGAAAUGGCGGGAUCUCUGUUUCUAUCUUUAAUUUCAAGUACCAUUGUAUAAACUUCCCCAUCUUUUCCAUAGGCAGCAAACUGAAACCCUACAUCCAUCUUCUACCAAAAUUGUGAUCCCAGUUAAGGUUGUGAUUUCAAAGGUAAGUCCUCUCUUUGGGUGUUUAUUCUCUCCAUCUUUCCUUUCUCUGUUCUAAUUUGUCCCCAAUUCUUAUUUUAGAAUUGUGAUUAUGCUUUCUCUUUUCGAAUUUGGCCCCAAUUCCUGUUUUUAUAGAGAUGUUUUACGAACUGUUAUUGACAAUUUGAUUGUUCAUGUGUUUGUGGAGAUUUAAUAUAUAUAUAUAUAUAUAUAUAUAUAUAUAUGAUUUUGAUAGCGUAUUUACUAAUUUUAANNNNNNNNNNNNNNNNNNNNNNNNNNNNNNNNNNNNNNNNNNNNNNNNNNNNNNNNNNNNNNNNNNNNNNNNNNNNNNNNNNNNNNNNNNNNNNNNNNNNNNNNNNNNNNNNNNNNNNNNNNNNNNNNNNNNNNNNNNNNNNNNNNNNNNNNNNNNNNNNNNNNNNNNNNNNNNNNNNNNNNNNNNNNNNNNNNNNNNNNNNNNNNNNNNNNNNNNNNNNNNNNNNNNNNNNNNNNNNNNNNNNNNNNNNNNNNNNNNNNNNNNNNNNNNNNNNNNNNNNNNNNNNNNNNNNNNNNNNNNNNNNNNNNNNNNNNNNNNNNNNNNNNNNNNNNNNNNNNNNNNNNNNNNNNNNNNNNNNNNNNNNNNNNNNNNNNNNNNNNNNNNNNNNNNNNNNNNNNNNNNNNNNNNNNNNNNAUAUAUAUAUAUAUAUAUCCCUCGAUUUAUAUAUGUAUGUUAAUUAGGUACGUAUAUGUAUGCAUGAAUAUAUAUGAAACUUUGUUAGUUAAUUACUUUGGUUGAGAAUGGAUUGUAGUUUGUAAACAAAUCUAAUAUGAAACUGAUUAGGAAAAGACUUAAAUUGGAAUUCUUCUUUUGGUUGAAUGGAAGGGUUACUCAUUACUUCAUUAAUUUGACAUUAAUUUUGUAUUAUUUUGUUUAAUUAUGUUUUGGUUGGUUAUGUUUUUCAUUUAUUUUAUUCUAUUCCAAGUCAUUAAGAGCACAUGAUGUUUUAGGUAAAACACUGAUUCUACUGGACAGAUGAUUCAUGUACAAAACCAAAGUUAGUGCACACACCCUAUUAUUUAAUAUUCAAAACAUUGGGUUGCUGUUGGGGUGGGUCUGUAGGAGGGCAGGGGUGGAGUUGCAGGGGAGGCGAAUGGAAGAGGGCAAAAGUGCUGGAUGAAGGAGGGACGUUGGCAUGUUCUUGAAUGAUGGUAACCCAUUCUUUAUACAUUUUGAAUGAGAGUGGUUAAUUGCAAAAAAGCACUUGCAAUAGCUACAUUGAAAUUGGUUCCAUUUAUGAGGGACAAGAAAAGCAGCAGUGGGCAGUAAGGAACUGCUAUAACAGUUUUGGGUAUAUCAUUCUAGCUCUAGAAUCUAGUUUGAAGACUUAACCAUAGAGUUUUAGUUUUAGUUGGAGCUGUACAUUCUUUACCAUUAAUGAUUAGUGAUUCUAUUCAAAGUUACCAUGCUUUUUUAAGUUCUCACUUGGGUUUUUGUAAAUGGGUCAAGCUUUGCUUAUUGUGUGCAAGAAAAUCUGAUAUCGCUGUGAAAUCUAUAGUAAGAAAAUUAAAAAUGGUCACUUUGAUAUACUUGCACUUAAUUGAUGCCCACAAUUGUCGUCUUUAAUUGUACUAAUCCAUCAAAGGAGCAUGUCAAUAUUGUUCUAUUCAGCAGUACUAUGAUUUAAUUGAUGCCCUCAUAGUAUCCAUCAAAAGAACAUUUAAUCUUGAUGUAACCAGCAUGCCACGGAACCUGACAUGUGUAGCAAAAAAGCUUUUUACAGUUCAGACAUAUUAGAAAUGAUUGUUCCAUUGAAAUGAUUGUUUGGCAUAUUAGAGGAUCUAACAAGUGAUUACAGUCCAAAGUGGACGACAUUUAAUGCUGGCUACAUUGUCUUCAACUUUUACUUCGAUGUACUUGGUGAAGCAAUCCACACAAAAAGGAUGAAAACAUUCAUCAUUCUUCUUGAAAACAUUCAAUGCAUAUCUCACAAGUGAAAGUUGAACUCUCUUCUUCACCUGAUUUAUCCUCUUCUGUUUUCGCCAAACUCACCUCUUGUUUUUAGCUGUGUGUUCCCCAUUGUUUGUUCUGUUUCUGUUGCAAAAAAAUCAUCAGCUCAUGUGAGAAACAAUUAGAGAAAGUGGAAUUGUACAACAGAAACAUGCAUGAAGUUGUAUAUUAUUGCAAAAUAAAUGGCAACUCUUUCUACAAUUACAAAGAAAAUGCCAAACACAUUUUGAAUUUGCAGCUACAACUAUUACAUGUGUUAUACAAGAGAUGAGAAUACAUUUUGAACAUGCAUGUGUCAAUUUGUGAUCUACAACACAUUUUGAAAAUGCCUAACACAUUUUGAACAUGCAUGUGUUCUACAAUUACAUGAAUUAAUUUGCAUGUGUUGUACUUUGUGUUGUGCAUAUAGUAAUAGGUUCAAUUAAAUGUUGUGUCAAGUGAUAGUGCUAAUUUAUUUAUUUUUUGAUAAAAAAAUGUACAUGCUUGUGGUAUAAUUUCAAACUAGUUUUCCAAUGAGUCAUGAUUAAUUAUUGCUGAUUAAUAUGUUGGGUAUAUAAAUUGUUCUUUGUACGGUUGAAUGUUAUUGUCUUGACAGGUAAGAUGCUAAUUGAUUUUGGAGCUAGUAGAGUAGUGAAUAAUUUUGAAAUUGUAUUACAACAUCAUCUUGAAUAAUUUCUUUUAUUUAUCCUAUAUUUAAUUAUAAGUUUUUUUUCUUCUCCAGCUAUGGUGAGAACUAGAGGUGGGAGUAGUCUUUCCGGUAGGAGAUCAACUCUUCCUCAUAAUAGUGGCGAGACUGUUAACAUGAACAGAAUGAGAGAUGAGCCUAUUGUAUCUCAUGAUAGUGGUGAGAGUAUUGAUAGGGCUACACCGAAUACUACACAAGCCGAAAGGUUAUCUCGUAAGAAAAGGGGGCCAACUCUAGGGAUAAUAAAGCCUAAAACAGGCCAAACAAAGAUGCUUGUUAAUAUCAUUGGACAAAAGUAAGUUUUUACUAAUCUACUCGUGCUUGUCAAUAUGCAAGUUACAUACAAUCAAUUCUGGAUACGUUAAAGAUUCAUUUUCUGACACAUAAUAUAACGUCCGUUUUAACUAUAACAGGGUAAUCUAUGUAGCACAAUGUAAUCCAAAGAACAUAAAAGCAACUAAUCAUAUCAUGUUACUAUAAAAAGCAAUUAAUAGGGGUUCCAUUUAACAAGAUUUGAUUAAUCCUAUUGUGACAACUUUGUUUCUACUUUUCAUUAUUGUUGUACUAAUCAUAUCAUGCUAUGUUACCAUAUCUUGUAAUUAGCUUCCUUGAACCUGAAGCUCGAAGCAAGACUCACAUAUUAUUUCAAAAACGUUUUAAAGAAGCUCGAACCAAAUUCGAGCAAUGGCCAAAACAUGAAAUUGAACUUCUUUGGGGAGAAUAUUUGGUAUGUUUUAAUGAACACACAUUUUAAUUGUAGAAAAAAGUUUAUCAAAAAGUGUAUUAUUCAUUAUAUAUUAAUUAUUAUUUUUACUUGUGGAUGGUGUUAUAGAAAUAUUUUCGUUUCUCUUCAUCGAAGGAGGAGGGAAGGGGUCGAAUCAUAUGGGAGGAAAAUGCACGAAAAAGCUACCCAAACUAUUUAUGGAGAUGGAAAGAUGAUGCCAUUAAGAAGUUUGGCUCCAUUGAGGAAGCAAGGGAUAAAAAGCCUAAUUGGACAACUCUUGAUGUGUGGCAGGAGAUGUGUGAUUAUUGACUGAGUAAAGACUUUUUAGACUCUAGUGAGCUACAAAAAAAGAACAGAAACAUAACUACGUAUGUUCCUCACACAUCAGGCUCCAUAUCGUACGCCGUUAGGAGGGAACAAGAGGUAAAUUAUAAGUUGAUAAAAUCAAAUUAAUAAUAUGCGUAGUCGAUAAAUGCACAUGAUAAUGGUAAAAGAUUCAUAUCAUGAUGCUCUGUUUGGAGUUUUUAAGUGUUCAUGUGGUAUGUAUUGCUUAUUUUUAAUAUUAAUGUUUAUAAUUAAAAUAAUUAUUAUUUUGCUUGUUUUGUCUUAGAAACAAAGACUGCAUCGUCCGCCAACGCAAUAUGAGUUAUAUAAACAAACUCAUAUGAGGAAGGAGAAGGGUAGCGAGGAAAAAACGUGGGUUUGUGAUGAAGCAAAGAGGAAUUUGGUAUGAUUUUCUCUUGUAAAAUUAUAAACUUUGUUUACUCAUGCGAAAGUGAAGAUUGUUGUUCGUUCUUUUCAUAAUUAGUUAUGAGUAUUGUUAAUUAUAUAUACAUAUUUUAUGCAUUGUAUAGGAUGAUUAUGAGAGAAGACUCUUAGCCAAACAUGGUGAUACAGAUAAGCCCGUGAAUGAGUUAGAUGAUCCAAAUUUGGAGACAUGGCAGAAAACUGUUGGAGGCGUCAAAAAGGGUAGACUUGUUGGUCGACCAGGGGAAAAAUGGAGUUCUCGUCGUGGUUCGUAUUGUCCAUCUUUGGUUGCAGAUGAGAACUAUAUUAAAUUAAAGAAAAUGGAAAGCUACAUGACUUAUAUUCAUCAAUACACAAAAAAUAUGGCCGAAACACUUGCACUUGAUCCUCCUAUAGACUUUUGUGAUUUGUUUGCUUCAUCAAAUGCAUCAGCUGAUAUUCCAACGAAUAACUCAACCACGCAUGCUGAGAAUGACAACGGAGAUGAUGACGACUCUCAAGAAAACUUCAUGGAGAAUUCAGGAUGAUUUAGCUCUGCUUUACUUAUCAAUUUUAUUAGUUUAGGGUUCUUUGAUAGAUGUUGGGUUUGUUAAUUGUUUGAUGAACCUAUGACAUGUAGUUACCUAUUUAAGUAGUUGGUAAUGAAUUUAUUUUUAAUUAAAUGGAUCAGAUUUCUUCAUUUUAAUAAAUUUGUAUGAUUUUACGUUUCAAAUUUAUUGUAAUUUAUGUCAUUUAUAAAUUUGAAAUAUAAAAUUGGCAAUUAAAUAUAUUUUAAUAUAGGAAUUUGGUGAUGGCUUUACUAUCACCAAAACGUAUAAAAAGGUUACAAAAAUAGGAAUAAUUGUGAUUGCUUUAGCCAUCACAAGAGACUUAUGCCAUCACAAAAGAAUGUGAUUGUUUUGGCCAUCACAAAUAAUUGGUGAUUGUUUUGGCCAUCACAAAAAGAUGUGAUUGCUUUGGCCAUCACAAAUAAUUGGUGAUUGUUUUGACCAUCACACAAAGAUGUGAUUGCUUUAGCCAUCACAAAUAAUUGGUGAUUGUUUUUACCAUCACAAAAAGAUGUGAUUGCUUCGGCCAUCACAAAUAAUUGGUGAUUGUUUUGACCAUCACAAAAGAUGUGAUUGCUUUGACCAUCACAAAUAACUACUAUGCUAUCGAGAUUACUUUCGCCAUCACAAAUAACUUGUGUGAUUUCGUGAUGGUCAAACUAAUCACAAAAUACAUGUGCGCUAAUGUGACUGAUUUAGUCAUCACAAAAGGAUCGAAUGUUUUGGUGAUUGCCAAAACCAUCACGUAAAACCUUUCAUGAUGGACGUAUACAAAACGGCCAUCGUGAUGCUUAAAAUCAUCACGUAAACCUUUCGUGAUGGUUUUUUUAGUUUUUGUGAUGGAUUUUUGCCAUCACAAAUGACCAUUUUUUUAGUAGUGAUCGAAAGGACGUGGAAUUUAAUAUUGGAGAUCACGUGUUGUUACGUGUUGCUCCAUGGAAAGGAGUUACGAGAUUUGGAAAGAGAGAAGCUCAAUCCUCGAUUCAUUGACCCAUUUUUAAUCCUCGAGCGAGUAGGAACUAUGGCCUAUAGACUCGCCUUACCGCAAAGUAUGUCUCGUGUUCAUAACGUUUUUCACAUAUCUAUGUUACAUAAAUAUGUGAAAGACCCGAACCACAUUAUUGAAUUAGAACCAGACAAGAUAGAGGAAGAUUUAACAUAUGAAGAGUUACCUAUUAAAAUCUUGGAUAAGAAGGAUCAUAUUCUACGCUCCAAGGUUAUACCUCAAGUCAAAGUUUUAUAAGAGAAACCACGAUGUGGAGGAAAUGACCUGGGAGUUAGAAUCUGAGAUGAAGUCAAGAUAUCCUCGUCUCUUCGAUAUACCAGGUACGUACCCUAGUUUCGAGGAUGAAAUUUCAUAAGAAGGGGAGGUAGUAAGACCCCAACUUUUAUGAAUAAAGAAUAAUUUUCUCAAAAUAUAUUUUUGAAUAUUAUGGUGUGGAUUUGAUAUAAUGUUAUAGUUGUGGGUAUUAUUUACAAAUUUUGCAAAGUAAGCAAGUGGUUAUAUAAUAUUCGAUUGGUCGGGGAAUAUUCGUUUUAACAGGGAAUAUUCGUACGACGGUACAAUCAUUGGUGGACCCCACAAAGAAAGUAUUGUUGUAGUUAAAAAACGACAGAAUUAUCUUUUUAUAAAAAUAAUGGCGAAAGUGUUGCCGUUAAAACUGUUGAACUAACCGGUAAUAAAAGUACAGUAAUACGCGUGGUUGCAUAGUAGUACACAGUAUUGAUUAUUGAUGUUUACGUGAGAAGUCACUCAGUUAUACUCAAUUAUUACUAUAGUAAUUGUUGCAUCAUAUCUCUCAUAUUAUUGAUUCAAUUAUUGUCACAGUAUCAUCUGCAUAAUAUGUUAUAUUAUCAAAUCAAUAAUUGAGACGACAAAGUUAUUAAUAUUAUUAAAUUACAAUAUUGACAAUGUCUUGAAGUUCUGUCAAGGAGAGGUUAGAUAAUCUAAUUGCGCGCCAAUAGGGAGAAAUCCUCAUCGGAAAGCCCCCUCUUUCCUGGAAACUACCUGGUUGUUAAAUAUUAUGAGUUAUAAUAUUAAUGAUGAAUAAGUUUGUGUUGAUCAAAGAUGAAAUUAAUAGUUCCAUUGUAUGGAAAUUAUUAGUGUUAGUUGAAAAUCGACAUUUAUUUCGAUAAUAAUUGAUGUCUGGAGGUUUUAUUGACCAAUCGGGUAAUUAACCGGAUAAAUGAGCAAUUAAUUGCUAUUUAUUCACAUGCUUAUAACUAUGUGUUCACAUGUGUGUACUAUUGAUUCACAUGCAUGUACUGUUAGGGGAGUUGGUGCAAGAUUGAUAAUACUUGCAUGACUAAAUUAAAAAUUGAGGUAUAGAUGAAGGUACUAUACUAUACUUAAUUUUUUCACAUGUUUAGAACUAUUGAGUCACAAGAUUUACUAUUGAUUCACAUGAAUUACUAUUAGGGGAGGUGGUGCAAGUUUGAUAAUACUUGCAGGACUAAAUUAAAAAUAAAAAAAAAGAGGAAGGUAUUAUACUGUAAUAUUUUGAGCCCCAAAAUGUGCAAUUAUUGAAACUAUAUUUUCCUAUAAAUAGAAGCUCAUUCUUCCUUCAUUUCUUACCAAUUCACUAAAGCUAUAGAACAAUUAUUAUAGAGAGAAAUUAUAGAGAGAAAGAAGAAGAGAAGUAUGCUACCUCACUACUCCAGUAUCCAGUUUUCUUCUAAGGUAAGGGGUAUUAUUUCUUUCGUAUUCAUGAAGAGAGUUAUUUCUUUCAAUACUCGUAAGGGUUGUUAUUCCAUUCUUUAUUAUUCUGUUGGAAUAACCUGUAUAGGUGGAUUACCGAAUGCGGUGUGAAAUUCUUCUGUUAUUCCAUUCUUUAUUAUUAUGUUAGAAUAACCUGUCUGUGCAGAUUAUGCACGCCUGGUGAAUUCUUUUGUUAUUCCAUUCUUUAUUAUUUUGUCGGAAUAACCUGUCUGUGCGGACUACGCACGCCUGGUGAAUUCUUCUGUUAUUCCAUUUUUUAUUAUUCUGUUGGAAUAACCUGUCUGUGCGGUCUAUCGCAUGCCUAGUGAAUUCUUUUGUUAUUCCAUUCUUUAUUAUUUUGUUGGAAUAACCUGUCUGUGCGGUCUAUCGCAUGCAUGGUGAAUUCUUCUGUUAUUCCAUUCUUUAUUAUUCUGUUGGAAUAACCUGUCUAUGUGGAUUACCGCAUGCAUGGUGAAUGAUCCUUUGUAUUCAUUCCUUAUUAAAUUGUGGAAAUGAUAUGUCUACGUGGAUUACCGCAUGGCGGGCAAAAAUCCAUUUGCAAUUUUAUAUAUUCUAUUAUACUCAGUUGCUUAAAGUUUUGGCUUCUAUACUCCAUGAAAUUAGUAGAAUAUCCUGGAUAUUUGCGCUUCAUCCAAUAUCUUUUCAUGGACAUAUUCUUCUGAGCAUUCUUGAAUUUUACUCCACAAAGCAGUAUUAUGUUGACAAAUUGGAUGUUAUUAAUUUCUGGAUAAAUUAAAUUAUAAAUCUUUAAUAUUUAUCCUUGAACUUGUUUUAUUGAAUUAUUAUGUCAUUGUCAUCAUCCUCAUGCUUAUAUUGUGAUGAAAGUCAUCUUUGGCUUACGUGCAUAGAUGGAUUUGGUAUAAUUAUGACCAGGAAUUAUUCGGUAUAAUCAUGACUGUAAUGUGACGAAUGAUGUGGUGAAAGUCCUCAUUGGCCUGUAGUUCAUUGAUGGACAGUUGUUGGUAUGAUUAUGACCAGGGAUUAUUCGGUAUAAUUAUGACCAUUGAUGAUUACACGAGUAUCCUUGGCCAUAAUGCAUGGAUGAUUCGAUUUUAUUUAUUAAGCUGAGUCUCAGCGAUAAAGUUGAUGAAAAACUUUUUAAGUCAUAGAAGAUAGUAGAUUUUAUACUCUAUAAUUGACUCUUCUAAUGGAUUGCUUAUUCCGCUGUAGUUUUUUAUCUAAAACUUAUUGUCUAUUAUAUUCUUUCAGUUGUUAUACUGUUGAAGGCUAAGGAUAAUUUAUUUUGCAUUAUCUUAGUAAUAAUAUUUCUUACUGGGCUUGUUGAGCUCACCCUUUUCUUUCAUGGUUCUCUUCAAGAAAUGAGAACGUAGCUGGGACUAGUCGGGGAACAGAGUGACGGUCCAGAUGUUUGGAUUAGUAGUCCUCACUAUUCUGUGAAAUAGUGUGAUAAUAAAUGUAAUGAGGACUCCAUUGAGUGUGGAUAUUGUCUAGAUGACAAUAUUCUUAUUAAAACUCUUAGAUUAUGUUUUGUCGUAUUUUACACGACUGUUGUACAAUUAAGUUGUAUUUGAAUUUUGUACCAUGUAUCUGGCGACUCAAGAUGGCUGAUGUAUACCUAUUUUGGUGGCGUCACAUUAACCCUAUUGUUAUAUAUAUUAUAUCCGAUUAUUGUUUAUCAACAUAAUAUUAUACUAUAUAAUUCAGAUAUAUAUUCUGUUCAUUAAUUUCUAAAAAUGAUUAUACAAGUGUCUCCACCUGGAUAAUCAUUGUAUUUAAUCACAUGUUGAUAUAUAUAUAUAUAUAUAUAUAUAUAUAUAUAUAUAUAUAUAUAUACCUAUUGAACCCCAGUAUGUAUACAUUAAGUAAAAGUCGUCUAAGCUAUUCGACCAGCUAGACACAAAUUUAGUUAUAUCGUUUAAUAUGACAAAACUUUUUUGUAUCCAAUCAAAUUAUUUUGGUUCGGAUUCCAGACUAAGUAUGAACAUCCCGAACAUGAGAAAACUUUUAUGCGCCCAAGGCGGACAGAGUAAACGAUAAUAUCUUUCUUUCAUGCAGUAUUGAUCAAUACAGGGUCCAUGGGAUGUAUACCCUCGUGCCCGUAAGUUAUGACGGUUUGCAGAUGAAGUUCUGUUUAACCUUUUUGAAAAUAGAAAACAAUGUGUAUGUCACCCUAACCCUAUAUAUAGUCAAUACAUAGUUUCAAAAAUGUGAGAUAGAGUUGAUAUGUUAUUAUUAUCAGUUUAGUUUACUUCACAACUAUUGAAUCGUUGUAGAAGUAAUGUACAAAGAAAACAUUUAAUUCUUUCAGAUAAUUAUAUUUAUAAUUGUUAUUACUUGCUGGGCACUCAAAUGCUCAUCCUUGCUUAAUUUAAAUGUUUUCAGCUAAGCGUGAUCAACCUGAAGGUUUAGACAAUAAUAAGUGAAAAGGAAAGCAAACAGAAUAUGUUUAACGGUAUCUUUUGUAAUAGUUAAACUGUAUUAAGAUAAUGAUAUGUAUUAUCUAUCAUGUAAAGAAUUAUAGUAAAUGUUGCGUACUUGGGAUUAGACUAUGAUAUUUGUAAAUUAAGUUUGAUUUUUAUAUUAUUGUUAUUAUUAUUAUUAUUAUUAUUCUGCUCAUAAAAAUGGUAUCGUGAAGCACCGAGUUCGGGUUUCAAGUACCUAAAUUUGGGGGCGUCACAGUAUGGUAUUAGAGCUAUAGGUUAGAAACCUUAGGUGGGUUAAACCUUAGGCUAUAACCUUAGAACAGAGGGGAACGUUGAAAAUACAAAUAACUCAUAUAGAGUUUAUAAGGAGAUGAAUUUAAUAAAUUCAUCGUGAAACAAAAUAAAAGAUAACUAAUAAAACUAUUAUUUGCUAUGUGUUUAUACUUAGUGUUAAUCCGGAUAAUUUAUUUGUAUAGAUGUCAGAUAGAAAAAGAAUUAGAAUACCCUCAGAUCAUAAAGAAAGAGCAAAUCUCCAUGACCGAGCCAAUAUUAAAGCUAAUAGCUGAAAUAGAGGCACACAUUGAAAACUACCUCAAAGAGGAGGUUAUUUUGGAAAGUAUAAUACCAGAUCCAGAGACGAUAGUAUAACAGAUAGGUUGAGUGUAGUUAAAGAAUAUAUGGUGAAGCUUGAGUUCUUAAACUCAUUUAUUUGUGGUAAGUUCUUAAACUCAUAAUGUGUAGUAAGAAAAAGGGAAGUAUUUUAGAAUACCUCAUAUCAUUCUCGAAUUACUACUUCAUCUCCUCACCAGCUCUUGAACCCUUGACCUCUAGAAACUCAAUAAUCAAACGAGUACCAAAUGUCUACAAGGAGGACUAGUAUAGUUAUGUGUUAAUGGAUUAUUGAGGAUAAUAGAAUAUAUAGAAUGCUAAGCAAUUGAUCAUUAGUAAAGACGUAAGAAAUAGAUAGUGUUAGUAUUACUUGAAUAGGUAUGAUUCUAUGUGGUGUAAAUGAUAAGUAUGUCUGUGUAAGGAAAUAUUCUCAACUUUUGUAUAAGUUAUGGCUGCGAUUCCUGACUUGUGUGUUAUAAAGGAAUAGCGGAUGUUUAAAGCAGUAUGUGCUAUGGUAUGUCAAGUGAUAUGAAUAUGAGUCUAUGUUGGAUUAACGAAAUAAGUUGAUAUAAAGAUAGUAAUUAUUUAUCUGAACACUGGUUAAUACAGUAAACCGAAUUUUCAAAAUCUAAAAUUUUGAGUACAUGAUUAUUUGAAUAGAAAGUUUUGCGUUAUUUGAGAUGCAUGUACGAUAAGGCUUAGAAUGUAAGUUAAUAAGAAUAAUUUAUGAUAAUGCCAUCGAGAAGAAGAACCUGUCAAUAAAGCUAGAAGAUAACCAGACCCGCCAUAUAAUUUUGCGAAUGUGGACGCUCAAGCUAUGCAGAACGGAAUCCCAGCCGCGGGAAAUCGGCCAGAUAAUCGAUCGACAAACUUUAGAGACUUCAAGGCAAUCGUACUGCCAAGAUUUAGAAGAUCAACUGAUCCUGUUGACGCGUUUGUGAUAGUUAGGGUAACAUAGGGGCAAAAAGACAGCUUUUGCCACCUAUACGAUGAAAGGAGAUAGUUUUGAUAAUACCUGAAAUAAGCCAAGAGUGUGAUGGAAAGGAAAGUUUGUGUGUUGCAAAUGUGGACAGGAGGGAUAUAUCUCUCCUAACUCUCCCAAUCCAAAAGUGUAUAGUGGGUGUUUUAUUUGUGAGUUAAGGGAGCAUAAGGUGAAAGACUGUUUAAGAAAGAGAAGGGAGGCAAGGAAUGCGAAUACGAGGAGAGGCAGCAGGACAUUGACGACAACGAGACCAACUUCAACAAACAAACUGACGGAAUCAACCGCAAGAGUCAUCAACAUGACUGUUUAGGAUUCGGUAGCAGCCGGGGAUGCAACUCCAAGUAUUACUCGAACCAAUUUUAUUUUCUUAUAUAUGAUUUUCUUAUAUAUAUAGUAAAUUAUUUUAUAAAUUAUUUUGAAGGAGGAAUUUGAGUUCUUUUAGAAAUCAAAUUUCUGUUUAUGAAGAUAGAUAAGCUUUUUGCUGAAUAGUUAAAGAUCAGUUAGAUCAAUUAUGAUCGAGAUCUACUUGCAAUGAUUGUAUAGGUUAUGUACCCUUAUAUGUAUAGGUUUUAAAACGGUGAUUCCGGGGACGAAAUCUUUAUAAGGGAGGGUGAAUGUAAUAACCCGAUAUUUUCUAUAUAAUUAAAUCAGAAAUUUUGUGUAUGAAUUUAUUUAUUUAUUUAUUUAUUAAAGUUGGAAAUAUGUGCCAGGUAAUGUGUAUAUGUAUAUAUGUGAUAAAUAAAAUAUAUUUAUUGCAUGAAUAAUUACCAAUAGUUUUAUUUUAGAAUUAUUGCUCAUUAUAAAUUAUAUUAUAAUAAUAAUUAGUUUUAUAGUAGAAAUGUUUUUAUUAAUUCUAUUCUAUGAAAAUGUGUUUAUAUAUUAUUUAAAAAUUAUAUGAAAUGAUUAAAGACUUAUUAUAAUGAUUAUUCUGUUUUAUUAUAUGAAUUUUAGUUCAGAUUAUUUAAGUUAAUUAUUUUAACUUAAUUAUUAUUGUUAUGUAUGCAAGAUAAAUCAGAUAUGGAAUCCAAAUCCUAAUUUUGGAUUUUGAACAACGAAUGAGAAUAAUAAUAUAAUAUUAAUUAUAUUUUUAUUCUUCAGUGCUAUAAAUAUGUAUGUUAUGUUUGUAAGGUUAAUCUGGGGAGCAAUUUCCUUAUGACCUGAUAAAACCCUAAUUUGAAAGUCAAUUACGACUGUAAAAUCUGUUAAGUCAUUGUGAUAUGUGGUAUAUGAUUUGUAUUAUAAGUAUUAAUGUUAAUUAUAUAAAACCCUAAUUAGUAAUUUAAAACUCUAUUUUUCUUAUAUUAGAAACCCUAAACAGUAAUUAGCUAUCCGCUAAGUGGAAACCCUAAUUUAAAACUCAACUAUGAGUUUGAGACUAUUAUGUAACUGUGUUAUUAUGUUUAAGGUUAAGUAUUAUAGAAUUUUAUAUUAAUUAGAGAAACCCGAAUUAACAUUUAGAAAUCCUAAUUUCCAGAAACCCUAAUUUCUAAAUUAGUAAACCUAAUUUCUAAAUUAGUAACCCUAAUUUACUAAAAUAAAAUCCUAAUUGUUAAUUUAGCACGCUUAAUGAUAAUUAGUAAAAUCUAAACCUAAUUUUCAAGUCUAUGUAAUGAGGAAACCAAAUUAAUUACGAAACCUUAAUUUGUAUUUUUAGAAACUAAAAAUUUCAAUUUUUGUUUAAAUUAGAAAUCCUACAACACUUUGUGCUAAACCUUAUGGUCAAACCCUAAGGGUCAAACCCUAAGUGUUUGAUAAGUUACUAGUUUGCCCUUAAAUUGGUUAGCCAAAUGACAAAAAUACCCCUCUUGCAUUAUUGGACAUAACUUGUAAGACUAACCAAUUUUGAGUUGCUCAACAACUCUUACCAGCCCCAUUUGACUAAAAUGCCAGCAAUUAGCCAACUUGAUUUCAUGUUAUAUAUAGAGAGAUCAGGAAAGAGAAAUUUCAUUUAUUAGCCACAUUUGUACAAAAAACUCCUUACCAACUCUCUCUCUCCCAAAACCCACGAAAUGUUGUAGUAGAUCAGUCCCAUAUUAAAGCCCCACUAACACACUUAACCAAAUCAGCAGCCAGAAUCAAGAAUUGAUGUUUAAAGGUAUAAAAUCCUAAGUUAAAGUUUUGAUCUUGUAUGCUAUAUUGGAUUUAUGGUUUUUAUGUUUAAUCAUGUAGAAUAAGGUGUUAAUAGGUGAUCUGGGUUGGCACAUGUUAGAUCCAUAACAUCAAAGUGCUCGAAAUCUAAGUUUUUCAAAAUCUGGAAUUUUUUGUUUUUGUUGUCUGACAGCGAAUGUCAGGCCUUGUAGAUCUGUGCUUGUUUAUUGUUUUGAUGAUUUAAAGGUUUGAAGUGGUAGUUUGGUAUGAGGUCUUUCAUAUGAAAGUGGAAUCACUGUUAUUGGAUGUCUAGAUCGAAAGUUAUUGAUGGUCAAAAGUCGUUGACCAACCAUGACCGAGUGUAAAUCUGGGCAACCCAGAAAGCUUUUUCAGCGUCUGACAAUGUUUUGGAAGGCUUAGAUCUGUCAGUGUGUAAAUGAUUUGAUGAUGUUAUAAUAUACAGUUUAUAGCCUGUCAUAUGUACUUUAUAUUUGUGGCUUUAGAUCCUUUAAACAAACAAUUGAUCAAACUUAGUGGAUGGUCAAACUUGGCCCCUCGGUCACGAUUUCAUUUCUGGGAAUUUCCAGAAAAUCGGAAGAACAGCCCUCUGACAGGGUUUGACCAAGUUAUAUCUUGUAGAUCUGUUGAUGUUAAACUGAUUUGUUGUUAUAUUAUUGUUCCUGGACAUAAGGACUACAUCUUUGAGGCAUUAGAUCACUUGAAUCAUGAACGGAACCUAGAUUAAAUCGAGGAUGAAAGUGACUGGUCGACCACCUGGGUUUCUGGAAAACCCAGGAAUGCUCUGACAACAUAUUUGCAAGCCUAGAUCUCCUUGUGUGUUUGUUGUAUGACCUAGAUAUUGAUUGCUAGUUAUAGUGUUGUAUAAUGACUUCAAUAUUGAUGCUUAAGUUUGCCCAGAAACGAAUUAGACAGAGAAUUAUUAGUGGUCAAAGUUGACCCCUCAAACACAAAGCUAUAAGUGUUCUUGAGCUCAAGAACACCAACAGCGACGCUUACUGUCGCUAAAAGCCAAUAACGACGGUUUCUAAUACUUUUAAUUUCUGAUUUUUCGAAAAAUACUUAAAAAUAGAAAAUAAAUUAUAAAAAUUACAAAAAUGGUUUUAAAAAUUAUUUUCAAUUAUGAAAAAUAACUUUUAAUUAUUUGGGAUAUUUUUCAUUAAUAUUUAUAUAUUUUUUAAUAUUAAUAAUAUUUAAUUUAUUUAAUUAGUGUAUUAAAUAAACUAGAGAAAAAUGAUUUUAAUGUUAUAAAAAUCAAUUGAAAUAAGAAUAAAGUGUUUAAAAAUAUUUUUGAGUUAUAUAUGUAACUUUUAAUAUUUUUGUGAUGAAUUUCAUUAAUUAAUUAAUAUUGGUGAUAAUUAAGUAAUUUAAUAAAUGUAUUAAAUAAAUUAUGAAAAAUAGAAUUUGUGAUUUAAAAAUCAUAUAAAAGUGAUUUAAAGAUUAUAAAAAAAUAUUUAAAGUUAUAAAAUAUAACUUUUGAUAUUUUGUCAUGAAAAAUAUUAAUAAUUUAAUAUUAAUAAUAUUAGAUUUAUUUAAUGAUUAUAUUAAAUAAUUUAGUUUAAAAAUAAUUUUAUUAUUAUAAAAAUCAUUUUAAAUGAAAAUAAAGUGUUUAAAGAUAUUUUAAGUUAUAAAAUAUAACUUUUAAUAUUUAAAGGAUAAUUUCAUUAAUAAUUUAAUAUUAAUGAUAUUAAUUUAAGAUUUAUUGAUAUUAAAUUUAUUUAAUAAUUAUAUUAAAUAAAUAUUUUUAAAAUGGUUUUAUUAGUUUAAAAAUCAUUUAAAAGGAUAUAAUUGAAUUAAAAAUAUUUUAAGUUGGAAUUAAUGACGUUUAAUAUUUGGAUAAAUAGUAAAUUAAUAUUUUAAUAUUAAUGGUAAUUAUUUAAAAAUGAUUUUAAAUGUUUUAAAAAUCAUUUAAGGGUAGUAUUAGUACUUUAAAAAUAUUUUGAGUUAUUAUCAAUAACUUUAAUAUUUUGGUAAUGAUUAUAUUAAUAAUUUAAUAUUAAUUAAAUAUUAAUGAUAAUAUGAUUAUGUACUAUUUAAAUCAUUUAAUUAUGAUUCCAGUGUUUGAAAUUUCAUAAUAAAUUAUAAUAAAUGUUUAAAAAUUAUUAUAAGUCAUUUAAAAAUAAUAUGAUUGAUACUUGUAGAUAUUGAGAUACAAUAUAGAGUCUUAGACUCGAUAUUUACCCAAUAAAGCCGUCGGUAGACCGACAUAUUUUAAAAAUUGAUCUAGACUUAGAUAUUUGACUGUAUUAAUGUUUGUUUGUGAUUUAAUGAUUGUUGAAUAUGUGUGACAAUGUGAUUAGGUUAUGUCCUAACUGCAAUAAGAAGUGCUAUGUGUUAUAGUAUGUUAUUCUAAUCGAACAAAUGAUUUUAUUAAUGAUAGGUUUUGGUAUUAAAGAUAAAACUAAGUUGUGUAUUGUAAGUAGCAGACCAGACAAGUAUCCUAUCUUUGCAUUUUCAUUAUGCAAUGGACAUGAGUAAGAAGUUUAGAACUGUAUUACUACUGUAUCAGAUUAUUAACCCUAUUGUUAUAUAUGUUAUAUCCGAUUAUUGUUUAUCAACAUUGUGACGACCCCAAAAUAGUUAUACAACACCCAUUCUGAGUCGCCAUAAUACAUGGUACAGAAAGAAAACUACAACUUCACUAUUACAAUUGUCAUGCAAAAUACGACAACACAUACUGUGAGUUUAAAUACAAAUAUUGUCUUCUAGACAAUAUCCACAAUCAAAUAAGUCCUCAAUACAUUUAUUAAUACAUUAUUUUACAAAAAUAGUGAGGACUGCUAAAAUAACUAUCUUGAAUCAUCACUCCAUACCCCGGCUAGUCCCUGCUAUAUUCUCACCUCCUGAGAAGAAAAAUGGAACAACAAGAAAAAGGGUGAGUUCAACUAGCCCAGUAAAGAAUAUUAUGACUAAGAUAAUAUACAACAAAUUAUCAUUAGUCCUCAACAGGGAAAAAUCUGAUAGAAUAUAAUAGACAACAAGUUUUAGAUCAGCAAAUGCAGCGGAAACAACAAUCCAUUAGAAGAGUCACGUAGAGAAUGAGUUCUACUAUCUUCUAAGAUUUAAAAGUCCAUCAUCAAUAUUUUAUCCCUGUAACAACAAUCAAUAUACAUCUUUACACUACAGGCCAAAGAUAUUCAUUUAAAUCACCAGUCGGUCAUGUUCAUCUCAACACCUGUUCAUCUUUGCACUACGGGCCAAAGAUAUUCAUCAGUUUAUCAUUCAUCUUUGCACUACAGGCCAAAGAUAUUCAGUAAUAUCAUCAUUUAGGACUGAGGAUGAUGAAAAAUAUUUUUUUUUAAAGAAACGAAUCCAGUGAAACAAAAGGACAAGGAUUAAGAAUUCGUACUUUAGUUUGUCCAAAUUCAAAAAUACUCCAUAAUAAACAAUUAUGGGACAAAUUUUAAGAAUGAAGAUCAAAACAUGGAUAUAAUCAAAGCUAGUAUCAUAAUGGACAUUUUGGAUAAAAAGGAAAUUUUUUAUUUUUCGGUGAAUAAUGUCGUAUUCGUGAAUAGUGCUGUAUACGUGAAUAGUGCCGUAUACGUGAAUAGUAACCCCGACACAAAAAGUUCCAAAUUUGAUAAAAAGAUCAGAUCAAUAUUUCGACGUAAUGAUAUUGACGAAAAUAAUAUCAUUCAUGAAGAAAAUAAUAUUCCUUACCUCAAAGAAGCAGUACUUCGGAAUGAAAGGUCGGAAGUGAUGCUGAAUGAAACUUGUACUGAACAACAACUCUCAAAGUAUCUAAAUACUCACAAAAUACGCUCGAUAAUAUAGAGAGAAAGAGAGAAAGCUUAUGUUUCUUGUGUGAUUUUCAAUUCUAACUUAGCCAUCUAUUUAUAGAAAAAUGUUAACCCGCCGAAGCAGACUUGACCUGCUACCUGAUGGCUUUACCUGUUACUAUUGCCACCCACCACAUUUAAAAUUCAAUUUGAGCACAUUUCUCACCAACCACAAGUGGGGCCCAUUCAAUUCUAGAAUUUUCCACCAAAAUCAUUUAUAACCCUAAUUUCCGAAGCAGUCACCUCUUAAAAUUCAUAACAAAUCAUUCGUUCAUUUUUAACGGUUCAAAAUUUGUGGACAUAUACCCAACUUAUAUAUGUAUAACAUAACCAAAAAUCACAACAAUCCAACGGUCAGAGUAAAAAUUAUAACUCACGCAAUAUAUCGUAAAAAUACUGAUUUGAUUUUUAAUACCUCCAUUCCGACAAAAAUAUAGAUAAAACACCUCAACAUUAACUCCUUCAAUUAUAAUCACAUAAAAUAAACAAAUCCAUCAUUUAUAUAAAAUAAAUAUUUCCUUAUCAUAUAAAUCAAUAAUUAAUUAUUCACAAAUAAUAUUAUAGAAUCACAAUUAUGACAACCAAGCCGUUUCCAGGAAAGAGGGGGCUUUCCAAUAAGGAUUUCUCCUUACUGGCGCGCAAUUAGAUGACCUAACCUCUCCUUAACAGAACUUUCUAGACAUUGCCAAUAAUGCUAUCUAAUAAUAUUAUUAAAGCAAUAUGAAUUAUUGAUCUGAUAAUGGGAAAUACUGUGCAGUAACAAUAAUUGAAAUAAUAAUAAUAUAAAAUAUCAACGCAGCAAUUAUUGAAUCAAUAAAAUAAAAUAUUAAACAGUAACUACUGUAACAAUUAUUGAGUAGUGCCUUCUUACGUAAGAAUCAAUAAUUCAACUAUACUGUGUAAUACCGUGUGCUACUGUGCAACUACGCGUAUUACUGUAUUUUAACCACCAGGUAAUCCAACAGUGUUAACGGUAACAACUGCGCCGUUAUUUAUAAAAACACAUACUUGUCGUUUUCCUUCAUCCAACCAUUUUUCAUUAUGGGGCCCACAAAUGGCUGCGCCGUCGUACGAAUAUUCCCUGACAGCAAGAAUAUUCCACGACGAAACGAAUAUUCCCCGACAACAAUGAAUAUUUUAUAACCACUUGCUUAUUUUGCAAAAUUUGCUUAUCUCAUCCAUAACCAAAAUAUUAUAUCAAAUUAACACCUUAUUAUUCACAAUAAUAAUAAUUAGAGGAAAUUCAAUUUCAUUUAUAAAAAGUUGGGGUCUUACAAACAUGAUAUUAUAUUAUAUAAUUCAGAUAUAUAUUCUGUUCGUUAAUUUCUAAAAAUGAUUUAAUCACAUGUUGAUAUAUAUAUAUAUAUAUAUAUAUAUAUAUAUAUAUAUAUAUAUAUACCUAUUGAACCCCAGUAUGUAUACAUUAAGUAAAAGUCGUCUAAGCUAUUCAACUAGCUAGACACAGAUUUAGAUAUAUCAUUGAAUAUGAUAAAACUUUUUUGUAUCCAAUCAAAUUGUUUUGGUUCGGAUUCCAGACUAAGUAUGAACAUCCAGAACAUGGGAAAACUUUUAUGCACCUAAGACGGACAGAGUGAAUGAUAAUAUCGUUCUUGCAUGCAGUAUUGAUCAAUACAGGGUCCUUGGGAUGUACACCCUCGUGCCCAUAAGUUAUGACGGUUUGCAAAUGAAGUUCUACUUUACCUUUUUGAAAAUAGAAAAUAAUGUUCAUAAUAUGUCACCCUAACCCUAUAUAUAGUCAAUACGUAGUUUCAAAAAUGUGAGAUAGAGUUGUUAUGUUAUUAUUAUCGGUUUAGUUUACUUCACAACUAUUGAAUCGUUGUAGAAGUAAUGUACAAAGAAAACAUUUAAUUCUUUCAGAUAAUUAUAUUUAUAAUUGUUAUUACUUGCUGGGCACUCAAAUGCUCAUCCUUGCUUAAUUUAAAUGUUUUCAGCUAAGCGUGAUCAAUCUGAAGGUUUAGACAAUAAUAAGUGAAAAGGAAAGCAAACAGAAUAUGUUUAACGGUAUCUUUUGUAAUAGUUAAACUGUAUUAAGAUAAUGAUAUGUAUUAUCUAUCAUGUAAAGAAUUAUAGUAAAUGUUGCGUACUUGGGAUUAGACUAUGAUAUUUGUAAAUUAAGUUUGAUUUUUAUAUUAUUGUUAUUAUUAUUAUUAUUAUUAUUCUGCUCAUAAAAAUGGUAUCGUGAAGCACCGAGUUCGGGUUUCAAGUACCUAAAUUUGGGGGCGUCACAAAUAUGGCUCAGUUAUUGGAGCGCGAUAAUGAGUCAACCCAACCAAGAGAGAGUAGCCGACAAAAUGAUAAUACCAGUGGUAGCAGUCAUCGAAGCGGUGUCAACAAACGUGGAGGGAAUCAACAUGCUAGAAAUGGUAACCACUUCGGUAGUAAUCAUGGCGAAGAUAAUAAAAAUGGAAAUUUCAAGAAGAGGAGAAUCAACAAUGAUGGAAAGACGUCAGCACCAGAACCCGUUGGUAAGGAAGGAGAACGACCAGCGAUCGUAUGCUACAAAUGCGGAGGGGAGGGAUACAUCAGUCCAAACUGUGCGCAGCCGUCCAAAAUGUAUUAUAAUUAUGGAAGAGAAGGUCACCUAGCUCGAUUUUGUCUUGCAAGGAAGCCAAGUCAAGCUGGGAUGGAGGCACCAAAGGUCAUCCCAGAAAAGUCAAAACCAGUAGUUCAAGGGAGAGCGUUUUUCGUGACCUCCCAGAAAGCAAGGAACCUGAACGAGGUUAUCAUGGGUAAGCUAAUCAUAAACUCUAGCGAAGUAUAUACCUUAUUUGAUAACGGUUCUACCCAUUCUUUUAUUUUACUAUUGGCACUCAACGUUUAAAUUUAACUCUGGAGAAAUUAGACUUUGACUUAUCUGUUAAAACUCCGUUGGGAGAAACCUUCAUUACAUCCACUGUUUAUAAGUCUUGUUUAGUUCAAAUCGGUACCCUCACAUUACCUGUCGAUCUUAUUUCUUUAAAAAUACUUGCAUUUGAUGUGAUUUUAGGGAUUGAUUGGUUAACUACUCAUCAUGCAAAAAUUGAUUGUUUUCGUAAGGUUGUUAGCUUUCAUAUUCCUAACCAACCUAUUAUGCGAAUUCAAGCAACCAAACCACUAAAGUCAAUCACUGUCAUAUCAAGCCAUAAAGCUAUUCAUUUAUUGAAAAAUAGAUGUCAAGCUUUCUUAGCCCAUGUCACAAAUUUAAACAAAAAUACGUCAUAUUUGAAUGAUAUUUCUAUUGUUAAUAAAUUUCCAGAUGUAUUCCCUGAAGAACUUCCUGGCCUACCCCCAGAGCGUAAAAUUGAGUUUGUAUUGACCUCGAACUCGGUAAAAGACCCAUUUCCAAAGCCCCAUAUCGAAUGGCUCCUAUUGAACUUCAGGAGUUAAAAACCCAACUGCAGGAGUUGUUAGACAUCUGUUUCAUUUUUCCUAGUACGUCUCCUUGGGGUUCUCCUGUUCUAUUCGCAAAGAAGAAAGAUGGGAGUAUGCGACUUUGUAUUGACUAUCGGGAGUUAAAUCAUGUCACUAUCAAAAAUAGGUACUCGUUGCCUCGCAUUGAUUACCUGUUUGACCAGUUGUAAGGAGCCAAAUUCUUUUCAAAGAUCGAUCUUCGUUCUGGAUAUCACCAGUUAAAGAUUAAAACUGAUGACAUCCGAAAGACUGCUUUCAGAACUCGGUACAGGCAUUAUAUAUGAAUUCCUAGUCAUGCAUGUCCGUUGGAUUGACUAAUGCUCCUGCUGCUUUCAUGGAUAUGAUGAACCGAGUAUUCAAGGAAUAUUUGGAUCAUUUUGUGGUCAUUUUUAUUGAUGACAUCCUCAUAUACUCCAAAAUCCGUGAAGAUCAUGAGCAACACUUGAGGUUUAUACUUCAAAAGUUUCGUGAAAACAAGCUUUAUGCCAAGUUGAAGAAAUGCGAGUUCUGGCUUAAGGAAGUGGCAUUCCUUGGGAACGUGAUAUCAAUUCACGGAAUAUCUGUUGACCCAUUGAAGAUUAAAGCAAUUCAGAGCUGGGAGCAACCUAAGUCAGUGACCGAAGUACGUAGCUUUCUGGGCUUAGCUGGUUAUUAUCGGAGAUUCAUGGAUGGAUUUUCUCGAAUUGCUACUCUAUUAACUCAGCUGACUCGAAAAGAUACAAAAUUCGGUUGGAGCGAGGAAUGUGAGAAAAGUUUUCAAGAACUCAAGAGAAGACUCAUUUCAGCACCUGUUCUGAUAAUACCAUCUGGCUCGUAGGGAUUUAUCAUCUACAAUGAUGCUUCAGGCAAAGGGUUAGGAUGUGUUCUCAUGCAACAUGGGAAAGUCAUAGCCUAUGCAUCAUGACAACUCAAAGAAUAUGAGAGGAAUUAUCCUACUCAUGAUCUAGAGUUGGCAGCUGUCGUUUUUGCGCUUAAGAUUCGGAGGCAUUACCUGUAUGGAGAGAAUGUGGAGAUCUAUACGGAUCAUAAAAGCCUCAAAUAUUUCUUCACUCAAAAGGAGCUCAACAUGCGACAACGACGUUGGCUUGAGCUAUUGAAAGACUACGAUCAUACCAUUUAAUACCAUCUUGGAAAAGCGAACGUAGUAGCUGACGCAUUGAGUAGAAGAUCAUAUGCGGGUACGAGUGCGAUAUUGUUAACGCAAAGACCCAUUUUGUAUGACUUACAAAGGAUGGAAAUAGAGUUAAAGACUCUAGGGACCCAAGUGAUGAUGGCAAAUAUACGAUUAGAACCGACUUUAAUCGAUAAAGUUAAAGCUGCUCAACUUACGGACCUGGAGCUGAUGCGUAGUAGGAAGAAAGUACAAGGUGCUAUCCUGGAAGCAAGAAUCGAUGAAGAAGGAAUACUAUGAGUCAACUCUAGACUUUGUGUUCCUAACGACCCUAAUUUAAAGUAUAAAAUCAUGAUGGAGGCGCACAACACACCGUUUGCAAUCCAUCCUGGGAGUACCAAAAUGUAUCGUGAUCUUCGACAUAUAUUUUGGUGAAGUAAUAUAAAGAGAGAGAUAACAGAGUUUAUCUCAAGAUGUUUAACUUGUCAACGUGUCAAGGCGGAGCAUCAAGUGACAAAAGGUCCAUUGCAACCACUUGAAAUUCUAGAAUGGAAGAGGGAGCACAUUACCAUAGAUUUUGUUAUUGGUCUUCCCAAGGUUUCUCAAGGCAUAGUUGCAAUUUGGGUCAUUGUUGAUAGAUUGACCAAGUCUGCUCAUUACUUACCUAUACGAGAAACCUAUACACUUGAACGUCUUGCUCGUAUAUACAUAAACGAGAUUGUAAGACUGCAUGGUAUACCAGUAUCCAUAGUUUCUGAUCGAGACCUAAGAUUACUUCACGAUUUUGGGUCAGUUUGCAGAAAGCUAUGGGCACGGAUUUGCGAUUCAGUUCUUUGAUGCCCCCAAAAUAGGUAUACAUCACCCAUUUUGAGUCGCCAGAUACAUGGUACAAAAUUCAAAUACAACUUAAUUAUACAACAGUCGUGUAAAUACGACAAAACAUAAUCUAAGAGUUUUAAUAAGAAUAUUGUCCAUCUAACAAUAUCCACAAUCAAUGGAGUCCUCAUUACAUUUAUAAUCACACUAUUUCACAGAAUAGUGAGGACUACUAAUACAAACAUCUGGACCGUCACUCUGUUCCCCGACUAGACCCAGCUACGUUCUCAUUUCCUGAAGAGAACCAUGAAAGAAAAGGGUGAGCUCAACUAGCCCAGUAAGAAAUAUUAUGACUAAGAUAAUGCAAAAUAAAUUAUCCUUAGCCUUCAACAGUAUAACAACUGAUAGAAUAUAAUAGACAACAAGUUUUAGAUCAAAAACUGCAGCGAAAUAAGCAAUCCAUUAGAAGAGUCAAGUAGAGCAUAAAAUCUACUAUCUUCUAUGAUUUAAAAAGUUUUUCAAAAUUUUUAUCGCUGAGACUCAGCUUAAUAUAUAUAUAUAUAUAAAAGCAAUAAACGCACCGGAUGUAGACUUACAGUGGACUGCCAAAGUAGACUUCUUGGACUGCAAAUGGAUGAACACUCGUCUCUCGCCGGACUAAAAGUAGCUAUAUACGAGCUAACUAGUGUUUAAAGAAAAGGAAACACUCAAAAGAUGUGUAUGCAGAGCUAAACGGACAGGGCUUCCUCGCCUUUUUCCCUCUCUUCCUUCUCUCAAAUGGCUGACCCCCCCUCUAUAUUUAUAGACGGAUGGCCGCAGGUCUACCUGCGGCUGGUCGUGGUGGGCCCGGGCAUCGCGGGUCUCGUCGUCUUGUAGUACGUGCACUUGCGCACGGUAAUGUCCAAUCGAACUUUCAGAACUUCAAUCCUAGCAUCCAAACGAAGCGUGUCUGUACUUCUUCGGACCGCUGGUGUCGAGAGUUACGUAAUGACAUGGAUUAGAGGUUGUACGAAGUCAGGAAGCGGGGUAUAUGCCCAUGGUCUUCAGGCUUCAAAUUCUAUCCAAAGUAUUGUCACAGGUAAUAGUCACUCGGGAUUGUCAUUCCUCGGUUAUUUGGGACAUUGUUGUAUGUAUGUAUGUCUGAAAGGUUGAGACGACGUGCCAUUUGUUGGACGAACAAGAUGAUGUUUGACUCUUUGCCGGAGUUAUCGCCUGGUUGAGCUGAAAGUAACCGUUGCUCAGGUUACAUCUGAGAUUGGACUACUUGUUGGUAUGCUGCUAUAUCAUCUUGUUACGAGAUGACGUUGGUGACUCCUCACCGGGUUUAUCGCCGGUUUAAGCGGAAAGCAGACGUUGAUCAGGGUUACAGCUAAGAUUGGACCGCCUAUUUGUAUGCCUCACUGUCAUCUGUGAUUGAAGCUGAUUGCAUGUGUUUGCAACAAGCAAUUCUGGAGUUAUCGCCGGAACUGCGAUGGCAUCACUUGGGGUUAUCACCAAGGAUGGGACUACUACUCCCAAUGUUGUCUCUGGGACUGGAACUGAACGUCGCGGUGUCAUCACCGAGACAGGACUGUCCUCUCCGGUGUUGUUGCCGGUCUUUUGAUCUGCACAUCUCGGGGUUAUCUCCGAGAUUGGAAAUGACGUGCCCGGUGUGUGUUCCGGGUUUGGAACCGAUGCUCCCGGUUUGUGUUCCGGUUUGGAGCGAAACUUCCGGUAGUAUCUGGACUUGUUGUGAGCUGUCUUUCAGGGUUAUCUCCAAAAGACGAAUCUACCCUCCUGCAAUGUUAGUAAUAGGAGUGCAGAAAAUUUCGAGUGUCUACAACACCUAGCAACCCAGAUCAUCACUAUAGACUAAAAACAACAUAUUCUAACACCCAAACAUAACAUUUAACAACAUAUCAAAGGUCAGAUUUUUAGGUUUAGUGUUAUACCUUCUUGCUCAAUUUCUUGAUUUUAUGUUACUGAUUUGUUAUGGGAUUUCGUGGGGCUUGAAAAUGGGACAAAAAUGCUAUAGAUUUUCGUUGGUUCUAGUGAGAGAAGCUCUUGGUUGAGUGUUGUGCAAUUUUUAGUGAACAAAUGCAUUUUCUCUAUCCUUAAAUCUAUUUAUAGACAAAUUAGAUACAUGAAUGGCUGAGCUAGAACUUGUUGUUGUCAAUUUAGUGUCACAUGGCUACUCUAGGGUUAGCCAACCACUCCAUCUAGACCUAUUUCUACAAGCAAGCUUCAAUAAUACAAUAGGGCACAAAAGUCUUUUGGCUAGCAAUUUUAAGGGCAUUUUUAUAACUUGUCAAACCCUUAGGGUUUAACCCUUAGGGUUUAGCACAUAACACAAAUGAUUUUUAGCAACUUAGGGUUUGAAUAAAAUAAAAUUAUUUUAGCUUCUAAAAUUUGAAAAUCAAGAUUUGUUAAUUAGAUUAAGUUAGUAAUUAUAUUAUACAUGAACAUUAGGGUUUAGUACCACUAAUCAUAAUUAACCUUGCCAAAAUAGCAAUUAGGGUUUAAGAUUUUAAUAAUUAGGAUUUCUAAAACUCAAUUAGGAUUUUCUAAUUAUCCAAUUAGGGUUCUGAACAUUAGGGUUUUAAUUUAAUAAUUAUGUUUACCAUAAUUAGCAAUUAAAGUCUAUUGUACGUGUUAUUAAUCACAGUAACAUAAUUUUUGACAGAUAAAAUUCUUCAGUUUAAGUUUUGAUUUAGGGUUUCUAAUAUCAGAAAUUCAAAUCUAAUUAGGGUUUGACAUUUAUAAUUAGGGUUCCCUAAUUGGCAUAUCAUUAUGUAACACAACAUAUAACACAGUUAUAUAACAGUCUCAAAUUUCCCAUUUAAAUUGAAAAACAGGGUCAAACCAAUUAAUGCUAGGGUUUGGUCAAUAUACACCAUAAUUGACCAACCAUCAACAGUACGUACAUACAGUACAUAUUUAUGGCACUGAGAAAUUAAAAUAUUAUAAUAUUAUAUAUUAUUCUCAUGCCUUGAUCAAAACCCAAAAUUAGAGUUUGGAUUCCGUAUCUGAUUUAUCUGCCAUAAAUAACCUUAUUAAUUAAGUUAAAAUAAUUAACUUAAUAAUCUGAACAAAAUUCAUAUAAUAAAAUAAUUAUUAUAAUUAUUCUAACAUCAUUUCAUAUAUUACUUAUAUUUUCAAGGAAAAUAAUUAAUAAAACAUUUCUAAUAUAAAAUUAACUGUUAUAAGAAUAUAAUUUAUAAUAAUUAAUAUUUCUAAAAUAAAUCAAUUUGUAAUAAUUAAUGUAAUAAAUUUUAUUUAUCACACAUAUAAUUAUACACAUAUUACCUUGGCACAUAUCACCCAUAUUUAUUUUAAUAAAUAAUAAAAAAAAAAUUUAUACGCAAAAUUUAUGAUUUAUUUAUAUAGAAAAUAUCGGGUUGUCACAUUCUUCACAUUCAUCAGAUUCGGGUGUGUAGCUUGAGCGGCUUUAACUUUAUCGAUUAAAGUCGAUUCUGCUCGUAUAUUCGUUAUCUUCACGUGGGUCCUUAGAGUCUUUAACUCUAUCUUCAUCAUUUGUAAGUUAUACGAAAUGGGUAUUUGUGUUAACAACAUCGCACUUGUAAACACAUACGAUCUUCUACUCAAGGCGUCAGCUACUACGUUCGCUUUUCUACGAUGAUAUUGAAUGGUAUAGUCGUAAUCUUCAAUAGCCCGAGCCAACGUCUUUGGCGCAUGUUACGUUCGUUUUAAGUGAAGAAAUAUUUGAGGGUUUUAAAAAUGGGUUUUGUACUGGGGUCAAUACAAAAUUUGAUUUCACGCUCUAGGGGUAGGCUAAGAAGUCUUCAGGAAUACGUCAGGAAACUUAUUAACGAUAGAAAUAUCAUUCAAAACUGUGACUCUCAUCCCAAGACUUGGAUAGCCCGUCAUAUUGAUACCUAUCAACUUGCCACCGUUAUUCACGGCGUCCCCUACGGAUAGUCUGGCUUCGGUGUAUUCCAAGACUUGGAAGUCAUCAGCGAAAGGCUUAGGUCUCUUUACUUAUGGCUUGAUAUGACAAUGAUUGGCUUUAGUGGUUUGGUUGCUUGAAUUCGCAUAACAGGUUGGUUAGGAAUAUGAAAGCUAACAACCUUACGAAAAGCAUGAUGAGUAGUUAACCAAUCGACUCCUAAAAUCACAUCAAAGGCAAGUAAUUUCAAAGAGAUAAGAUCGACAGGUAACGUGAAAGUGUCGAUUUGAAUUAAACAAGAUUUAUAAACAGUGGAUGUAAUUAACGAAGGUUUCUCCUAACAUAGUUUCAACCGAUAAGUCAAAGUCUAAUUUCUCCGGAGUUAAGUUCAAACAUUGAACACAACUAGGUGAAAUAAAAGAGUGAGUAGAACCGGUAUCUAACAAGGUAUAGACUUCGCAAGAGUUUAUGAUUAACUUACCCGUGAUAACUUUAUUCAGGUUUCUCGUCACGAAAAACGCUCUCUCUUAAACUACUGAUUUUGACUUGUCUGGGACAUCCCAGUUGGACUUAACUUUGCUGUAGAGUACAUUCCACCCUUAAUUGCUUCAUCACAUUCCUGAUCCAUGAUUCGAAUCAUUACUCUCUGAUCCAUAUCGAAUUGGGGUUAACCGCUCUGCACAGGGUAAUUUCGAAUUCGAUGUUGGAUUCUCCCAAUUGUUGUCCAAAAAGCAAAAUCCAUUUCAUCUAUUUUAGCCUUAUUGGAUCUGACGUCUUUUUCUACAAUAUCUACACGUCGUGCGACUUUUACCCAUGCAUCAUCUAUUCUCAUUCGUUCAGUUGUUUUUUCUUUCAUCAGAACUUUGAUCAUAGCAUUCUUAAAUUCCAGCUCUAAUAUCUUAUACUCUGCCAAAGAGUGCUUCUGUUCGAGCAUCGUACAUCGGGUAACACAAUUUUGAAUUGCUACAUCUCUUUGCUCCACGACCGCCUGUCGUUCUUCAGCCUGCUCUUCUAGCUCAUGAAUACAAUUUUGUAAUUCUAAAUUUCGAUCAUAAAAUUCUUCUAAUAAAUUCACCUCAGGUUCCUCUUCUUCCUCACUCUCAGCUGCUACCUCUGCAACUAGCUCGAGUGCAACUAUUAGUUCUUCACUCACCAUGUAGAUAUCUCUAAUUUCUUCUUCGUUUGACAUCACAUUAACCUGGUUAGUGAUUAAAGGUGUCUCAACGAUCUCAUUCACUGCAUUGUUAAUAUUUUUAGCCGCCAUUUUUAAAUACUGUCAUAAAACAAGGGUGAAUUAACAUAUCACAUAUUAUCAAUAUAUUAUGACCGACCAAUUAAAUACCAAAUAAACUUAGGUAGGUCAUACUAGCAAAGGAAUUCCCCGUCUCUCCCCUCCUAGUUCUUGUCUCACAUCUCAGCCAGGGAUCAUAUCCCUAAGCUUUGAUACCAACUGUGACGCCCCCAAAACAGGUAUUCAUCACCCAUCUUGAGUCGCCAAAUACAUAGUACAAAAUUUAAAUACAACUUAAUUAUACAACAGUCGUGUAAAAUACGACAAAACAUAAUUUAAGAGUUUUAAUAAGAAUAUUGUCAUCUAGACAAUAUCCACACUCAAUGGAGUCCUCAUUACAUUUACUGUCACACUAUUUAACAGAAUAGUGAGGACUACUAAUGCUAACAUCUGGACCGUCACUCUGUUCCCCGACUCGUCCCAGCUAUAUUCUCAUUUUCUGAAGAGAACAGUGAAAGAAAGGGUGAGCUCAACUAGCCCAGUAAGAAAUAUUAUGACUAAGAUAAUGCAAAAUAAAUUAUCAUUAGCCUUCAAUAGUAUAACAACUGAUAGAAUAUAAUAGACAACAAGUUUUAGAUCAAAAACUGCAGCGGAAUAAGCAAUCCAUUAGAAGAGUCAAGUAGAGCAUAAAAUCUACUAUCUUCUAUGAUUUAAAAAGUUUUUCAUCAUUUUUAUCGCUAAGACUCAACUUAAUAAAUAAAAUUGAAUCAUCCCUGCACCACAGCGAAGUUUAUUCAUGUAAUCAUCAAUGGUCAUGACUAUACCGAAUAAUCCCUAGUCAUAAUCAUACCAACAACUGUCCACCAAUGAAUUACAUGCCAAUGAUGACUUUUACCACAUCAUUCGUCACAUUACAGUCAUGAUUAUACCGAAUAAUCCCUGGUCAUAAUCAUACCAAGUCCAUCUAUGCACGUAAGUCAAAGAUGACUAUCAUCACAAUAUAAGCAUGAAGAUGAUAACAAUGACAUAAUAAUUCAAUAAAACAAGUUCAAGGAUAAAUUUUAAAGAUUUAUAAUUUAAUUUAUCCAGGAAUCAAUAACGUCUAAUUUGUCAACAUGAUACUGCUUUGUGGAGUAAAAUUCAAGAAUGCUCAGAAGAAUAUUUCUAUGAAAAGAUACUGGAUGAAGUGCAAAUAUCUAGGAUAUUCUACUAAUUUUAUGGAGUAUAGAAGCCAAAACUUUAACCAACUGAGUAUAAUAGAAUAUAUGAAGCUGUAAAUGGAUUUUCGCCCGCCAUGCGGUAAUCCAUGUAGACAGAUCAUUUCCACAUUUUAAUAAGGAAUGAAUACGAAGGAUCAUUCACCAUGCAUGCGAUAAUCCACAUAGACAUGUUAUUCCAACAGAAUAACAAAGUAUGGAAUAACAGAAGAAUUCACCAUGCAUGCGAUAGACCACACAGACAGGUUAUUCCAACAGAAUAAUAAAGAAUGAAAUACUAAAAGAAUUCACCAGGUGUGCGUAGUCCGCACAGACAGGUUAUUCCAGCAGAAUAAUAAAGAAUAGAAUAACAGAAGAAUUUACCAGGCGUGCUUAAUCCGCACAGACAAGUUAUUCCAACAGAAUAAUAAAGAAUGGAAUAACAGAAGAAUUCUCCAGGCGUGCGUAAUCUGCACAGACAGGUUAUUCAACCAGAAUAAUAAAGAAUGGAAUAAUAGAAGAAUUUUGCCACGCAUACGGUAAUCCGUGUAUACAGGUUAUUCCAACAGAAUAAUAAAGAAUAGAAUAACAGAAGAAUUUCACCACACAUACGGUAAUCCGCGUAUACAUGUUAUUCCAACAGAAUAAUAAAGAAUGGAAUAACAACCCUGACAAGUAUUGAAAGAAAUAACUCUCUUAAUAAAUACGAAAGAAAUAAUACCCCUUACCUUAGAAGAAAACUAGAAUAGUGAGGUAGCAGACUUCUCUUCUUCUUUCUCUCUAUAAUUUCUCUCUAUAAUAAUUUCUCUAUAGCUUUAGUGAAUUGGUGAACAAUAAUGAAGGAAUGAGCUUCUAUUUAUAGAAAAAUAUAGUUUCAACAAUUGCACAUUUUGGGGCUCAAAAAAUUACAGUAUAAUAUCUUCUUCUUUUUCUUCAUUUUUAAUUUAGUCCUGCAAGUAUUAUCAAACUUGCACCACCUCCUCUUGGAAGUCCUUGAAUCAAUCAGCUCGAAACAAUCCUUCUUGGACUCAAAUUCUAGUUAAAAUUACCUUUUCUACGCGUACCCAAGCCCCAGCUUGGGUAUUGCCUUGUAAAUAGUAAGCCCCGGCUUGCUAUGCUUCUGAUUUUGAACUCAGGACCCCAAGCCCCGGCUUGGGUAUAAAGCUUAAAAGAGCAAGCCCCGACUUGGGUGCAAGCUGCUAAUAGUUUUUUCUGCUGCAGUGUCCUCAGGUAAAAUGGCCAUAACUUUUGAUCCGGGAGGAGUUACGGGGCCUGCCACCUAUCAAAUCAAAGAUAUCGACGAGAUCUACAACUUUCAUUCUUUGAGAAUUGAGUAAUAACGAACGAAUGAAGGUAGAAAUUGGACUAGAAAUGACUGUUAUGCAAAUGGCCACCCAAAAUAGCGAAGUUAUUCAACAGUCUCCUGUGCUCCAUUGAUAUUCUCAACAUUCUCGGUUGUCAUUUUCAAAUACUGCCACAAAACAAGGGUUAAAUAACAUCACAUAUUAUCUCUAUACUCUGACCGACCAAUUAAAUACCAAAUAAACUUAGGUAGGUCAUACUAGUUCCCCGUCUCUCCCCACCUAGUUCUUAUCUUACAUUUUAGUCAUGGAUCAUAUCCCUAAGCUUUGAUACCAACUGUGACGCCCCCAAAAUAAGUAUACAUCACCUAUUCUGAGUCGCCAAAUACAUGAUAUAAAAUACAAAUACAAUCUUAAAUAUACAACAUAAGUUGUGAGUUUUAAUACAAACAUUGUCUUCUAGACAGUAUUAAAACUCAAAAUAAGUCAUCAAUACAUUUAUUAACACACUAUUUCACAGAAUAGUGAGGACUACUAAUGCUAUCCUCUGGACCAUUACUCCAUUCCCCGACUCGUCCCAGCUAUAUUCUCAUUUCCUGAAGAGAACAAUGAAAGAAAGGGUGAGCUCAACUAGCCCAAUAAGAAAUAUUAUGACUAAGAUAAUGCAGAAUAAAUUAUCAUUAGUCUUCAACAAUGUUAAACUGAUAAAAUACAAUAACUGCAGCGAAAUAAGUAAUCCAUUAAAAGAGUCAAGUAGAGAAUAAAAUCUACUAUCUUUUAUGAUUUAAAAGGAUUUUCAUCACUUUUAUCGCUGAGACUCAGUUUAAUAAAUAAUCCACAUCAUCGAAUCACCCCUGCACUACGGCCAAGGAUAUUCUUUAGUAUUACAACCAUAAAUAUCCAUGCACUACGGGCCAAGGACAUUCGUGUAUUCAUUAAUGGUCAUGAUCAUGCCAAAAACUGUCCAACAAUACACUACGGUCAAUGAGGACUUUUACCACAUCAUUUGUAACAUUACGGUCGUAAUUAUACUGAAUAAUCCCUGGUUAUAAUCAUACCAAGUCCAUCUAUACACUACAGGCCACAGAUGACUUUCAACAGAAUAUAAACAUGAGGACGAUGACAAUGAUAUAUGAAUUCAAUAAAACAAGUUCAAGAAUUUAUUUGUCCAGGAACCAAUAACGUCCAAAUUGUCAACAAGAUACUGUUUUGUGGGAUAAAAUUCAAGAAUGCUCAGAAGAAUAUUUUCAUAAAAAGAUAUUGGAUGAAGCGCAAAUAUCAAGGAUAUUCCACUAAUUUCAUGGAGUAUAGAAGUCAAAACUUUAACCAACUGAGUAUAAUAAAGAAUGAAAUAACAAAAGAAAUCACCAUGCACGUGGUACUUCGCAUAGACUGGUUAUUCCAACAGAAUAAUAAAUAACGGAACCAGGUUAGGCAAAAUUCGCACCGAUAGGAUGUUCCAACUGAAUAAUAAAGAAUGGAAUAACAACAGAAAUCACCAUGCAUACGGUACUUCGCAUAGACAGGUUAUUCCAACAGAAUACUAAAUAACAGAACCAGGUCCGGCGUAAAACGCACAGACAGGAUAUUCCAACACAAUAAUAAAGGCGGAACCAGGUCCGGCGUAAAAGUCACAGACAUGAUAUUCCAACAGAAUAAUAAAUACGGAACCAGGUCCGGCGUAAAACGCACAGACAGGAUAUUCCAACAGAAUAAUAAAGAAGAAAAUAACAGAAGAAUUUCAUCAAAUAUAGGGUAGCCCGCGUAUACAGGUUAUUCCAACAGAAUAAUAAAGAAUGGAAUAACAGAAGUUCUCUUCAUGAAUACAAAAGAAAUAAUACCCCUUACAGUUACAACAAAUAAUAUCCAUUACCGUAAAAGAAACUGGAUAUAGGAAAAUAAAGUUAGCAGACUUCUCUUCUUCUUUCUCUCUAUAAUUUUCUCUCUUUAAAGUUUCAGUGAAUUCGUAAGAAAUAAUGAAGGAAUGAACUUCUAUUUAUAGAAGAAUGGACUGCAUAGUAACUAAUUCAUGAACGGUCCAGAUUGAUUUACUUUUAAUCGAACGAUCCAUAAUUAAAGCAAAGUUUUUUAAAUAAAAUAUAAUAUAUUAUAUAUAUAACAUGUGCAAGAAAAGAAAAAUCACGGGUGGAAGACCCGUGAAUUCAUCUUACUCCCUCUGUCCAUUUUUUCAAACUUACAUAUAUAUAAUAUAAUAUAAUAUAAUAUACAUAAUAAUACUCCUCCCGUCCAUUUCAUCCAUACCCCCCCACCCAAGACUUUUCAUCACAUAUAUAAUAUAAAACAUAUAUAUAUAUAUAUAUAUAUAUAUAUAUAUAAUACUCCCACUAACUUUUCCUUCAACCAACCCGUGACAAACAUAACAUUUCACCCAAGACUUUCCUCCACAAAUGGGCCCCACCCGUGGCCCUCCUAAAAUAACUUCUAUCGAUUAUUUUGAAAACUGGAUAAAUAGGGAUCCAUAAAAUACGUCAAAAUUCACAACAAUUACUAUAACAAUAAUUGAACAAAACUGAGUAGUUCAACAGUAUUAACGGUAAAACUUCCGCCGUUACUUUCAAUAAAAUAUUUUUGUCGUUUUCUCAAUCCGACAAUAAUUCUGUUGUGGGGUCCACCAAUGAUUGUACCGUCGUACGGAUAUUCCCUGACAAAAAGAAUAUUUCCCGACCAAUCGAAUAUAAUAUGACAACUUGCAUACUUUGCAAAAUUUAUAAAUAUUACCCACAAUUAUAAUAUUAUAUCAAAUUAUUCCAUAAUAUUCAAAAAUGAUAUUUAUUGAAAAUUCAUUUUUAUUCAUAAAAGUUGGGGUCUUACAGUAGUUAAAUUCUUAUUUUUGACAUUUUUCAAAUAUUUCAUCCAUGCUUUUACAAUAGACAUCUUUCACUUUGAUGGCGUUUGACAUGCUUACAACAAGUAAUAGAAAUCAUUUUACAGUCAUUAUUUGCAUUAAUCAAGCAUGUUAGUCACAUAGUCAAGUCGUAGUUUCAAUGGUAAUGAAUAGAUUUCUUAUAUGUAAUACAUUUUUCAAAUAUCUCAUCCAUGCUUUUAUCAUCACCAUUUUUCUCUUUGAUGGGGUGUAGUAUGAUAAUAACAUGCAACCAUACAUAUGUAUAGUUACACCAUAUUAAGAACUUAGUUACAUGAAGUUUUCAUGCUUUGCUUAGAGACUUCUAGCAUACAAGGUGCUUUUGUAACUUAUUUUAUGCCUUUGAAAAUAUUCACAACUUGGUUGAGUAAUUUAUAGUUCUUAUAACACUUUUUAGCUUUAUUCUUGUAUACAAAAGUGUAUCAUUCUUGAUUUUCCUCUCUUUCCCAAAAUAGUCCUAACAUGAUCUAUUUGGGGCAAUCAAGCUAGCUUCUCUUGACCAUUUGGGCUUAGUCAGGCUUGGGGUAGCCUAGAUUGGCCUUGCAGUCCCAAUUGGCCUCUAUCUAUGGCAUGAUUUUAUUAAUACCCUCUUCUAUUAAGGUUUACUCUCACCUAUAUCACCAUUUGAUUCUGUUAUUUAUAGGUGAGGAUUUCUUUGAACUGCUACAUGUUUGCUACUUACUUGAUUUUGUUUUCUUUCCGUUUGUAGCUAACUACUCACUAGUAGCAGCUCUCUACUUUAGAUACUAAAUUUACUAGCUUUUAAUCUCCCACUAAACUUUUGGGUCAGCAGCUAGGGGACACAACUCCCUAAUAAUAGAGCAUAUUGGUUAAUUAUCUUAAGCAAUAUAGUUGUAUUGUCUGAAGGUCUAAAGGACAAGUUCAUUACCCAGCUCAGCUACUGUUGCUAUUAGUUGUUAUUUUUCAGUAAUAGAUUGACAGUCUUCAAACUUACCAUGUUUCUUCUUUAAUAACUUUUGUCUAGAAAAUUUCUAUUGCACUAUGUGCACCUUUGAAUACUUGCUUAAAUAAGUAACAAUUACACUCUAUUUAAUUCUGCAGUUUGCAUUUCAAAUCCAAACUACGUUGCCUAUAGCAGUUUAUUGAGGAUGUUUAUUAUUGCCUUAUAGCAACAACCCCCCCUAUUUUGUAAAAUUUCCCAAAUCACAAUUUUAGAUUAACCUAGACUGCCCAAAACCAUUUUAGUAAUGGCUCAUAGCUACAGUUUUAAGCCAACUGUUGCUGCUCCUAGGUAGCAGCUACAUUUGAUUUUGUUUCAUGCCUUGAACUCUCCCUAAUUUUGGUUUACUUGCACUUUAUUUGAAAGUUAUAUAACUAACAUUUUCAACUAAUAGGGAAACUUUAAAUCAAUAGUGAAAUUAUAAUCUAUAUGAUCCAACAUGUUAGCUAAACUGACCCUAGCGAGUCCAGAACAAUGGUCUACAGUCUUCUUUUGUUUUUCUAUGCCAGCAACCAAGCUUGGCUUGGCCCUGUAAGGCUGAUCACCUAAGCUUGGUGUGGCCCUGCUUGGCCUCACGGUCCCUAAGUCAAAUCCAAAGUUGUUAUAGCAGCUGCUAUCUUGGCAACUGCUGCCAUCAAGGAAUAACAGCCCUGCCACUCUUCUUUAAUUCUUAUACUUGCAAACCCCAGAGGAAUGUUUAUACACUAACUUCAACCAUACAUCCUAGUUAGCUCUUAUAAAGUUAUAUUAAUUUGUUAAACAGACUGCCCAAAACUGCUUUAGCAGUCAUUCACUUGUCGACUGUCGCUGCUUGUUUCUAUAACCAGUAGGCAGCCGUCCCAAGUCUUAUGCCACUAAAAGCUUUUACCUCUUAGAUUGAUAUGAAAUCUUGGCAUGUUAUAGGUGAUUCAAAUUCUGAUUAUUUUUAGCUACCAACUAGACUAGGAGAAAAGCUUGCUAGUGCCACUAAAGGUUAAUAUUUCUGCUGCUGCGACAUGCUUUUUGCUGCUGCUUGCAGCUAAUUGCUGCUGCCAAUGGGCAGCUGCGCCCCUUACUUCAGGCCAUUUUUGGCUUCACAUCAAUUAGCCUAUUCACAACCCACUUUCAUUGAUCAAUAAAUGGUACACCUGCCUUCUAAGCUAACUUAGCAACUGUGGCCCAAAUGUACUAUAUGUAAAUCAAAAUGGUGUGCUAACCUUCCUGCUCGGCUCUGCAGAGCAGUGCAGCACAACGCUGGGCGUUUACUGCCAAUGCCUGCAGUAGCCUCAGCUAGCUUUGCCCAAGCUCAAACAUUUUUUUUUCUUAAAAUUUGUUUUUCUUUCCAUUAAUAUGUCAAAACAUAUUUCCUAAUCUUAUAUAAGACGUCCAUAUAUAACCCCAACUUUAAUUCCCUCUAGAAUUCUCUUUUUAGCCAAAACAGUCCACUUGGGACUUUUAACAAAUAUAUGGUGUGCACAGUUUUAAUUUACUCUUUCCAUAGCCAUUUACUUGUGUUAUAAUCUCAUGUUAGCCUCCUUAUUACUCCACAGCCACCUAUCUCCUUGUGCCUAAAUUACAUACAUCUAGCAUGCUAGUGAAUAACCUUUACAACAAUAAAAAAGUAAAAUAAAUGCUAUGUGACUUUACCAGGCCAUUCGGCCAUAACAGUCCAUCACAACUUGCACGAAAUAGUGUUAAACAAGAUAGUUUAUUACUUGAUAACUUUUCCUUAAAAGUUUGAUAUCACAACUUUUACAGAAGAUUACAAUUACCCAUGACAAGUAUAAUUUACUAACACAUCUACAUUACAACAUUAAUAAUACUAACAAUAUAGCAGCCCCUUCUUUUUUCUUUUCAGGCCAUUCGGCCACUGUAGAUUACUAGCAGCAAGAAACUAAAGUGGAAAAGGAUUGGAAAUCUUACCUUAUUGAUUCGAAGGAAACAAAGAAGUUAUACUGCCCAGCUUCUCCACCUACUCUUAGCCGAACUCUUCCACCCUCUCUCUAUAUGACCGAAUUGCUAUAGCUAUUUUGUCUCUACUAAGUGAUGAAGCUAAACUAGUUAAUAAGCUUGGCCCCUUUUUUAUGGCUGAGCUUGGUUCCUUCUACUGUUAACUGCAUCACCUCCUAGUUGGCCCCUACACAGUCAUCAUUCCUAACCUAGCUUCACAGCCACCCUAGCAGACUCUACUUACCUGCUAAGCCUUAUCUUCUGCAAGCUUAUCUAACAUAUUCUUUGUCUGUUAUACAAACUAACCUACCUGUUAACUAGAACCAACUUAGAAACCAUAUGCUUACAGCCUGACUAUGUACUCACGUUAUGCCACUGCUUUUCUUAUUUAGUCUGAAACAGUUAGCUUGUUAUACACCACUGGGUUUACAGGAUUGGUUUAGGUAGGAGUUUGAUAAAUACUUAAUUUGGGCUUAAACCAAUCCUCAAUGGUGGCUGCCGAAAUUGGGCUAGAAAAUGAGUUAGAAUUGGCUUUAUAUUAGACCCAAUACCAUAACCCUUAUUCCUACAUUAAUUAAAGGAGACUUGCAAACAUACAAUUGCAAAAAUUUAUUAUGGCCUAAUAUUUUAAUAUGGACUCUUGUUAAAUUAACACAUGGACUUUUAUAUAUUAUUUUCUCUAGCAACAAUAGUUAACACAUAUAUCAUUAAAAUGUCUAUUCCAUGUAAUCUUAAAUAAUUCAUGGUGGUACAAUAUUUCUUUAUCCUUCAUAAUUUAAGAUGUUUAAUAACCUAUUAAAUAAAUAAUAGUUUUGUCACAAUGAGAAAUAACAUAAUUAAAAUAAAAUAAAAAAUAUACUCACAAAUUGACAUUAUAAUAAUUAAAUAUUACAUAGGAUUUUUUGAGUCAUUACAUACGCGAUAACUCUGCCGUUCUGCAAAAGCACACAGCCUUGUCCUUUAUGCGAUGCAUCAUUGUAUACCACAAAAUUCCCUGUAUCAUCAGGCAAUGACAACACAGGUGUUGAACUCAACCUUUUCAUUAAUUCUUGAAAACUUUCCUCCCACUUCUCUGUCCAAACAAACUUAACCGUUUUCUAGUUAAAUUCGUCAACGGAGUUGCGAUCUUGAAAAAGUCUUGAAUGAAACGCCUAUAGUAACCCGCCAAUCCUAAGAAACUCCUUACUUCUGACGGUAUCUUCGGCUGAUCCCAGUUUAUUACAGCUUCAACCUUUGAUGGAUCUACCGAAAUUUCGUCCUUAUCAAUAACGUGUCCGAGAAACUGUACACGUUCCAACCAAAACUCACAUUUUGAAAAUUUUGCGUACAACUUUUCUUUUUUCAACGUCUCUAACGUCAAUCUCAAGUGUUCAACAUGUUCCUCUUUGGUCUUGGAAUAUACCAAUAUAUCAUCGAAUCAAAUCCAUGAUAUAUUGGUAUGAACAGGGUGUUUAUAUCAUUUGUCUAAGAAUGGUUUAAACACCUUGUUCAUCAAAUCCAUGAACGCUGCAGGUGCAUUGGUUAAACCAAAAGACAUAACCAGAAACUCAUAAUGACCAUACCGAGUUCUGAACGCUAUUUUUGGUACAUCCUCUGGCCUCACCUUUAACUGAUGAUAACCACUCCUCAAGUCUAUCUUUGAGAAAUAGCUUGUUCCCUUCAGUUGAUCGAACAUGUCAUCGAUUCUAGGUAAUGGAUACUUAUCUUUAAUCGUGAUCUUAUUCAAUUCUCGAUAGCAAUGCAGAGCCGUAUCGAUCCAUCUUUCUUCUUAACAAACAACAUCGGCGCUCCCCAUGGCGACACACUCAGUUGAAUAUACUUUUUGUCGAGUAAUUCUUGCAAUUAUACCAUCAACUCCUUCAUCUCUACUGGGGCCAUUCUAUAUGGUGCAUUAGAUAUCGGGGUCGUUCCUGGUAAUAAGUCAAUUACGAACUCGAUUUGUAGAUCCGGCGGAAGACUCGGCAAAUCGUCUGGAAAUACGUCUGCAAAAUCUCUUAUGAUUGGUAUCUCUUCUAACUUCGCACUCUUCUUUUGUGUAUCGACUAUGUAGGCUAAGUAUCCUACACAUUCUUGUCUCAACAACUUCUUGGCUUGCAUCACCGUUAGACAACUUGCUUGUCGAGGUGACUUGCUGCCGUAGAACACAACCUUUGAUGGAGUCAUAAGGUUAACACAUUUCCUUUCGCAAUCAAUUACUGCUCCGUAAUUGAAUAACCAAUCCAUUCCCAGUAUAACAUCAAACUCACAAAGUCUAAUUGGUAUCAAAUCUACCAUCAUCUCGUGACCUUUUAUAACCACCCUACAAUUCCUAUAUAUAAAUCUAACAGGAAUCACUUCCUUAUUCGCAAUCUCUAUGCUUAAGGGAAAUUCUAAUUCUUCCUGAGGCAAAUCUAAAUUUUGAGCAAAUUCAUUGGAUAUAAAUGAAUAAGUAGCACCCGAAUCAAAUAGUACAUAAGCAUUAAUACCAUUAAUCUAAAUGAUACCUGAGACCACAUCCUUAGACUAUAUAACAUCCUGCACGGUCAUAUUAAAAGUCCUCGCAGUAGGUCGACUUUGUGACGCCCCCAAAAUUAGGUAUACAUCACCCAUCUUGGGUCGCCACUUACAUGGUACAAAAUACAAAUACAACUUAAUUAUACAACAGUCGUGUAAGCUACGACAAAAUAUAAACAAUGAGUUUUAACUCGAAUAUUGUCAUCUAGACAUUAUUCAAACACAAAUAAGUCCUCAAUACAUUUAUUGUCACACUAUUUAACAAAAUAGUGAGGACUACUAAUGCUAUCAUCUGGACUGUCACUCCGUUCCCCGACUCGUCCCCGUUACGUUCUCAAUUCCUGAAGAGAAUAGUGAAAGAAAGGGUGAGCUCAACUAGCCCAACAAGAAAUAUUAUGACUAAGAUAAUGCAGAAUAAAUUAUCAUUAGUCUCCAACAAUGUUAAACUGAUAAAAUACAAUAGACAUCAAGUUUAACUGCAGCGGAACAAGCAAUCCAUUAAAAGAGUCAAGUAGAGAAUAAAACCUACUAUNNNNNNNNNNNNNNNNNNNNNNNNNNNNNNNNNNNNNNNNNNNNNNNNNNNNNNNNNNNNNNNNNNNNNNNNNNNNNNNNNNNNNNNNNNNNNNNNNNNNNNNNNNNNNNNNNNNNNNNNNNNNNNNNNNNNNNNNNNNNNNNNNNNNNNNNNNNNNNNNNNNNNNNNNNNNNNNNNNNNNNNNNNNNNNNNNNNNNNNNNNNNNNNNNNNNNNNNNNNNNNNNNNNNNNNNNNNNNNNNNNNNNNNNNNNNNNNNNNNNNNNNNNNNAAUAAUUAAAACGGAACCAGGUCCGGCGUAUAGCACAGACAGGAUAUUCCAACAGAAUAACUGAAUAAUUAAAACGGAACCAGGUCCGGCGUAGCACAGACAGGAUAUUCUAACAGAAUAACCGAAUAAUUAAAACGGAACCAGGUCCGGCGUAUAGCACAGACAGGAUAUUCCAACAAAAUAACUGAAUAAUUAAAACGGAACCAGGUCCGACGUAUAGCACAGACAGGAUAUUCCAACAGAAUAAUAAAGACAGAAUAAUAGAAGAAUGUCACCAAGUAUAGGGUUGCCCGCGUAUACAGGUUAUUCCAACAGAAUAAUAAAGAAAUGGAAUAACAGAAGUUCUCUUCUUGAAUACAAAAGAAUAAUAUUCCUUACCAGAAAAGAACUUAAUAUAAGAGUAGUUUCAGUAGCAGAAUACUUUUCUUCUUUCUCUCUUACAAUUUAUCUCUCUAGAGUUUCAAUGAAUUUGUAAGAAAAUAAUGAAGGAAUGAGCUUCUAUUUAUAGAAAAAUGGAAUGCAUAGUAACUAAUUCAUGAACGGUCCAGAUUGAUUUACUUUUAAUCGGACGGUCCAUAAAAUAUAUUAUAUAUAUAUAAUAUAUAUAUAUAUAUAUAAUAACAAUAAUACUCCCUCCGUAUAAACCAAAAAAAUAAUUUGACAACUUUGAAAAAAACUCCCAACCUUUCAAUUUUCAAUACCGUGGGCCCCACAUGUUCCCCUCCCCCCAACAUGUCAAUAUCACAAGGGUCUCAUUAUAUGUAAAUAACUUUCUAUCAAUAAUAUUGAAAAAUAGGUAAAUGGGGGUCUAAAUAAUACGCCAAAUUUACAACAACUACCUCAUAAAAAUCCCUUCAAUAUUUUUAACAAUAUUUAUCAUCUUUAUUACAAUUCACAAUAUUAAUCGACCAGGUCGUUCCCAGGAUAGAGGGGGCUUUCCAAUAAGGAUUUCUCUCUAUUGGCGCGCAAUUAGAUUAUCUAACCUCUCCUUGACAGAACUUCUAGACAUCGUUAAUAUUGCAAAUAAUAACAUUAAUAACUUUGUCGUCUCAAUUAUUGAUUUAAUAAUAUAAAGAAUAUCAACAAUAAUUGAAUCAAAUAACGUGAGAUACUAUGCAACAAUUACUAUAACAAUAAUUGAAUAAAACUGAAUGACUUCUCACGUAAGCAUAAAUAAUCAAUACCGUGUGCUACUAUGCAACCACGCGUAUUACUGUACUUUUACUACUGAGUAGUUCAACAGUAUCAACGGUAAAACUUCCGUCGUUAUUUUCAUAAAAAUAUUUUUGUCGUUUUCUCAAUCCGACAAUAAUUCUGUUGUGGGGUCCACUAAUGAUUGCGCCGUUGUACGAAUAUUUCCUGCUAAAACGAAUAUUCCCCAACCAAUCGAAUAUAAUAUAGCAACUUGCAUACUUUGCAAAACUUAUAAAUACUACCUUCAACUAUAACAUUAUAUUAAAUUUAUUGCAUAAUAUUCAAAAAUGAUAAUUAUAGAAAAUUUAUCUUUAUUCAAAAAGUUGGGGUCUUACAACCCCCCCUUCUUAAGAAAUUUCGCCCUCGAAAUUAGGGUACGUACCUGGUAUAUCGAAGAGGUAAGGAUACCUUGAUUUCAUUUUAGAUUCUAACUCCCAGGUCAUUUCCUCAACAUCGUGGUUUCUCCACAAAACUUUGACUUGAGGUAUAACCUUGGAGCGUAAAAUAUGUUCCUUGUUAUCCAAGAUUUGAACAGGAACCUCUUUAUACGUUAAAUCUUCCGCUAUUUCGUCUGGUUCUAGCUCAAUAAUGUGGUUCGGGUCUUCCACAUAUUUACGUAACAUGGAUAUGUGAAAAAUGUUAUGAACACCAGACAUACUAGGCGGUAAAGCGAGUCUAUAGGCCACAGUUCCUACUCGAUUGAGGAUUAAAAAUGGGCCAAUGAAUCGAGGAUUGAGCUUUCUUAUCUUUCCAAAUCUCGUAACACCUUUCCAUGGAGCAACAUGUAACAACACAUGAUCUCCAAUAUCGAAUUCCACGUCCUUUCGAUGAAGAUCAGCAUAACUCUUUUGUCGAUCUUGUGAGGUUUUUAUACGUUGUCGAAUCGUUUGAAUCUUUUCCGUAGUCAUACGUACCAACUCCGGUCCCAACAACGUUGCUUCACCCACCUCAUCCCAGCAUACUGGAGAACAACACUUUCUCCCAUACAACGCCUCAAAUGGAGCCAUGCCAAUACUUGCUUGAUAACUAUUGUUAUAGGAAAACUCCACCAAUGAUAAGAACUUAUCCCAACUUCCAUUGAAGUUAAGGACACAGAGUCUUAAUAAAUCUUCUAGAGUUUGAAUAGUCCUCUCUGAUUGUCCGUCCGUCUGAGGAUGAUAUGCUGAACUAAAUCGUAAAUCUGUGCCCAUAGCUUUUUGCAAACUAACCCAAAAUCAUGAAGUGAAUCUUGGGUCUCGAUCAGAAACUAUGGAUACUGGCAUACCAUGCAGUCUUACAAUCUCGUUUAUGUACAUACGAGCAAGACGUUCAAGUGUAUAAGUUUCUCGUAUAGGUAAGAAAUGAGCAGACUUGGUCAAUCUAUCAACAAUGACCCAAAUUGCAUCUAUGCCUUGAGAAACCUUGGGAAGACCAGUAACGAAAUCCAUGGUAAUGUGCUCCCACUUCCAUUCUGGAAUUUCAAGUGGUUGCAAUGGACCUUUUGGUACUUGAUGCUCCGCCUUGACUCGUUGACAAGUUAGACACCUUGAGAUAAACACCGCUAUCUCUCUCUUCAUAUUGCUCCACCAAAAUGUAUGUCGAAGAUCAUGAUACAUUUUGGUACUCCCAGGAUGGAUUGCAAACGGUGUGUUGUGCGCCUCCAUCAUGAUUUUAUACUUUAAAUCAGGGUCGUUAGGAACACAAAGUCUGGAGUUGACUCGAAGUAUUCCUUCUUCAUCGAUUCUUGCUUCCGACAUAACACCUUCUUGCACUUUCUUCCUCAUACGCAUCAGCUCCAGGUUUGUAGUUUGAGCAGCUUUAACUUUAUCAAUUAAAGUCGAUUAUACUCGUAUGUUCGCCAUCAUCACAUGGGUCCCUGGAGUCUUUAACUCCAUCUCCAUCCUUUGCAAGUCAUACAAAAUGGGCCUUUGUGUUGACAAUAUUGCACUCGUACCCACAUAUGAUCUUCUACUCAAUGCGUCAGCUACCACGUUCGUUUUUCUAGGAUGGUAUUGGAUGGUAUGAUCAUAAUCUUUCAACAGUUCAAGCCAACGUCGUUGUCGCAUGUUGAGUUCCUUUUGAGUGAAGAAAUAUUUAAGGCUUUUAUGAUCCGUAAAGAUCUCCACUUUCUCCCCAUACAAGUAAUGCCUCCAAAUCUUUAGUGCGAAGANNNNNNNNNNNNNNNNNNNNNNNNNNNNNNNNNNNNNNNNNNNNNNNNNNNNNNNNNNNNNNNNNNNNNNNNNNNNNNNNNNNNNNNNNNNNNNNNNNNNNNNNNNNNNNNNNNNNNNNNNNNNNNNNNNNNNNNNNNNNNNNNNNNNNNNNNNNNNNNNNNNNNNNNNNNNNNNNNNNNNNNNNNNNNNNNNNNNNNNNNNNNNNNNNNNNNNNNNNNNNNNNNNNNNNNNNNNNNNNNNNNNNNNNNNNNNNNNNNNNNNNNNNNNNNNNNNNNNNNNNNNNNNNNNNNNNNNNNNNNNNNNNNNNNNNNNNNNNNNNNNNNNNNNNNNNNNNNNNNNNNNNNNNNNNNNNNNNNNNNNNNNNNNNNNNNNNNNNNNNNNNNNNNNNNNNNNNNNNNNNNNNNNNNNNNNNNNNNNNNNNNNNNNNNNNNNNNNNNNNNNNNNNNNNNNNNNNNNNNNNNNNNNNNNNNNNNNNNNNNNNNNNNNNNNNNNNNNNNNNNNNNNNNNNNNNNNNNNNNNNNNNNNNNNNNNNNNNNNNNNNNNNNNNNNNNNNNNNNNNNNNNNNNNNNNNNNNNNNNNNNNNNNNNNNNNNNNNNNNNNNNNNNNNNNNNNNNNNNNNNNNNNNNNNNNNNNNNNNNNNNNNNNNNNNNNNNNNNNNNNNNNNNNNNNNNNNNNNNNNNNNNNNNNNNNNNNNNNNNNNNNNNUCAAAAUCCAAUUUCUCCGGAGUCAAAUUUAAACGUUGAGCGCAAGUAGGAGAAAUGAAAGAGUGGGUAGAACCAGUAUCAAAUAAAGUAUAAACUUCGCUAGAGUUUAUGAUAAGCUUACCCGUGAUGACCUCGUUCGGGUUCUUUACUUUUUGGGAGGUUACAACAAAUGCUCUUCCUUGCACUACCGACUUUGACUUUUCUGGGAUGGCCUUUGGUGACUCUAUCCUAACUGAACUUGUCUUCGGUGCACGACAAAAUCGAGCCAGGUGACCUUCUCUUCCACAGUUGUAACAUGCUUUGGAUGGCAUCGCACAGUUGGGACUGAUGUGUCCCUCUCCUCCACACUUGAAACAUAUGAUAGGUGGUCGUUCCCCUUCCUUAACGACAGGUGCUGAUGUUGACGUCUUUCCAUCAUUGUUGAAUCUCCUCUUUUUGAAAUGUCCAUUUUUAUUGUUUUGGCCAUGAUUACCACCGAAGUGGUUACCAUUUCUGGCCUUUUGAUUUCCUCCACGCUUGUUGUCACCGCUUUGAUGACUGUUCUCACUGGUAUUAUCAUUUUAUUGGCUGCUCUCUUUUGGUUGGCUUAACUCGUUAUCACGCUCCAAUAACUGAGCCCUAUUAACAACAUCCGAAUACAAACACAGUUUAUGAGAGAUAAGAUAUUGACGUAUCUCAGGUUUCAAACCUCUUAAAAACAUUCGCGUCAUUCUCUCCUCAUUAUCAACCAAAUGGGACGCAAACUGGGACAACUCGGCAAACUUGGCUUUGUACUGCGAUACUGUCAUGUUGUUUUGUUCCAGCCUGAUGAACUCUACCUCUUUCAUGUGACGAAUACUUUUGGGAAAGUACUUGUCGUUGAACAAUUCUUUGAACUUCUCCCAAGUCAUCUUCAGUGCGGCAGGUUGAGUACGCUUUACAGAUUCCCACCAGUAAUCUGCCUCUCCUCGCAACAUGAAGGUGGCAAAGGAAAUCUUUUGUUCCUCGGAGCAUCCCAAGACAUCAAAUAUCUUGGUAAUCUACUUUAUCCAUGUCUCCGCCUUAAGUGGUUUUGGUUCUCCAAUAAACUUCGGUGGUCCCAGCUCCUUGAACUGUUUGGCGGUGACCAUCCGAGAGUUGCUAGUGUUUUCACCUGCAUUUUGGACAGGAGCCGCUCCUGCCUGAUGUUGUAUGAAUUGCAUGAAUCCUCGAAACAUUUUGUUGUUCAAUAUUUGGUCAGUGUUGUUGUUUGCAUGAGGAUUUUUGCCUUCCUGAUGCACAUUGUCCUGAUUGUUGAUCUGUGGAGACUCAACGGUCUCCUGUGCUCCAUUGAUGUUCUCAACGUUCUCGGAUGCCAUUUUCAAAUACUGCCACAAAACAAGAGUUAAUUAACACAUCACAUAUUAUCCCUAUACUCUAACCAACCAAUUAAAUAACAAAUAAACUUAGGUAGGUCAUACUAGCGAAGGAAUUCCCCGUCUCUCCCCUCCUAGUUCUUAUCUCACAUCUUAGCCAGGGAUCAUAUCCCUAACCUCUGAUACCAACUGUGACGCCCCCAAUAUUAGGUAUACAUCACCCAUCUUGGGUAGCCACUUAUAUGGUACAAAAUACAAAUACAACUUAAUUAUACAACAGUCGUGUAAGAUACGACAAAAUAUAAACAAUGAGUUUUAACUCGAAUAUUGUCAUCUAGACAGUAUUCAAACACAAAUAAGUCCUCAAUACAUUUAUUGUCACACUAUCUAACAGAAUAGUGAGGACUACUAAUGCUAUCAUCUGGACUGUCACUCCAUUCCCCGACUCAUCCCCGCUACGUUCUCAAUUCCUGAAGAGAACAGUGAAAGAAAGGGUGAGCUCGACUAGCCCAGUAAGAAAUAUUAUGACUGAGAUAAUGCAGAAUAAAUUAUCAUUAGUCUCCAACAAUGUUAAACUGAUAAAAUACAAUAGACAUCAAGUUUAACUGCAGCGGAACAAGCAAUCCAUUAAAAGAGUCAAGUAGAGAAUAAAAUCUACUAUCUUUUAUGAUUUAAAAGGUUUUUCAUCACUUUUAUCGCUGGGACUCAGCUUAAUAAAUAAUCCACAUCAUCGAAUCACCCCUGCACUACGGCCAAGGAUAUUCUUUAGUAUCACGACCACAAUUAUCCAUGCACUACGGGCCAAGAAUAUUUGUGUAUUCAUUAAUGGUCAUGAUCAUGCCAACAACUGUCCAUCAAUGCACUACGGGCCAAUGAGGACUUUUUCCACAUCAUUUGUAACAUUACGGUCAUGAUUACACCGAAUAAUCCCUGGUCAUAAUCAUACCAAGUCCAUCUAUGCACUACAGGCCACAGAUGACUUUCAACAAAAUAAUAACAUGAGGAUGAUGACAAUGAUAUAAGAAUUCAAUAAAAUAACUUUCAAGAAUUAAUUUGUCCAGGAAUCAAUAACGUCCAAAUUGUCAAUAAGAUAUUGUUUUGUGGUGUAAAUUAUUCAAGAAUGCUCAGAAGAAUAUUUUCAUGAAAAGAUAUUGGAUGAAGUGCAAAUAUCAAGGAUAUUCCAUUAAUUUCAUGGAGUAUAAAAGUCAAAAUUUUAACCAACUGAGUAUAAUAACGAAUGGAAUAACAAAAGAAAUCACCACGCAUGCGGUACUUCGCAUAGACAGGUUAUUCCAACAGAAUAAUAAUAACGGAACUAGGUCAGGUGAGAUUCACACCGACAGGAUGUUCCAACAGAAUAAUAAAUAAUUAAAACGGAACCAGGUUCGGCGUUUAGCACAGACAGGAUAUUCCAACAGAAUAACUGAAUAAUUAAAACGGAACCAGGUCUAGCGUAUAGCACAGACAGGAUAUUCCAAAAAAAUAACUAAAUAAUUAAAACGGAACCAGGUCCGGCGUAUAGCACAAACAGGAUAUUCAAACAAAAUAAUAAAGACAGAAAAAUUGAAGAAUGUCACCAAGUAUAGGGUUGCCCGCGUAUACAGGUUAUUCCAACAGAAUAAUAAAGAAAUGGAAUAACAGAAGUUCUCUUUUUGAAUACAAAAGAAUAAUAUUCCUUACCGUAAAAGAACUUAAUAUAAGAGUAGUUUCAGUAGUAGAAUAAUUUUCUUCUUUCUCUCUUACAGUUUAUCUCUCUAGAGUUUCAAUGAAUUCGUAAGAAAAUAAUGAAGGAAUGAGCUUCUAUUUAUAGAAAAAUGGAAUGCAUAGUAACUAACUGAUGAACGGUCCAGAUUGAUUUACUUUUAAUCGGACGGUCCAUAUUUAAAGUAAAAUCUUUUAAAUAAAAUAUAUUAUAUAUAUAUAUAUAUAUAUAAACAAUAAUACUCCCUCCGUAUAAACCAAAAAAAUAAUUUGACAACUUUGAAAAAAACUCCCAACCUUUCAAUUUUCAAUACCGUGGGCCCCACAUGUUCCCCUCCCCCAACAUGUCAAUAUCACAAGGGUCCCAUUAUAUUUAAAUAACUUUCUAUCAAUAAUGUUGAAAAAUAGGUAAAUGGGGGUCUAAAUAAUACGCCAAAUUUACAACAACUACCUCAUAAAAAUCUCUUCAAUAUUUUUAACAACAUUUAUCAUCUUUAUUAAAAUUCACAAUAUUAAUCGACCAGGUCGUUCCCAGGAUAGAGGGGAUUUUCCAAUAAGGAUUUCUCCCUAUUGGCGCGCAAUUAGAUUAUCUAACCUCUCCUUGACAGAACUUCUAGACAUCAUUAAUAUUGCAAAUAAUAACAUUAAUAACAUUGUCGUCUCAAUUAUUGAUUUAAUAAUAUAAAGAAUAUCAACAAUAAUUGAAUCAAAUAACGUGAGAUACUAUGCAACAAUUACUAUAACAAUAAUUGAAUAAAACUGAAUGACUUCUCAUGUAAGCAUCAAUAAUCAAUAUCGUGUGCUACUAUGCAACCACGCGUAUUACUGUACUUUUACUACCGAGUAGUUCAACAGUAUCAACCGUAAAACUUCCGCCGUUAUUUUCAUAAAAAUAUUUUUGUCGUUUUCUCAAUCCAACAAUAAUUCUGUUGUGGGUUCCACCAAUGAUUGCGUCGUUGUACGAAUAUUCCCCGCUAAAACGAAUAUUCUCCGACCAAUCGAAUAUAAUAUAGCAACUUGCAUACUUUACAAAACUUAUAAAUACUACCCACAACUAUAACAUUAUAUUAAAUUUAUUCCAUAAUAUUCAAAAAUGAUAAUUAUAGAAAAUUCAUCUUUAUUCAAAAAGUUGGGGUCUUACAGACUUGACUGUGCUGAUCCAGAGAUAGUUAAUGUACCACCAACGUUGUUGUUUCCUUUUCCACCACUUGCACUUCCUGCUGGCUUCUUAGGGCAAUCACGAGCCAUGUGAUCCUACGAACCGCAGGUAAAACAUGCUCCUUUAUUUGGACUAAAACAGUUCAGUGUAAUGUGUCCCUCCUGACCACAGUUGAAACACACCCGCUUUCCCUUCAAACAUACUCCAUUAUGAUUGUUUCCAUAAGUCGCAUAAGCUUCAAACUUUUUCUUCUGCUGAUUUCCUUGUUGUCCUCCCGCAGUCGAAUUUUCACUCCACUUCCUCUUCUGAUUGUUAUUUCCAACGUUACUUCCACCAGCCUUAUUUUCAUUCUCAGUCUUCCUCUUCUUAUAUUCUUGGUUGUACUUGGUCAAGGCAUCGCUUUCACCUUCUGCGAUAAUUGCCUUUUCCAGUAUAACCGCAAAUGUAUUUAACUGAAAUAUUGAAACCUUGCUAUACAGCCAGGGUUUCAAUCCAUGUUCGAACCUUAUCGCCUUUCGUUCAUCAGUAUUGACUUAAUAAGUGGCAAACCUUGCCAAUUCAUUAAACUUCGCAGCAUAUUCUGGCACCGUCAUAGUUCCUUGUUUCAGUUCCAGAAAUUGCAUUUCCAACUUAUUCUGAGAACUCGCUGGAAAGUACAUUUCAAAAAAUAUCUCCUUAAAUCUAUCCCACGCUAUCACUCCUUGUCCCCCACGAACCUUAUUUGCCUGCCACCAGUAGCUAGCUUCAGACUUCAGCAUGAACGUUGUGAACGCAGUCUUCUGAUCCUCGUUGACUCUAGAAACGUUGAACACUUUCUCCAUUUCCAUGAUCUAGGUUUGGGCUUCUACUGGAUUCAUAGACCCUUGAAACUCUGGCGGUCCAACCGCUUUGAAUUCCUUAAAGGUCAUGACUUGAGCUUGCGGUUGAUUCGCAAGUGCACCUGUUAACAAGGUUACCAACUGCUGAACCGGGUUAGCAUUGGCCUCGUUAUUAUUUUUAGUAGACCCCUCAGGAGGUGGUUGUUGACGUGUUUUUCUUCUUCUAGGAGGCAUUUUCUGUUAAGAUAUACGCUCAUUAGUUCAUUACUCAACUUCUUGAUUAUUUGAAGUUUAACUUAAAUAUUCUAAGAUUAAAGUUAUAACACAUAACAUUUCAAAUAAACUCUGGUAUUUUAUUCAUUCAUAAUGUUUUAAAACAUAUUAAAGAUAGCAUAACCGCUAUUAACAUUCACUUUCCUGAACUAAGCAAGUUUUAGGAUUACAUAUUCAUACUACCCCUUUAUUUAUCUCAAAAUAAGGGAUUCACAGUUUAUAUACUCACUUACUUAACCACGUAUUAUUAUUCUCAUUCUUUCUAUCUAGACAUAUUAAGAUGUCGUAAGGCUUCUCUAUGUUCUUCCUCCAUAAUUCGAUACAUCGUUCUACGAUCCAUCAUGAACUACAACGAAUCUUCAAAUUGAGGUGGAUAAUAAAAGACUCGAUCCUGGGCCCUAUCAAUUGCAGAAUUAAAGGCAUAAUCCAUCCCAUUCAUCUUGGCCUUCUUCACUUGAACUUUAUCCUCGGCACGGUCUGCACGUUAAGUCACCUUUAUCCAAGCGUCCUCUGCUCUCGUACGUUUAGUUGAAUCCUCUUUCAAGUCAUCUUUUAACUUCUCCACAUCAGUCUUCAUCUUCUUGUUCACUGCCAACAAAUCUUCAUGCUGACCCUUGGUAUGAAAUAGGUCCCACUCCGUGUUUCCAAGUCUUGAGUCGAGUUCUUGAAUCUCCGCAUCCUUCUGCUCUAUCGUAGCGUGAUGCAUCUCAACCAACUCCUUCAGCUCCUGAACUUUGUCUUGUAAUUCUAUGUUACGAUCGUACAGAGCAUCAUACAUCUCAGCUGAUAUGGAGCUUUGUGGAAACGCCACAGGAUCCUCUUCCUCAUCAUCCAACUCUAUCUCUUCAGAACUAUCCUCCUCGGGAUCGGUCACAGGUUCAUCCUCCUGGAUCAACUGUUCACGCAUAACAUGAAUAUCCCGGGGUUCCUCAUCUCUAGGUAUCUGAGGUAUUACUUCCCUAGCUGGAAUGGAUCCUCCUUCAUUAGACAUCCUAACAACAAAAUAUUUUAAGUUUACUUAACAUUUUUCGAUACUCGCGAGCACAUAAGUUAUUACACAUAGCACAUAAUGUCUUUUAUUAUUUAUCUUCAAUGGAUAGCUUAAUCCAUUCAUUAAAACUCGAUAAGAGUUAGACACCUCUAUAUUUUCUGUCUUCUUAAAGGUUACUUCCUAAGGUUUCCCCACCUAAGGUUCAUAACCUAAAGCUCUGAUACCAACAUGUGACACCCCCAAAUCUGGGUAUUCCUUUUCCACAGGAUUUGGUGCUCACUAUCCAAAACCAUUACAUCUAACUACCCAUAACAAAGGAUAAAGACAUAAUUUAAAUAACUUAACAAUAAUCUUCCCAUUAAAGGGUUACAUCGUCAUAAAACAAUCCCAAAUAAUUUAAUCUUAAAUUAUUACAUAAGUUUGCGGAAUACAUCAUAAAAUAAAACAAGUCUUAUAACAUAAACAUUUAAAUAAACUUUCAUAAAUCUUCAACACUUGGACAUCUUUCCCUUUUCUUUGCUAGUAGAUGGCUCAUCGACUUUCUCAACUUUAGCUGCAGUGUUAAAUGCAAGAGUGAGCAAACAAUUGCUCACUGAUAUAGAGAGUAGUAAUGAUAACAACAUAAGAUUAAACAACGAAUGCUGAACAAUAAUGAAAUUGUUCUAUGAAUAAAAAAUAGAAAACAAGUUCAAAUUUAAUAUCUGAGGGUCUUAAGACCACGAACUAUGUCCCCGAUAUUUAGGUAUUAUUACCCAACCUUAACAGUCAUUUAGACUAUACAAACCCUUCUUAACGUACUUAGGGGGAUCAGCCCUUUGUACCAUGUAUUGUGCACAAACAUCUAAACGUUACACGUACAAAAUCCCCUAUGUUAGGGUUGUUCGUCUCAGCUUGAAUUUAGAAUUUCUGCACUAAAGAGAGUUUAGCUCGGAACUAACUUAUCAAUGGUUCUAGAAUUUUAGAACACUACUCAAUUAUAGACUAAUUCAAUCAAUAAGAGUUUGCUUGCUACUUGAAGAUUUAAUAUAACAAAAAUAGAAUUGAACAAGGCUAUCAAAGUCAAAGAUCGAAUAUCAACAAUAUACAGUUGAGCACUACAACAAAAAAGCUUAUCAGCGACCGCCUAUCAGCGACCGCCUGUGGUCGCUGAUAUCUAUCUGCGACCGUCUACUCGAGUAAACAUGAUAUACAUGCAAAGUACUAUAUCCAAAAGAGUUAGAAUAAUCUCCUUUGAAUCAAUGUAUUAGAACAAUAUAUUCUUUUGAAUAACAAUAUCAAGAUUUAGGAAAGUGAAACUCGCUCAAUGUAACAAACUAGAUUACAAGAGAUUGUACGAUACACGAGAUAGAAUCAAUAGGCUUGCUGAACUUUAAUGUAAAAUUUAGAAUUAGAAAGCUUGUUUGACAUAAAAGAUAACAUAGCUAUGAAACUUGCAUUCAUUAAUAAAAGAAUGAAGUUAGAAAACUUGCUCAAUAAAAGUUUAGGAUAAGAAACUUGCCUUGUAUGUAAGCUACACAAGUGUAAUAAUGUUCGCCAAUUACCCUACACAUAUCAUUGGAAUCGCAAUAACAAUUAGUUGUAUUAUUAUUAGCUUUAAGGGUUUAAACCACCAUUUAGGUCAUAACCUUAACUUAACAUCUAACCAUGUUGGUUAACACCUUUAACAAAUCUAAAAUCCCUCUAUAAACUAACAUAAACUUUAUCAUUCAUUUCUUACUUUCAUAAACAUUAUUUUUUUAUUCAUUACAUAACUUAAUUAAAUAAUCACUUAAAAUCUUCAUACUUUAUAUUACAUCACGUUGAAAUAUGUUAUUGUAGUUCACGUUAACAUGUAUGCCAAACUAGAUUAAGUCCAUUAAUCAUAACCUAUAAAUAAGCAGAAGUCAUUGCCUAGGCUCAGGGCACGGCGCAGCUGCGCUGUCCCAAGCCUUGGCAUCGGCACAGCUGCGCCGUACACGGACAGGAACUGCAGCAGCAGCUCUGUUACACAGCACACACCAAAACUCAAUCAAAUUUCACAGAAAUCAUAAAACUCAACAUCUAAAACUUUGUGAUAACAUUAAUAAUGAUGUUAUUCAUCAUUCUCACUACCUAAACAUUAUAUAUAUUAAAUUUUAAAAGAUCAAAACCCCAAUUUUUCCAAUUUCAUCAUUUUUUUACGCUUUUAGCGAAUUCGAUUGCUACGAAUUCAUUUCUUAAUCAAUUGACACAAUUCAAACUACGUUGUUUUCGUUUCUUAACAUACUAACACAUUCUAACAUCAAAUUACAGAUUAUAGCAAGUAUUGAUCAUGAAAUUUCGUACUUUCUAAAGCCAUUUUUCAAAAAUAAACACUAUUAUUAUAACUUCUUCCUUACAAAGCCAAUUCUCACAUGUUUGGAAAUCAAAUAGCACUCACAUAUAAUGAUUAACAGAUUAUAAACCAUAUAUACAUGUAUUUGUAUUAAUCCAUCGUAAUUAUCAAUAGAAAUUUCAAACAUAAAAGUUAGAAUUAGAGUUAUACCUUACUCCUUUGAUUGUUUGCUAGCAAAAAGAUGGUGACUAGGUUUAGAAAUCCCUCUCCUUGACAAUCAUAAAGAAUUCAAACUCACUGUGUUUUCCUCUCUUGCUCUCUCUCCAAGCUCUCUGUUCUUCACUAAUAUCUAGCCUUAGGGAAAGGAAUAAUACGCGUAAAAAAAUAUACUAACUCCCACUUUCCCCACUAAUGUCAGGUCACAAACCCAAAAGUUUGUGUCAGUUAGAAAUAAGCCAAAGGCCACAGGGCCUUGUUUGGCUAACCACAAUUUCUCCUCUACUAGAUUAUUUUUAUAUUAUUUUUAUUAUAUAGUUUUUAUUUGUCACACUUGCCACCAAUUUAAAUAGCUUACAAUAAUAAUUAUAAUAAUUAUAAUUUUUAUUAUAAUUAUUCUGAUGAUUAAUAAAUAAUUAUAUAUAUAUAAUUUAAUUAAUAAAUUUGACUUAAACAUUACUUUAUUUAAUUUACCUAUUUUCUUUAAUAUAAAAAAAAAUUUAAUUUAAUUUAAUUAUUUCAUUAAAUUAAAUCUUUCAAAUAAAAAAUAGCAUUAUUCAAUUUAAUUAACAUUAAUCAAUUUAGUCACUAAAUUAAUGCACCACAAUUCAUCAAUUAUUUAUUUUUCUCAAUAAAUAAAUUAUUUAAAAUAUUUAUUUAAUUCAAUAAAUAUUUAAAUUAAAUUACAAAUUUCUCGAUCGUUACACUAUUCAUUCGGUUAGUAUUUACCCGGGGUACUAUUCAUGACAAAAAUUGAUUUCUUUUAUGUCCAAAUUAUUUUUGAUACAAUAUUAUUCUUGAAUUUUACUCCACAAUUGGUGAUCAUGUUGACAAUUUAGAUAUUCUUAAACUCUGGAUAAAUUUAAUUAUAAAUAUUUAAUAUUUAUCCUUUAUCUCGUUUGAUUGAUUCUUUAUAUCAUUGUCAUGAUCCUCAUGCUUAUAUUGUGAUAAAAGUCAUCUUUGGCCCGUAGUGCAUAGAUGGACUAUUGGUUAUUGGUUUUACAGUUGUUUUUCUUUGGCCCGUAGUGCAAAGAAGAACUGUUGAUUGAUAUCUUUGGUCGUAGUGCAAAGAUGAAUUGUUGAUUGAUAGCUUUGGCUCGUAGUGCAAAGUUGGACAGGUGUAUGACAUGAUCAUGACCACUGGUGAUACUAACGAAUAUCCUUGGCCGUAGUGUAUGGAUAAUUCAAUGAUGUGAUUGGCAGGAUCAUGACCAUUAGUUAACAGUUGAAUGUCUUCGGCCGUAGUGCACUGACAGACAAUUGAUUGGUAUGAUCAUUGUUAUUACACUUGAAUGUCUUAGCCUUUGGGGUAAGGAUAUUGAGUAAACGUUCUAUUAAGCCUUUGUGGCAAGGAGAAACUGUUGAUUCACAUUAUUAUAAACAUGAAUUGUGAAUUUAUCUAAAAUCUUUGGUGGUUCAGGUGAAGACAGGUGAUGAAAUUUCUCUUUGUCUUGGUAUAAUAAAGAACUGUUAAUGGGUAUUAUAGGGAUAAAAUUGAUGAUAAACUUUUAAAUCAUAGAAGAUAGUAGAUAUCAUGCUCUACUUGACUCUUCUAAUAGAUUGCUUAUUCCACUGCAGUUGUUGAUCUAAAACUUGUUGUCUAUUAUAUUCUAGCAGUUGUUAUACUGUUGAAGGCUAAUGAUAAUUUAUUCUGCAUUAUCUUAGUCAUAAUAUUUCUUACUGGGCUAGUUGAGCUCACCCUUUUCUUUCAUUAUUCUCUUCAGAAAAUGAGAAUAUAGCUGGGACGAGUCGGGGAAUGGAGUGAUGAUCCAAGAUAAGUGGCUUUAGUAGUCUUCACUAUUCUGUGAAAUAGUGUGAUAAUAAUUGUAAUGAGGACUCCAUUGAGUUUGGAUAUUGUCUAGAAGACAAUAUUUGUGUUAAAACUCUCAGCUUAUAUUUUCUCGUAUUCUACACGACAGUUGUAUAAUUAAGUAGUAUUUGUAUUCUGUACCAUGUAUCUGGCGACCCAAGAUGGGUGAUGUAUACAUAUUUUGGGGGCGUCACAUCAACAACCACCACAAAUAUAAAACCUUUGAAGCCAAGCCUGUGAGACCCCAAAUUUUAUGAAUAAAGAUUUAAAUUUCUCGAAAUAUUUUUUUUGAAUAUUACGGUGUGGAUUUGAUAUAAUGUUAUAGUUGUGGGUAAUAUUUAUAAAUUUUACAAAGUAAACAAGUUGUUACAUAAUAUUCGUUUGGUCGGGGAAUAUUCUUUUUGUUGGGGAAUAUCCGUACGAUGGUGCAAUCAUUGGUGGACCCCACAACGGAAGUAUUGUCGUAGUAAGAAAAUGACAAAAUUAUCUUUUUAUAAAAAUAAUGGCGAAAGUGUUACCGUUAAAACUAUUGAACUACUCCGUAGUAAAAGUACAGUAAUACGUGUGGUUGCAUAGUAGCACACGAUAUUGAUUAUUAAUACUUACGUAAGAAGUCACUCAGUUAUACUUAAUUAUUGUUAUAGUAAUUGCUGCAUCUAUCUCUCAUAUUAUUGAUUCAAUUAUUGUCACAGUAUCAUCUGCAUAAUAUGUUAUAUUAUUAAAUCAAUAAUUGAGACGACAAAGUUAUUUAUAUUAUUAUUUGCAAUAUUGAGAAUGUCUAGAAGUUCUAUCAAGGAGAGGUUAGAUAAUCUAAUUGCGCGCCAAUAGGGAGAAAUCCUUAUCGGAAAGCCCCCUCUUUCUUGGAAACUACCUGGUUGUUAAAUAUUGUGAGUUAUAAUAUUAAUGAUGUAUAAGUUUGUGUUGAUUAAAGAUGAAAUUGAUAGUUCCAUUGUGUUGGGAUUAUUAGUGUUAGUGGAAAUCGACAUUUAUUUCGAUAAUAAUUGAUGUUUGGAAGUUAUAUUGACCAAUCGGGUAAUUAACCGGAUAAAUGAGCAAUUAAUUGCUAUUAAUUCACAUGCUUAUAACUAUGUGUUCACAUGUGUGUACUAUUGAUUCACAUGAUUUACUAUUAGGGGAGUUGGUGCAAGAUUGAUAAUACUUGCAUGACUAAAUUAAAAAUAGAGGUAUAGAUGAAGGUACUAUACUGUAAUUAUUUUUUUCACAUGUUUAGAACUAUUGAGUCACAUGAUUUACUAUUGAUUCACAUGAUUUACUAUUAGGGGAGGUGGUGCAAGUUUGAUAAUACUUGCAGGACUAAAUUAAAAAUGAAGAAAAAGAGGAAGGUAUUAUACUGUAAUAUUUCGAGCCCCAAAACGUGCAAUUAUCGAAACUAUAUUUUCCUAUAAAUAGAAGCUCAUUCUUCCUUCAUUUCUCACCAAUUCACUAAAGCUUUAGAGCAAUUAUUAUAGAGAGAAAUUAUAGAGAGAAAGAAGAAGAGAAGUCUGCUACCUCACUAUUUUAGUAUGCAGUUUCUUCUAAGGUAAGGGUAUUAUUUCUUUCGUAUUCAUGAAGAGAGUUAUUUCUUUCAAUACUCGUAAGGGUUGUUAUUCCAUUCUUUAUUAUUCUGUUGGAAUAACCUGUCUGUGCGGACUACACACGCCUGGUGAAUUCUUUUGUUAUUACAUUCUUUAUUAUUCUGUUGGAAUAACCUGUCUGUGCGGACUACGCACGCAUGGUGAAUUUUUUUUUAUUCUAUUCUUUAUUAUUCUGUUGGAAUAACCUGUCUACGCAGACUACCGCAUGCAUGGUGAAUGACCCUUCGUAUUCAUUCUUUAUUAAAUUAUGUAAAUGAUCUGUCUACGUAGAUUACCGCAUGACGGGUAAAAAUCCAUUUGCAGUUUCAUAUAUUCUAUUAUACUCAUAUGCGAUAUCAUUUCUUUUGUACUCGUCAUAUAAUAUCAUUUUCUUUGGAAUUUUUCUUUUACGAGUUACUAUUGACAGAUUACUAUUCACCUGAUUAUUAUUCACUCUAGUAUUAUUCACUCAGGUAUUCGGGGCACUUUUCGUGUCAGAGUAUUAUUCACGGGUUACUAUUCACCCGAUUACUAUUCACUCUAGUAUUAUUCACUCGGAUAUUUGGGACACUUUUCGUGUCGAGGUACUAUUCACGGAGUACUAUUCCUGAAGUACUAUUCAUGAAAUACUAUUCACCCAAAAAAUAUAUUUCUUUUCAGUCCAAAUUAUUUUUGGGUACAAUAUUAUUCUUGAAUUUUACUCCACAAAACAAUAUCAUGUUGACAAAUUGGACGUUAUUGAUUCUUGGAUAAAUUAAAUUAUAAAUCUUUAAAAUUUAUCCUUGAACUUUUUUUAUUGAAUUAUUAUGUCAUUGUCAUCAUCCUCAUGCUUAUAUUGUGAUGAAAGUCAUCUUUGGCUUACGUGCAUAGAUGGACUUGGUAUGAUUAUGACCAGGGAUUAUUCGGUAUAAUCAUGACCGUAAUGUGACGAAUGAUAUGGUGAAAGUCCUCAUUGGCCUGUAGUUCAUUGAUGGACAGUUGUUGGUAUGAUUAUGACCAGGGAUUAUUUGGUAUAAUCAUGAACAUUGAUGAUUACAUGAGUAUCAUUGGCCGAGAUGCAGGGAUGAUUCGAUUUUAUUUAUUAAGUUGAGUCUCAGCGAUAAAGUUGAUGAAAAACUUUUUAAAUCAUAGAAGAUAGUAGAUUUUAUGCUCUACUUGACUCUUCUAAUGGCUUGCUUAUUCCGCUGCAGUUGUUGAUCUAAAACUUGUUGUCUAUUAUAUUCUGUCAGUUGUUAUACUAUUGAAGGCUAAGGAUAAUUUAUUCUGCAUUAUCUUAGUCAUAAUAUUUCUUACUGGGCUAGUUGAGCUCACCCUUUCUUUCACUGUUCUCCUCAAGAAAUGAGAAUAUAGCUGGGACGAUUCGGGGAACGGAUUGACGGUCCAGAUGGUUGUUUUAGUUGUCCUCACUAUUCUGUGAAAUAAUAUGAUAAUAAUUGUAAUGAGGACUCCAUUGGGAGUGGAUAUUGUCUAGAAGGCAAUAUUCUUGUUUAAACUCUCAGUUAUGUUUUGUCGUAUAUUACCCGACAGUUGUAUAAUUAAGUUUGUAUUUGAUUUAUGUACCAUAUAGUUGGCGACUCAAGAUGGGUGAUGUAUACCUGUUUUUGGGGUGUCAAAGUUGGUAUCAAAGCUUAGGGAUAUGAUCUCUGGCUGAGAUAUGAGACAAGAACUAGGAGGGGAGAGACUGGGAAUUCCUUCGCUAGUAUAUAUGACCUACCUAAGUUUAUUUGGUAUUUAAUUGGUCGAUCAGAGUAUAGGAAUAAUAUGUGAUAUGUCAAUUAACCCUUGUUUUGUGACAGUGUUUGAAAAUAGCAUCUAAAAAUGUUGAGAUCAGCAAUGAAGCACAUGAGACCGUUGAGUCACCAACGAUUAAUACCUAGGAUAAUGUGCAACAGGAAGAUAAUAAUCCUCAGGUAAAUAACAACACCGAUUAGAUGAUGAACGAUGGGAUGUUCAGAGGCUUUAUGCAAUUCAUGCAACAUCAGACGAGAGAGACUCUUGUUCAAAAUGCAGGUGGAAACACUGUCAACUCUCGGAUGGUCACCGCUAAGCAGUUUAAGGAGUUGGGACCACCAGAGUUUUUGAGAGAGCCAGAACCACUUAAGGCGGAGACGUGGAUAAACAGAUCACCAAGAUAUUUGAUGUCUUGGAAUGCUCAGAGGAGCAAAAGGUUCCCUUUGCCACCUUCAUGUUGCGAGGAGAGGCAGAUUACUAGUGGGAAUCAGUAAAACGUACUCAGCCUGCCGCACUGAAGAUGUCUUGGGAGAUGUUCCAAGAACUGUUCAACAACAAGUACUUUCCUGAAAGUAUUCGUCAUGUGAAAGAGGUAGAGUUCAUCAAGCUUGAGUAAAACAAUAUGACCGUGGCGCAGUACGAAGCUAAGUUUGCCGAGUUAUCUCAGUUUGCGUCCCACUUGGUUGAUAAUGAAGAGAGAAUGACGCGGAUGUUUCUAAGAGGUUUGAAACCCGAGAUACGUCAAUAUCUAAUUUCUCACAAACUGUGUUUGUAUUCAGAUGUUAUGAAUAGGGCUCAAUUAUUGGAGUGUGAUAAUGAGUCAGCACAACCAAAAGGCAACGACCAACAACACGAUAAUAAUCAUACCGGUGGCAACGGCCAUCGGAACAAUGAUAACCAUCGUGGGGGAAAUUAUUAUGCCAAGAAUGGUAACCACUUCGGUGGUAAUCAUGGCCAAGUUAAUAGAAGCGGAAAUUUCAAGAAGAGAAGGUUCAAUAAUGAUGGAAAGACGUCAUCACCAGCACCCGUUGUUAAGGAAGGAGAACGACCGCCGGUCGUAUGUUACAAAUGCGGAGGGGAGGGACACAUAAGUCCAAACUAUUCACAGCCUUCCAAGGUAUGUUUUAGUUGUGGAAAAGAUGGUCACAUAGCUCGAUUUUUUUCUUGUAGCGAAAUCAAGUCCAGUUGGGACAGUGGCACCAAAGGCGGAUACGGACAAAACAAAGUCGGUGGUUUCAGGAAGAGCGGUUUUUAUGACUUCUCAAAAAGUGAGUAACCCGAACGAAGUUAACACGGGUUAGUUAAUUAUAAAUUCUUGCGAAGUCUAUACCUUAUUAGAUAUCGAUUCUACCCAUUCUUUUAUUUCUCUUGCUUGCGCUCAGCGUUUAAAUUUGACUCCAGAGAAAUUAGACUUUGACUUAUUGGUUGAAACUCUGUUAGGAGAAACCUUCGUUACACCCACUGUUUAUAAAUCUUGUUUUAUUCAAAUCGACACUUUCACGUUACCUGUCGAUCUUAUCUCUUUGAAAAUACUUGCCUUUGAUGUGAUUUUAGGAAUCGAUUGGUUAACUACUCAUCAUGCCAAAAUUGAUUAUUUUUGUAAGGUUGUUAGCUUUCAUAUUCCUAACCAACUUGUUAUGCGAAUUCAAGCAACCAAACCACUAAAGUCAAUCACUGUCAUAUCAAGCCAUAAGUAAAGAGCCCCGAGCCUUUCGUUGGUGACUUCCUUGUGUGGAAUGCAUCGAAGCCGAACUUUCUGUAGGGGACGUCGUGAAUAACAGUGGCAAGUUGAUAGGUAUCAAUGUGACGUGUUAUCCAAGUCUUGGGAUGAGAGUCACAGUUUUGAAUGAUAUUUCUAUUGUUAAUAAAUUUCCUAGCGUAUUCUUGAAGACUUCUUAGCCUACCCCUAGAGCGUGAAAUCGAAUUUUUUAUUGACCCCAAUACAAAACUCAUUUAUAAAACCCUCAAAUAUUUUCUUUACCCAAAACGAACGUAUAAUGUGCCAAUGACGUUGGCUCGAGCUGUUGAAGGUUACGACUAUACCAUUAAAUUCCAUCGUGGGAAAAGCGAACGUGGUAGCUGACACAUUAAGUAGAAGAUCGUAUGCGUUUACGAAGUGUGACGUUGUUAACACAAAAACCCAUUUCGUAUAACUUAUAAAUAAUGAAGAUGGAGUUAAUGACUCUAGAGACCCACGUGAAGAUAACGAAUAUACGAGUAAAAUCGACUUUAAUCGAUAAAGUUAAAGCCGCUCAAACUACACACUCGGAGCUAGUGAAUACGAAGAAGAAGGUUCAAGAAGGCGUUAUUCUAGAAGCAAGAGUCGAUGAAGAGAGAAAAUCUCAAUCCUCGAUUUAAUUGGGCCAUUUGAAAUCCUCGAUGGAGUAGGAACUGUGGCCUAUAGACUUGUUUUACCGCCAAGUAUGUCGCGUGUUCAUAACAUUUUUCAUGUAUCGAUGUUACGUAAAUAUGUGGACGACCCGAACCACAUUAUUAAAUUGGAACUAGACGAGAUAGCAGAAGAUUUAACAUAUGAGGAUAUACGUGUUAAAAUCUUGGAUAAGAAGGAUCGUAUUCGACACUCAAAUUUUAUACCUCAAGAGUUAGAAUCUGAAAUAAAGUCAAGGUAUCCUUAUCUCUUCGGCAUACCAGGUACGUACUUAAAUUUUGAGGGCGAAAUUUCAUAAGAAGGGAAGAUUGUGAGAUCCCAAAUUUUAUGAAUAAAGAUUUAAAUUUCUUGAAAUAUAUUUUUUGAAUAUUACGGUGUGGAUUUGAUAUAAUGUUAUAGUUGUGGGUAAUAUUUAUAAAUUUUGCAAAGUAAGCAAGUUGUUAUAUAAUAUUCGUUUGGUCGGGGAAUAUUCUUUUUGUCGGGGAAUAUCCGAACGACGACACGAUUAUUGGUGGACCCCACAACGGAAGUAUUGUCGUAGUAAGAUAAUGACAAAAUUAUCUUUUUAUAAAAAUAACGGCGAAAGUGUUACCGUUAAAACUGUUGAACUACUCGGUAGUAAAAGUAUAGUAAUACGCGAGGUUGUAUAGUAGCACACGGUAUUGAUUAUUGAUGCUUACGUAAGAAGUUACUCAGUUAUACUCAAUUAUUGCUACAGUAAUUGUUGCAUCAUAUCUCUCAUAUUAUUGAUUCAAUUAUUGUCACAGUAUCAUCUGCAUAAUAUGUUAUAUUAUUAAAUCAAUAAUUGAGAUGACAAAGUUAUUCAUAUUAUUAUUUGCAAUAUUGACAAUGUCUAGAAGUUCUAUCAAUGAGAGGUUAGAUAAUCUAAUUGUGCGCCAAUAGGGAGAAAUCCUUAUCGGAAAGCCCCCUCUUUCCUGGGAACGACCUGGUUGUUAAAUAUUAUGAGUUAUAAUACUACUGAUGAAUAAGUUUGUGUUGAUUAAAGAUGAAAUUAAUAGUUCCAUUGUGUUGAGAUUAUUAGUGUUAGUGGAAAUUGACAUUUAUUUUGAUAAUAAUUGAUGUCUGGAAGUUAUAUUGACCAAUCGGGUAAUUAACCGGAUAAAUGAGUAAUUAAUUGCUAUUAACUCACAUGCUUAUAACUAUGUGUUCACAUGUGUGUACUAUUGAUUCACAUAAUUUACUAUUAGGGGAGUUGCUACAAGAUUGAUAAUACUUGCAUGACUAAAUUAAAAAUGGAGGUAUAGAUGAAGGUACUAUACUAUAAUUAAUUUUUUCACAUGUUUAGAACUUUUAAGUCACAUGAUUUACUAUUGAUUCACAUGAUUUACUAUUAGGGGAGGUGGUGCAAGUUUGAUAAUACUUGCAAUUAAAAAUGAAGAAAAAGAGGAAGGUAUUAUACUGUAAUAUUUUGAGCCCCAAAACGUAUAAUUAUUGAAACUAUAUUUUUCUAUAAAUAGAAGCUCAUUCUUCUUUCAUUAUCACCAAUUCACUAAGCUAUAGAGCAAUUAUUAUAGGGAGAAAUUAUAGAGAGAAAGAAGAAGAUAAGUCUACUACUUCACUAUUCCAGUAUCCAGUUUCUUCUAAGGUAAUGGGUAUUAUUUCUUUCGUAUUCAUGAAGAGAGUUAUUUCUUUCAAUACUCGUAAGGGUUGUUAUUCCAUUCUUUAUUAUUCUGUUGGAAUAACCUGUCUGUGCGGACUACACACGCCUGGUGAAUUCUUUUGUUAUUAUAUUCUUUAUUAUUCUGUUGGAAUAACUUGUCUGUGCGGACUACGCACGCCUGAUGAAUUCUUCUAUUAUUCCAUUCUUUACUAUUCUGUUGGAAUAACCUGUCUACGCGGACUACCACAUGAUUGGUGAAUUCUUCUGUUAUUCCAUUCUUUAUUAUUCUGUUGGAAUAACCUGUCUACGCGGACUACCGCAUGCAUGGUGAAUGACCCUUCGUAUUCAUUCUUUAUUAAAUUAUAGAAAUGAUCUGUCUACGUAGAUUACCGCAUGGCGGGUGAAAAUCUAUUUGCAGUUUCGUAUAUUCUAUUAUACUCGUAUGAGAUAUCAUUUCUUUUGUAUUUGUCAUGGAAUAUCAUUUUUUUUGGUAUUUUUCUUUUACGAGUUACUAUUCACGGGUUAGUAUUCACCUGGUUACUAUUCACUGUAGUAUUGUUCACUCGGGUAUUCGGGACACUUUUUGUGUCGGAGUACUAUUCAUGGGUUAUACUAUUCACGGGUUACUAUUCACCCGAUUACUAUUCACUCUAGUAUUAUUCACUCGGGUAUUUGGGACACUUUUUGUGUCGGGGUAUUAUUCACAGGGUACUAUUCUCGAAGUACUAUUCACGGAGUACUAUUCACCAAAAAAAUAUAUUUCUUUUCGAUCCAAAUCAUUUUUGGGUACAAUAUUAUUCUUGAAUUUUACUCCACAAAAUAGUAUCAUGUUGACAAAUUGGACGUUAUUGAUUCCUAGAUAAAUUAAAUUAUAAAUCUUUAAAAUUUAUCCUUGACUUGGUAUGAUUAUGACCAGGAAUUAUUCGGUAUAAUCAUGACCGUAAUGUGACGAAUGAUGUGGUGAAAGUCCUCAUUGGCCUGUAGUUAAUUGAUGGACAGUUGUUGGUAUGAUUAUGACCAGGGAUUAUUCGGUAUAAUCAUGACCAUUGAUGAUUACAUGAGUAUCCUUGGCCGUGAUGCAGGGAUGAUUCGAUUUUAUUUAUUAAGUUGAGUCUCAGCGAUAAAGUUGAUGAAAAACUUUUUAAAUCAUAGAAGAUAGUAGAUUUUAUGCUCUACUUGACUCUUCUAAUGGAUUGCUUAUUCCGCUGCAGUUGUUGAUCUAAAACUGUUGUCUAUUAUAUUCUAUCAGUUGUUAUACUGUUGAAGGCUAAGGAUAAUUUAUUCUGUAUUAUCUUAUUCAUAAUAUUUUUUGCUGGGCUAGUUGAGCUCACCCUUUCUUUCACUGUUCUCUUCAGGAAAUGAGAAUAUAGCUGGGACGAGUCGGGGAACGGAUUGACGGUCCAAAUGGUUGUUUUUGUAGUCCUCACUAUUCUGUGAAAUAAUGUGAUAAUAAUUGUAAUGAGGACUCCAUUGGGAGUGGAUAUUGUCUAGAAAGCAAUAUUCUUGUUUAAACUCUCAAUUAUGUUUUGUCGUAUAUUACCCGACAGUUGUAUAAUUAAGUUUGUAUUUGAUUUAUGUACCAUAUAUUUGGCGACUCAAGAUGGGUGAUGUAUACCUAUUUUGGGGCCGUCACAAAGCCCAUACACUCCCAUUUUAGAUCAUAGCUCCUAUGCCCAGACCCAUUAAGAGCAUACCCAGCCCCUACUAAUAUGCACAAUCUAAGCUCCCAUGAUCUAAAGCCCCUGACUUUGCAAAUAUAGAUCGAUAGAUAGAUUUUCGGGAAGGAUCACAUUUUGGUAGAUAGAUGGUUUAAUUUGUUUAACUAUUUAUUAUAAAAUUGAGUAUAAUUUAAUAUAAUUAAUUAUUUAGCUUACCUUCUCUCUCCUUGUCUGCAUUGACACAUAGAUUUAUUGAUUGCCACGUCCUUCUUCUGUUAAAUGGUUAACAGACAUAGACGACAAAAUUAAUUUUUGUAAAUAAAGUAUAGUUCAAUGAGUUGACCGUAAAAAAAUUUAGUUUAGUGAUGCAUUUGUAAACCGAUGUUGAGUAGAGUGGAGAAAAGUGUAUUUAAUCCGCUCCAAAAGUCACCACUUUACAAGUCUCGUCAACAAUCAGCACCAUGUAAACACUCACCCUCUUUGGUGAACUUGAAGAGUUUGAAAAUCAACUUAGGAGGUAUGAUGAUGAAAAUGAGGCACCAAUAAAGAAGACAUUGACACUUCAAGCUGAGAGUAACAAUGAAUGUGAUAACGAAGAUUUUGAUAAAGAAAUUGAAAUGCUCUCAAGAAACUUGAGAGACUAUUUCAAAAGAAAAUAAAAAAGGUAGCUCAACUCCAGUGGGUAAGUUCAAAACAGAACAAGAAGAAGAAAUUGUCCAACUCUAUUUCAUAGGACUAGAAGAUGAUGAUCAACUUGAGGUAACAAAUUUUCAUGAAGCUUUUGAAAUAUCUAUGCCUGAUUAUAUUGCUUUACAAAAUGAAAAUCAACAACUCAAAAAAAAAACUGUUUAUUUUAAGAAUUGCGUAAAUGCUAAUGAAUGAAGUUAAGUCAUUUAUUAAAGAGAGAAAAGAAAAUGAAUAUCUUAAAAAUGAAAAUGAAGUUUUAAAAGAAAAUUUAAAAAUGAGAGAUGAAUGCAUAAAUGCUUUUAAUGAUGGAAAAAUGAUGAAUGUGCAACAUGAUGAUAAUGUCACAAAUGCAAAAAUAACAUCUUUAAAAAAUGAUCUUGCUAAAUUUGUGCAAUGAGAAGAGAACCUAAAUGUUAUGUUAGGGGCACAAAGGUCUAGUCUUGAUAAAUAAGAAAUUGGGUAUAAUCCUAUUAAAAUGUGAAAAAUAGAACUAAUAAUAAUAUUAUAAUGAUUAAUAGAAAACCAAUGCAUAAACCACUUUAUUGUUCACCGUUUGUUACUUGUAAAAAAUAUGGUUUUAAAGGUCAUUUUAAAAUGUGGCUUUAUUAGAAUAAAGCAAAUUUGGGUAAAGAAAUGUGAUUUAUAUGCUACUAACCUAAUAGGACCCAAGAAGAUUUGGGUACCAAAAUGGUAGAGACUAUUUGUUCAUUUUGUAGAUGUCUCAAGGUCAAAAAGGAGACAGAUAAUACUUAUAAAUUAUUUGGCAAAAUUCGCAAGUACCUUAUUUUUUUAAAUAGAUUUUUAAUUAGAUAUAUUAUGAAAACUCUAUGGAUUUCGUAUCAUAUGGCUUCAUAACAUCAUUUAUUAUAAAGUUUUUAUUGUGCUAAAUGCUCCAUAUUUAAUACAAACGACAAUCUUGAUGAGGAAUAAGUGAAUAUUAUUUUUGAUGAACUUAACCAUGAUCUGUUAAAGGAAGAGAAUGAGGUUUCUGCUGGAAAUGACUAUCUGAAUUGUGGAACCCAAACAGUUCAAUCCGGAUAGUCUAAGCCGUCUCUAUCAGAAGGAAAGAUAGAUGAAAUCAGACAAUUUGACCCGUCUGUUUUAGAAGAAAACUCAAAUUUACAAACACCUAAAUCCAAACAGAUCGAGUCGUCUACUUUAGAAGACAAAACAUAUGAAUAUUCGGAUGCAGUAACUUAUAUUCCAGAGGAUGAAUCUCAAAAGCAAAUGACUACUGCCAGGCUUCCUAAAUCUUCUAGAACUAUGGGAAAUCAUCAUCCAAGUCUGAUCAUCAGAAAUUUCAACAUUAGGAUGUCCACAAGAAGAGGUUUUGAAGAAAUUUGUUUGCUACACUAAGGAGCUUAUCUAUUAAGCUUAUUGUUGGUAACAAAAUUGUGGAUAUAUAGGUAACAAAUCACAAAGGUAUGGUCAUUUUAUUUAAUUGCUAUAUGUGAUAUUGUUAUAAGCUUGCUCCCGUGUCUUUAUUUUAUGAAUUAUUUUUUGUUUGUCACAAAUGGGAUAGAGAUAUAACUAAAUUGAUGAUUUUUUUUUUUUUGAUAAUAACAAAGGGGAGAAAUGUUUAGAAAAAUUGAUGAUUAUGAUAUCUGAUGGUUAUAUUGAUUAUAAUAUGUUUAGAUUUUUUUGAUAUCAUAUUGAUGAUAAUGGUUGGAUAUUUUGAUUCAUUAUCUGUUAUAGCUUAUCAUUAUGCAUUAUUUAUCAUAACAGUUAUGUGAUCUUUAUAUCUCCUAUAGGCAUAAAUUUAUGGGGAGCAUGAUUGCAAGGAAUAAUAUAUUGUCAUCAUCAAAAAAGAGGGAAAUUGUUAGUUUUAUUAUUUGUGAUUUUAAUAAUGACAAUAUAUUUGUAAAUAUAAUUUAUUUAAUGUAUUGAAUUAAUUUUGUAAUGGUUUGUUGAAUAUGAUAUAUAGUAAGUUUGGUUCAUGAUAAUUUAAUUUGGUUAUAAUUCAAAUUGUUAUUACGUGCAGGAUUGAAUUGAAAUAUUUUCUUCCAGGUUGUUAUUUUGUUAAAACAGGUUGUUUCAAUUUUGAAUUGGAAUAUGUUAAGGAGUUUGUUUAGCAGUGUAAUCUAUCUAUUAAAUAUAUUAAAAUGCAGUACAUGAUAUCAUAGCUUGACAUAUGUCAUUCUCACAAUUCAACACGUGUCCUGUCUAAUUAAUAUUCCUUAAGACCCUUAACAAAAGUGCCCAGCUAACAUAACAAAUGAGGAUGAAAACAAACUUUAAUUCAUUCCCCUAAAUUUUAGAUUUAUAAUCCCCUAAAUCAUGCUACAAAUCUAAACUAUUUUGAUAAUAUCAACUGUUUUGAUAUUAUCCUUUGUAAUUUAAUUAUUAUUUAAUAAAAUUACUUUUUUAUGCUAUUAAUUAAUUUUUUAGAUUUAUAAUCUUCUAAAUAACUACAAAUCUAAACAGUUAAUAACAUAAUGUCAUUCUCUUAAUUUUUUAAAUUUACAAUCCUCUAAAUCACUACAAAUCUAAACUGUUUUGAUAAUAUCAACUGUUUUGAUAUUAUCCUUUGUAAUUUAAUUAUUAUUUAAUAAAAUCAUUACUUUAUCUCAACACCACCCCCUACAAUGUAUAUUCAUUUGUUUUUCUGUGUAAAAUUUGAUCAUCGCACAACAAUCUACCAUCUUCUUAUUAUAUUUUAAUUUAUUAAUUAUACAUACAUAUUUAUUGAAUAAUUCCGCCCGCAACGCACGAGUUUGUAUCUAGUGUGGUCUAAUUUGGAGUCUUUAAAUUAACUGGUUUAGAUAUUUGUGUAGAGUAUGGGCUCUAUCUACUCGUUAAUUUUAGCCUAUGUUGAUUACGUAUCUUUGAUUUUCUAAUUUUGAGAAUAUUUUAAGCUGUUAGCUAUAUCUAUAGUUCUGAAAUAUCAAAUUCUCGAAAUGAAAGACCAAGUCAUGCUAACCAUUUCAUAUAGUCGUUGGACUGAGUUCUAUAUAUUUUCUUCAUGUUUGUCUAUAGUGAGCAGGACUCUUGAAGCUUAUAGCAGCCAUAUUACACAGAUUAAUCAAGAGCUUUUCAAAGUUAUUUUCAGCUACUCAUUAUAUUGUUAAUUUAUUUCAGUUAAAAAUUAAGAGUCUAUUAUAAUCUAUAUUUAUUGUAUUAAAUUUUAGUUCAAGUCUUGUUUGGCUUGAUCGAUCCAAUAGUGGAUAGGUUUGUUCGAAGAAAACUUUUAAGGUUGCAGAGGUGCAAAUGUCUCAGUGGUGAGAAAGGUUGCAAUGAUGCAAAGGGGCAGAGGUGUUCAUCGCAGUGGAAAAUUUUAUUUGAACAGGGAGUUCUUUUUAUUAUACUUAAUGGAGUCUUAAAAGUUUAAUAAAAAGAGUCCAAUACCGGUUGGUUUUGAACGUGGAUUAAGCCGUUAGAGUUUAAGGGCAGAACCACGUAAAAAUUCUUGUCUGUGGUUUGUUAAUUCUUCUGGGUUGAUAAUUUAUUUCUCACGUUGCAUCUAAUCUCAUUCAUAUUACAUUUUAUUGUUGGUAGGAAAAGUAUACUAAUCUAGACACUAUCUUCUGUCUUUAUAACAAAAGUAAAAUUGACUCUAAAGCAGACACUUUUAUUUGUCUGUUUUAAGUUUAGCAGCAAGUUCAGCAGCAGGAAAAUAAAAUUAGUCAUUGUUAGUGUGCUUAUUUAUAGAAUUACAUCCACAUCUGUAAUUCUACUGAGAUUUAAUGAAUGUUUAUUUUGCCGAUUAAAAAACAAAGGAAAAAGAAUAAAAGUAAUAAGAUGUUCGAAACAUUUGAUUGUAUUAUUAUAUUUUUGUGAGCCAAGGUGAAAGCAAAGCCACCUAGUGGUAGUUGUUUUAUUUAUAAUAUGGUAAUAACAACCAUGAACUGAUAGUUGAUUUAUUUAUUAUAUGCUAAUAACAGCUAUCAGCUAGUGGUUGAUUUAUUUAUUAUAUUCUAAUAAACAGCCAUCAACUAGUAUAUAGUUUCUUGAUCAACUGUUCAUAGGAAGAUUACUGAUCGUUCAUUUAGGCGUUGGGGGGACUAAUUUGAACACCAUAGAUAACUAAACCCGUCUCCAUAGUCGUGUUUUCACUCCCGUCGAGAGCAAAUUUGAAAUCUCCAGAGUCAAAGCUAUUCAAGAAUUCCCCAGCUUUGAGUGAAAUCGGUGUGUUCCUCGGACAAUCCAUCAACCUAUAUCCAUUCACUUGCGUGGACCCAUCCGGAGGAGUAAGUGUAAGACUCACCGGACUUUCUAUGUUAAGGUUGUCUUUCAGCAGCACCACAAAAGACACCUCAUAAGUUCAUUUUUCAAGAGUUUCUGUCGGAUAUUUUCCAUCAACAUGUAGGACUAAGCUACCAAUUAAUUCAGCACUGGCAUCACUGAAAAAAAAUGAUAGUAGAAUUAAAGUCAGAAACUUUUGAUAUAAGGAGCUUAAAUUCAUUAAG